rnacentral:lncRNA from 1 species
CUGGAUAACCAGCAAACAAUCCAAAUCAGAAUUGUUGGGAGAAUAAUUGAACCGUGGAGAAGAACAAAUUGAACAGAAUUUUGAUCAUCCAAACACAGGUCGGUCAGCAAGAAGAUAGUACGCCGCUCCCACUAAGCCGAGUAAUCUCAAUUUGUGACAACGAGCAAUGAAUCCAAAUUAAAGUUAGGCUAGAACUGAACGAAUCCAAAUGAAAUGAAGUGAAAUUCAGAGGAUCAUCUGAACACGGAUCUCAAGUUCCAGGUUGAUGUGCGAUCCAAAACUUCAGUCCAACACCAAACAUCAUCCCUGGAGACCUCUGACCAUAUGAAACCAAACCACCAUCCUUUCGGUUCAUCUAUGCGGAACCACUUCCUGCUUCUGCUGCAUCUGAAGGAGCACAAACACAAACCAAAAGCGAGAUCAACUGCUACAAUAAGAAUCCACCAAUACCUCUAAUCCACCUUAUAUUGAUUAUGAUGGAACUCGUGAUGAGAACUAGAAGACCACACGGGCAAUAGGCAUGUUAUCUGACCUACCUAAAAUCCCCUUGAACAUACACCAUCAUAGUGAUCUCCACAUAUCAGAUCCCAUCCGGCAUGGGAACACAAACGAACCAACAGUUACUGACCUGACACCGCAACAGACACACAGCAAAGGUUUGCAUAUGUAGGCACAGACUUCCUAAAUAAAUCCUGCAGUGCAACCCACACACUUAUAGGAAGACCAACACAGGGAUCAAGAGUACAGAUAUAACCAAUCAAACAACAAAGAGAUAGAUAGCAAACCAGAAGAUUUUUGACUCGCUACAAGCAUUGUCUUAGGCAAAACAGAUCUGCAACGACAUGGAGGGCAUAAGCACAAAUCAAAGACAUGAAAAUGUAGCUGAAUGAAAUAAAAAUAGGAGGGUAGGAGAUUAUUAUUUUUCCGGUUGUAGGAUAUGCCACUAGUUUGAAGCUUCAUUCUUGCACCAUUCGCAGCUAAAUCUGAAUUUAAAAUACUGCCUAGUAAGAGAUCUUAUUAACAUUAUCUCAGUUAAGGAAUUGAGUAGAUAGUGGUUUUAGAAGAACUGCAAAGUCAGCAUCAGGUUGGUGGCCUUGAGUUCGUAAACUACGACCUGCAACAAGCAAGAUACAUUUCCAUAAAUGCUUCAGUUAGGGAAAACUAGGAUGAAACGAUGAGGAGGUAGGAUAAGUAAGCCUGUCUCGACUGGGAAGGUCAGGUAGACAACACCGGUUCCAAUUAUAUAUCCUUUGCAAGACACUAUCUGCAAGAGCUGAGAAUGACUAAGACAGGGAAAACUAAUGUCUGCUGAGUUCUAAUUAAUAUUGAGUAAGAAAGUUCCAGAAAGUUCGAGCCAGGAAAGAAGAAGCGUCAUGCUGAGGCCACAUAGGAGCACCCGCUAGGCCCGUGUAAUUCCAGUUUCUGGACAACCAGCAACCAUUCCAAAUCAGAAUUGUUGAGAGAAUAAUUGAACUGUGGAGGGGAACAAAUUGAAGAGAGAGAGAGAGAGAGAGAGAGAGAGUUGAUCAUCCAAACACAAGAAGAUAAUAAGUCAGCUCCCACUAAGCCAAGUAAUCCCAAUUUCUGGACAGUGAAGACCAAAUCCAAAUUAGAAUUGUUGGAGGCUAAAAUUAAACGGUGGAGAGUAAGGGAUUAAAUAGAGAUAGGAGUAGUGAUAUUCAUCCAAACACAAAUCAGCCGAAGAUAGGUGGUCCCGCUAAGCCGUGUCAUCCCAUUUUCUGGAGAACCAUCAAGGAACGAAUCUAAAUCAGAUGAGUUGUAGAUUAACUGUGCUGUGCAAACCAAAUAAAUAAAUCGGGAGGGGUUGAAUUAUUAUUAUCAUCCAAUUGCAGACUGGUGAGAUCCAAAGCUUGAUCAUCUGUCCAUAUCAAUCAGAGUAACCGCUGAACCGUGACCAAUGAAUCAAAAUAACCAUAACAGAAACCAAACCUCCACCCUUUUUAUGUAUCAUCUCUUGCGAACUACCGAGCGUCCCUUGCCUCUGCUUCUGCUGCAUCUAGGAUGAGAGCACAAACACAUACCAAAAGCGGGAUCAGCCGGUAAAAUUUAGAAUCCACGAGGGCGUCGAAUCCACCUCGUAUUAUUAACCGAUGACGACGGAACCCGUGACGAGAGGGCUGGAUCGGGGGCAGGCCGCACGGGCGAGAGCCGGCCAACUGGAUCCAAAUCUGAAAUCGCCGAGGAAGGCAGGCAGGUGACGGAACCAAGGAACCGAUCUGACCGAUCGAGCACGGGAAACUGACCUUGCUUCGGCCCUCUCAUCACACAGAAAUCAGAGCAAAAUCGACGGAAUCCCCCGAUCGAUCGAUCGCUCGCUCCCCGAGGUCGCGCGGAGAUGGGCCGGAUCCCCUGCGAGCGCACAGGAAGCAAAGCCGCGAGGAGAUAAAUCAAACGCGAUUCGAAACGAAUCGAGAUUUGAUGGAUAAGGGGAAGGGAACAGUCGCGAAGACGCGAGGAGGCGACUCAGGCGAUCGACACCGGCGGCGCGGCCGGUCCGAACGAGAGCUCCAAGAGAGAGGGAGGAGGGCAGCGCGCGGGGUGGAAAGGGCGCACCUGGGCGCCUUUUAUAGCCGGAGGCGGAGGCGGUGGCCGGCCUGGCGCCCGCCAACCGGUUGCUUACCGGACACGGCUUCUUCGCCGCGGGUAAUGCUUUCCGUGGAGGAUACGUGUGGGCGGCGGAAAUCAAAAGCGAGUGGAAUUGCUGGGUCGGGGGGACCGGGUUUGGGUUGGUUUGGGUUGGGGCAACGGCAGGUCGGCAGCGCGGGUUGGGAGUUUUUUUUUUUUGAUAACGUGCGGGUUGGGAGUUGGGACCGACGGAGCCGGGAACUUUCUGGGGGCGCUUGAUAAUAUGCCUUCAGCUCGGGAGUGGCGAAGGGCCACUUGAGGUGCGAUGCCCGUGUCUGCGAGCACGAGCAACGACCAGCUCGUGGAUGAGAACGUGGAACAGGCGGGUGCGGUGGGGGUGGUUCGUUGUCCUGAUCCUAAACGUGAUCCGCCAAAUCAGCUGCCGUGUUUAAGAAAUCAAAAAUGUGCUCGUUAUUUUAUUUUUUAAUUUUUCAGAUCAACGUCGUCCGGUUGUUGAUAUUGGUUUGAGAACAGGCAUCUCCAACUAUCAAUCCGUAAUUAUUUUUUUCCUGCGUCCGUCUGCCAACAAAGGAUCAAUCCACGGACAUAUUUAUAAAAAAGACAUCCAACGCUAGCCGCAUGUCUAUGAAAGAAGGACAUCUAACGUUAGACGCACACAUCUACCGUGAAGAGGGAAUAUGCUUCUAAAUUCUUUCGUGCGAUUGACUCAUUUGACCUUUUUAAAUGGGAAUGGACUCCUUCUAAUAAUAGAUCUCGUGGGGUCCUAUGUGGUCUUAAGAAAGAUAGCUAAAAAAGGAAAUACAUCCUGCAGAUUUAUGUUCAUGAUAUUAACAAAAAAAAUUGACUGGGAUCUCCUAGUUGCUUAUGGUUCUCCUCAUGAGGAGUUCAAGGAGGAAUUCCUUGUUGAGAUGGUCUUAUUUUGUAGCAGCGUAAACGGUCUCUAUAUAAUCGGGGAACUUCAAUAUUCUGAGACACAGUAGAGAGAAAAUUAGAAAGUCCAUUUUCACAAACCCUCUAAGACAUCUAACUCUGUUAUUAACUCAUUGGGUCUGAGAGAUGUACGCAUCAAUGGAGGCAAAUUCACGUGGACUAAUAACCAGGCUCAUCCCACUCUUAAAAAAUUGGAUCGUAUCCCUAUUAAUUAUGACUGAGAAAAAUUAUUCCCCCUAGUAUCUGUUAGAGAAUUUGUCAAAGAGAUUUCUGAUCAUAACCCUUUGAUCGUUUCCUCGGGGAUGAUGAGAGGGAAGCCCCUAAAGCUCGUGACUUUCGCUUCGAACUUUCCUCGCUUAAAAAUGAGGAAUUCCUCGGACUGUCUAGGGGUAUUUGGAGUAGAAAGGUGAAUGCUAUAGACCCUAUUGAUGCUCUCAAUAUCAAAUUGAAAGAUUCAAAGCCUACUUCAAAGGACGGGGGUCCAACAAAUAUGGCCAUGAAAACGGAGGAGGGAAGAGCUUUGUUUGGAAUUGUCCAUGUUGGAAGAGCUUGAAGAAGAAGGCCUUCUACCCCGUGACACUAUAGGAAUCAGGAAAUUGUCAUCUGUCUGAUCUUUGUCGCCUGUUGGUUGAUGGCAAAUAGACUUUUUGCCAUUAGCUGUCGAAAAAUAGACGACAAAGAACUGGUUAAUGGAAAAGAUGCUUUUUGCCGUCAUUGCAUUCUUUGUCGUCUGCUGGCGGACGGCAAAGAUGGACCAGACACACGACAAAGAAAUAGCUGAGGACAAAGAUGGUCCGCACAAACGACAAAGAGUCACCGCAGCUUGAGCCGUCCCCUUUGCCAUCUGCAGCCUCUUUGUCGUUCGCCCAAACCCUCUUUGUCGUCUUCCUGAUCCCCAGGCGGACGACAAAGGGGACGGCGCCCCACCUCCCCACUAACGGCGGCUCGCCUAGGUCUCACCACCCCGAUCCCCACUCUUUCUCUCCCUCUCCCCCGACCCCCACCCUCAUCUCCACCUGCGUCGCCCCCCAUCACCGCGUGGCCCGCACCGCGCCCCUCAUCUCCACCUGCAUUUCCUCCCCGCGCUGCCACACCACCACCAUCGCGUUGCCCCCCUCCCGGUGGCUUCCCCUCCAUCGCGCCGCCCCCCACCACCGCACCGCCCUCACCCCGCACAGUCCCCCUCCCCACGCCGGCUCCCCGUGUCUCCCCCAUCAUCAUCACAGCUACCCCCUCCCGGCGCCACCCUCUCCUCGCAUCGGACCCUCACCGCGCCGCACCAACCACCGCACCGCCCCACCUCGUGCGCCCCCUCCCCACGACGGUUCCCCCGUGUCCCCCCCCCCACAAUUUGGGUUCUUAUUAUUUCAAAAAAAACUCGCUGUGGGGGUUCCCCUUACAGUUUUCCUUCAAAAAAAUAUAUAGCCAAUCAGUGGUUUGCUAGGUUGUGAACAGGUUGAAGGUUUUCAUGACAAUGUUGGGAGGCUGAUAUUUAACAUGUGGUAGGCAACGAGACAUAUUGAUAGAAACGGUAAUACUAGCAUGUCAAUGAUAGUAAUGGUAUCUGGGAAAAUGGUCAUCUUGCCUGAGAUCCCGCUGAGAAGAAGAUUGACUCCGUGAAGCAGACGACAGGUCCUCACAAUCCGACAUGCUUGCGGAACUCUAUCGAGACGAAGGAAACCGAAAACAAGAAUAAACACACGAUAUUCCCCACGGCAUAUGCACGACAAGAUGCAAUCCACAUAUGAUGCAUGAACAGGGAAUACAUGCAAGUCACGGCAUGUCAAGUCACAACAACCAAAUACUACACAUUAAAUGAAGUUCAAUAUGCAACGAGGUGCAUAUUGACGAAACUCCACAUACGAGUUAUUUACUUCUAUCCCGAUUUGGUACACGGCAAUAUUAAAUGUGGUUACACAUGGCAAGAGGUGAAGCGCAAUUACUCUACUUAUCUAGGCAUUUUAAAUGAGGUCGGAAAUGACAUAUAGCAUCUCCGAAAUGACCUCACAUAUUAAUUUACAAUUCUGUCCAGAUCUGAACUAACAUGUUUAAUUAGUUGUUAAACAGCAAAACAAAUAGUUUCACGUGAUUCUACGCGUCGGUACAAGCAAUUUACACAUAUAGAACAUCUCCAAUGGAGCUACGGGUCAAAAGAUACGAACACCGCAAGAUAUGAUGGCAUGAAUGCAAAAUGUGUGCAAAUGGCAUCCACAACAUUUCAAAACACACAACCAGCAAGAUAAAAUGAAACUGCACAAGAUUCUAAGCAAGUUUCAUAUAGGACACCAUCAAAAUGGAGCAACGGUUCAACAACUACGAGCAACACAAGAAAUCACUACAAUCUGCCAAAAUCAGCCACAUAGCAUUUUUUACACCCCACAACUACGAGCUACACAAUUCUAAUAUACUCAACCAAGACAUGACAUGAUAGAGGGAAAGAAGCACUACAAGAUACAACUAACAACAACUAGCAUGGAAGCAUGGAACACUAGGAAAAGAAGUCACAAAAAGGCAUCUCACACACAGUUUCAGACUUAGUGAAAAUAACACUUUAUGAAACUGCAGUUUUCGAUCUGAAGGCAUAUUGACAGCAGCAAAGCCAUAAGCUACAGGACUCCAAAUGGCAUGAAAAUUCACAGCAUGUUAGAGAAUCCUAAAGUCUACAACUAACUCCAUUUCAUCAACCUCAAAGGAGCUACAGAUCACAAGAUAAACUCAUGCAAAGACAACAACAAAAUAUAACAGAUUUCAGACUUAGAAAUAUUUCAGCAUCUCCAAAACAGCACUAUUUCCUAGCAACUUGAGAACAAACAAACCACACCUAAACAUGGAUUCCUAUUGCAACCAAAAUUACCAGGGGCUAGACUAAACAUCCAAAAGCAAAACUCUAAUUGACAACUAACCCAUAUCACGCAUGGAUUAAAUCCCACGAAAUAAACAAUAGGGCAUCAUGACAAAAUAUCACGUGAAAUAACUUGCUCCAAAGCUAAAACUAAAUACACAGUUAAAUCCUAUGGAUUUUUCUACCCCGAAAACGUAUAUAACAUGAAGGGUUGCAAAAGAAAAUCAACGCCACACGUAUAUGCGGGAUUAUGUCCACGACACGGUAAAACAACUAGCUACUAAACCCUACGUGCAAAAAUACCAACAACCACUCUAAAAUACAUGGCAAAGGGGUUCCUAAAACAUGAACAUUUCUACUAUGGAGUUCGAACAAAAAAAAGAUAACACGGGACACAAACAUAAUAGACAACACACGUUUCUAGGCAUUCGGCACGCUAAACUAUGUCAAACAAUUAUGCAAGUUGCAAAAUCGUAAUCUACGCGCAAAACUACACAAAUACAUAUGCUACACGCCACGAUCCGACUUACGGUUAAUAAACUACGGGCGAUUUAAUAUUUAGCUAAUUUCUGAAAUCUAACUAAUUCGAGAAACUCCAAUAAAACCUAUUGGGCCGAAUCCAUCUACGGGCCUAAACAGAGGCAUGGGCGCAUGGUAUAGAAAAGUGCCUAGGGCGGGGAAUAGAGGAUCACCUUGGGGGGCCUCUUGGGCCGGUUGGGAGGCUGCAACAGAGGGGAGGUGGCCGACUGGGCAUUGGGCCGGCCUGGUGCAGUGGGGCCCGGGUGGGGCUGGCCGAAGGAGGCCUCGGGGGAGCCGGGCCGAAGCAGGGGGGACGAGCUGGGCGGGGGCUUGCUGGGCCGCGGCGAGGCCGGUGAGGCCCAGGAGCGGGACGCGUCGCUGGAGCGGGGCUCCUCGUCGUGUCCGAGGGCACAGGGCCUGGCGGCGGCCGACGUAAGGCAGCGAAGGCGGCGGCGAGCACGGGAACCGGCGGCGGGGUGCAAGGGAGGCCAGAUCCCGGUGGCCUUGGGCGGAUCCGGGCACCGGGGAUCCGUUCCCGGCGGAGGGGACGGCGGAGCACAUGGCUGUCGGCGGCGAGCUCGCGGUGGGAGGACGACGCAGGGAGCUUGGGGCGGCGGGAUCCGGCCGGAACGGGCACGGGCGACGGUGCGGAAGGUGCAGGGCAAGGAGCUGCUCGGCUACCAGGAAGCGACGAGGGCUCCCGUCGGCGAAGGAGCUCGGGAGGAGGAGGCUGCAGGCUCGGGAGGAGCACCUCGGCAAGGGAGACGCAGGGCGCCGGCGGCGGCUCGGUUCGGGCCCGGGCGGGCUCCAGAUGGGCCUCGGCGGGCCCGCGACGGCUGGAGGCCGAGGGGAGGAGAGAGAGAGGUGGGAUUAGGGUUAGGCGAGGCACGGUUUUUGAGGCAGAGGGGGUGGGUGUCUAAAAAAAUGGCAUGGGAGGUCCUAUUUAUAGGCAAAGGGGGCUAGGUUUAGCGAAAUUCCGCCCCGGUUUCAACCGCGCGGUCGGAUUCGAAUAAUUCUGAACGAGGGACGGACUAAAUGCCCGUGUAGAGUAGUUAUCCGGAGACGAGAGGGAAAAUGGGCGGAGCGGCAACACGAUUUGAAAACACCGAUAACCGUCCGACGGUAGACCGAAUAGGGUGCCGCUACGGUCGACCGUUCUGGUACCAGACGGACUCCGAUUGCGACGAAACUUGACAGGCGGCCUAGUUACCACUAAUUACGACCGCACGCCAAGUUCCAACCCAAUCAGAUAAAGGUUUACACACACUUUAAAAACAGGGUUUUGACGAUGCCGCGGCGCGUGCGUGUGCGGUCGGGCUCAGAACGGACAACGAUGAGAACCGGCAACUAACAACGGAUGCAAGUUUUGAAAACUAGCGGCAACGGGAUGCCGAUGCAAUGCGGAUGAUGCGCAUGAUGCGAUGAUGAUGCGACAAAUAAAAAUAAUCACACGACGGAAACGGAAUAGAAGGGGAAUCUUCUGGAACGUCGGCAUCGGGUUGUCACACCGCCCCACCACCGCGCCGCCCCCUCCCCGUGCCGCCCCUACCCACGCCAGCUCCCCUGCGCCGCCCCACCACCACGCCGCCCCUCCCGUGCCGCCUCUACCCAUGCCAACUCCCCUACGUUGGCCCCACCACCACAGCUCCCCCGUUCCGGCGUCGCUCCCCACCACCACCACUAUUGGAAAUAUGCCCUAAAGGCAAUAAUAAAAUGGUUAUUAUCAUAUUUCCUUGUGGGCGGCGAAAAUCAAAUCAAAAUCGAGUGGAUCGGGUUGGAUCCGGACUUGGUUUGGUUCGGGUGGGCGGCUCGCAGUGGCAGGUCGGCAGCGACGGAGCCGAGAACUUUCUGGACUGCUCGGGAGUCGCGACGGGUCAUGUGAUGUGUGAUGUCGUGUGUGGCUUCCCGUGUUUGCGAGCGCGAGCCACGACCAGCUCGUGGAUGAGAACGUGGAAUCAGCUGAACGCGGUGCCGUGGGGUGGUUCGUUGUCCUGGUCCUAAACGUGAUCCGCCAAAUCAGUUGUCGUGUUUAAGAAAUCAAUGUGCUCGUUGUUUUUAAUUUUUAACUUUUCAGGUCAAGGUCGUCCGGUUGUUGAUAUUGGUUCGAGAACACGCAUCUCCAACUAUCAAUCCGUAAUUUUUUUCGUGCGUCCGUCUGCAAAUAAAGGAUCAAUCCAUGGACAUAUUUAUAAAAAAGACAUCCAAAGCUAGCCGUAUGUUUAUGAACGAAGGACAUCUAACGUUAGACGCAUACAUCUACCGUGAAGAGGGAAUAUCCUUCUAAAUUAUUUCGUACGAUUGACCCAUUUGACCUUUCAAAUGGGAAUGAAUUCUUUCUAAUGAUAGAUCUCGUGGGAUCGUAUGUGGUCUUAAGAAAGAUAGCUAAAGAAAGGAAAUAUAUCCUACAGGUUUAUGUUCAUGAUAUUAACAAGAAAACUAAAUGGGAUCUCGUAGUUUCUUAUGGUUCUCGUCAUGAGGAGUUCAAGAAGGAAAUCCUCGUUGAGAUGGAUGGCCUAUUUUUGUAGCAGUGUAAACUGUCCCUAUAUAAUCGAGGACUUCAAUAUUCUAAGACACAGCAAAGAGAAAAUAAAAAAUAUGUCCAUUUUUACAAAUCCUCUUAGCUAUUUAACUAUGUUAUUAAUUCAUUGGGUCUUAGAGAUGUACACAUCAAUGGAGACGAGUUCAUGUGGACUAAUAACCAGGCUCAUCCCACUCUUGAAAAACUGGAUCGUAUCCUUAUUAGUGAUGAGUCAGGAAAAAUUAUUCCCCUUAGUACGUGUUAGAGAACUUGUCAAAGAAAUUUCUAAUCAUAACCCUUUGGUCAUUUCCUCAAGGAUGAUGGGAGGGCAGCUUCUAAAGCUCGCGAGUUUCGUUUCGAACUCCUGGCUUAAAUAUGUGGAAUUCCUCGGACUGUCUAGGGGCAUUUGGAGUAGAAAGGUGAAUGCUAUGGACCCUAUUGAUGUUCUCAACAUCAAAUUCAAAAGAUUCAAAACCUACUUCAAAGGACGUGGGUCGAACAAAUAUGGCCAUGAAGAAUGAACGAGGGAAGAGCUCUGUUUGGAAUUGUGCAUGCUGGAAGAGCUUGAUCUUUGUCGUCUGCUAGGUAAUGGCAAAGAGACUUUUUGCCAUUAGCUGCCAAAAAAUAGACGGCAACGAAGUGGCUAAUGGGAAAGAUACUCUUUGCCGUUAGUGCAUUCUUUGUCGUCUGCUCGCGGACGACAAAGAUGGACCACACAGACGACAAAGAAAUAACUAAUGGCAAAGAUGGUCCGGACAAACGACAAAGAGUCACCGCAGCUUGAGCCGCCAACUUUGCCAUCUGCGGCCUCUUUGUCGUCUGCCCCAACCCUCAGGCGGAUGGCAAAGGGGAUGGCGCCCGACCUUCCCACUGACGAUACCUCACCUAGGUCUCCCUACCCGGAUCCCCACUCUUUCUCUCCCUCUCCCCCGAUCCCCAUCCUCAUCUCCACCUCCGUCGCACCCACCACCCCACCAUCGCGCCGCCCCCACCCCGCGCCUCAUCUACACCUGCCUCUCCUUCCCGCGUCGCCACACCACCACCAUUGUGUCGCCCCCUCCCGGUGGCUUCCCCUCUACCGCGCCGCCCCCACCACCGCAUCGCCCUACCCUGCGCAGCCCCCCUCCCCAUGCCGGAUUGUCACGCCCAAGAUGCGACCCUAUCCUCAAUUUGGCACGAAGGCCACGUCAGGGAUAGAAGCGCANNNNNNNNNNNNNNNNNNNNNNNNNNNNNNNNNNNNNNNNNNNNNNNNNNNNNNNNNNNNNNNNNNNNNNNNNNNNNNNNNNNNNNNNNNNNNNNNNNNNNNNNNNNNNNNNNNNNNNNNNNNNNNNNNNNNNNNNNNNNNNNNNNNNNNNNNNNNNNNNNNNNNNNNNNNNNNNNNNNNNNNNNNNNNNNNNNNNNNNNNNNNNNNNNNNNNNNNNNNNNNNNNNNNNNNNNNNNNNNNNNNNNNNNNNNNNNNNNNNNNNNNNNNNNNNNNNNNNNNNNNNNNNNNNNNNNNNNNNNNNNNNNNNNNNNNNNNNNNNNNNNNNNNNNNNNNNNNNNNNNNNNNNNNNNNNNNNNNNNNNNNNNNNNNNNNNNNNNNNNUGAAAAGAAGAGAUAUAUAAAGAGUUGGCUUACACUCGCCACAAGCUACAUCAGAGUCACAUCAGUACAUUACAUAAUCAUCAAGAGUAAGAGCAGGGUCCGUCUACGACGAAAACAAACGAGAAAAAUAAGAACGACGUCCAUCCUUGCUAUCCCAGGCUGCCGGCCUGGAACCCAUCCUAGAUCGACGACGAAGAAGAAGAAGAAGCAACUUCAAAUGAACAAUCAACGCGCUCGCGUCAAGUAACCUUUACUUGUACCUGCAACUGGUGUUGUAGUAAUCUGUGAGCCACAGGGGACUCAGCAAUCUCAUUUCCAAAGGUAUCAAGACUAGCAAAGCUUAAUGGGUGAGGUAUGGUUAAGUGGUGAGGUUGCAUCAGCGGCUAAGCAUAUAUUUGGUGGCUAACUUACGAGUACAAGAAAUAAGAGGGGGAACAUCUACGCAUAGCGGACGUGAACUACUGAUGAUCAAAUGAAUGAUCCUGAGCACCUACCUACGUCAGGCAUAACCCCACCGUGUCCUCGAUCGGAGAAGGAACUCACGAAAGAGACAGUCACGGUUACGCACACAGUUGGCAUAUCUUAAUUAAGUUAACUUCAAGUUAUCUAGAACCAGUGUUAAACAAAGUUUCCACGUUGCCACAUAACCGCGGGCAUGGCUUUCCGAAAGAUUUAACCCUGCAGGGGUGCUCCAACUAGUCCAUCACAAAUUACCACAAGCCGCAUAGAAAUCCUCAAUCACGAAGCUCGCGAUCUCGUCGGAUUCCCUAGUGGAAAACCUCAACUCUGAGAAUACCCAAAGCAUCACCGGAAUCCCGAUGCACAAGAUAUCUCGUCAAAGGUAAAACUAAUCCAGCAAGGCCGCCCGACGUGUCGACGAUCCCGAUAGGAGCCGCGUAUCUCGUUCUCAGGACACGACGGAUAAGCACAGCGUACGGUGGCCUGAUAGAAAUCUCCCGAGUUGCCCCGGGUUGGCCCCGCAAACGGCUCUAGUUUUUGGACCAACACUCAUGAUGAGCAUUGGCCCCGGGGGUUGAUUAAAUUAUCCUCGGGGUCCGAAAAGUCCCUAUGCAAUUUAUUAGGUGAUUAGGCAAAUGUAGUACCAAAGUUGGGCCUUGCCAGACCAGCUUUAAUCUAAAACGAAUUAUCAAGGGGGCCCCAUAACAACCCCGAUCGUGUUAGGAGCGCUCAUUUAUGGAAUAUAACACCGGAAGCCGAAAACUAAGGGGGCAAAGGUGGAACAAAACACCAGUCUAGAAAGACCGAGCCUUCCACCUUUUACCAAGUAUAUAGGUGCAUUAAAUUAAAUAGCAUUAAUAUGGUGAUAUAACAAGGAACCCAUGUUUUUCACAUGGAAGCAACUACAUCUACAACUAGCAACGCUAACAACAUGGAUAAGCAAGCAGUAACAUAGCCAAUCAGUGGUUUGCUAGGUCGAACAGGUUGAAGGUUAUCAUGGUAUUGUUGAGAGGCUGAUAUUUAACAUGUGGUAGGCAACGAGACAUAAUCGAUAGAAGCGAUAAAACUAGCAUGGCAAUGAUAGUAAUGGUAUUUGAGGAAAUGAUCAUCUUGCCUGAAAUCCCCCUUGGAAGAAGAAUGCCUCCGUGUAGCAGACGAACCGACGUAGUCGAACGGGUCCUCACAUCUGACACGCUUGCGGAACUCUAUCGAGACGAAGCAAACCAGAAACAUAAAUCAACACACGAUAUUCACCACACGAUGCACAACACAUAUGAUGCAUGAGCUACUGAAUACAUGCCACGGCAUGACAAUUCACACAGUCAAACACUACACAUUAAGUGAAGUUCAAUAUGCAACGAGUUGCAUAUUGACGAAACUCCACGUUUAUUAUUUAGUUCUAUCCCAAUUAGAUACACGACAAUAUUAAAUGUGGUUAAACAUGGCAAGAGGUGAAGCGCAAUUAAACUACCUAUCUAGGCAUUUUAAAUGAGGUCAGAAAUGUCAUAUAGCACCUCCGAAACGACCUCGCAUGUUAAUUUACAAUUCUGUCCAGAUCUGAAUUAACACCUUUAAUUAGUUGUUAAACAGCAAAACAAGUAGGUUCACGUGAUUCUACGCGUCAUUUCAAGCAAACUACACAUAGAGAACAUCUCCAACGGAGCUACGGACCAAAAGAUACAAGCACCGCAAGAUAUGAUGGCAUGAAUGCAAUAUGUGUGCAACGACGGCUACGAGCACUUCAAAACAUACAACCAGCAAGAGAAAAUGAAACUACACGAGAUUCUAAGCAAGUUUCAUGUAGUACACGAUCAAAUCGGAGCUACGGUUCAACAACUACGAGCAAAACAAGAAAUGACUACAAUAUGCCAAAAUCAGCCACAUAGCAUAUUUUACGCCCCACAACUACGAGCUACACAACUCCGAUAAACUCAAGCGAGGCAUGGCACGAAAGAGGGCAAGACGCACUACUACAAACAACUAACAACAACUAGCAUGACAGCAAGGAGCACUAGGAAAAGAAGACACAAAAUGGCUUCCCACACACUAUUUCAGACUUAGUGAAAAUAACACCUCAUGAAAGUGCAGUUUUCAGCCUGAAGGCAUAUUGACAGCAGCAAAACCAUGAGCUACAUGGCUCCAAAUGGCAUGAAAAUUUACAGCAUGCUAGAGAAACAUAAGGGCUACAACUAACGCCAUUGGACCAACCUCAAAAGAGCUACAUAUCACAAGAUGCAAGCAAGAUAAGACAGCAACAAAAUAUAACAGAUUCCAGACUUAGAAAUAUUUCAGCUACUCUAAAACAGCACUAUUUCUAGCAAGUUGAGAGCAAGCAAACAACACCUAAACAUGCAUUUCUAUUGCAACCAAAAAUACCAGGGGCUAAACAAAACAUCCAAGAUCAACUCUCUAGUUGACAACUCCGUCAAACGAAGCACGGAAUAAAUCCUAUGAAAUAAACAAAAGGGCAUCACGGCAAAAAUAUCGCACGAACUAACUUGCUCUAAUGCUAAAACUAAUUGCACAGAAAAAUCCAUGGGAUUUUUCUACCCCAGAAACAUAUAAAAUAUGUGGGGUUUGCAACACAAAAUAAAGCCACACAAAAAUGCGAGAUAAUAACCUAUACACGGAAAAAAAAACUACCGGUAAUUCCUACACGCAAAAAUACGAGUGACCGCUCUAAAAUGCAUGGAAAACUGGUCCCUAAAACAUAGGCAUUUCUAUACGGCACUCGAGCAAUCCGGACUUGCACGAAAAAUAGAUACGGGUCGAAACCUAUUAGGACAGCACGCAAACCUAGGCAUACGACACGCUAAAUGACCUCAAAUAAUUAUGCAAGUGUUAUAAUCGGGUUCUACUCGCAAAACUACCCCAAACCCAUAUAAGAUACGCCCCGUUCCGACUUACGGUUAAAAAGAUACGAACGUUUUAAAAUACGUCUAUUUUUCUGGAAAAGAGUUAAAUCCCAGGAAUUAUAAAAACCCUACACGGGCCGAAAGUGGCAGGCGCUUCAUAACAAAACAGCGCACGCGCAAGGGAUAGCUCACCUCGGGCCACAGGCCGACGGUUGGGGCGGAGGCCUCUUGGGCCGGCUCGAGGUGGGCCAGGGGUCAGUGGUUGGAGCGGGCCGGUCGCGCGGGGUAGGCCGAGCUGGGCCGAGGCGGCGCUGGCGCGGGAGGCCGGCCCACGUGGUGCUGGCGAGCGCUGCCCCUGGGGUCGUCGUCCUCCUCUGCUCCCGAUCUGGGCAGGAGGCGGCGCGGCUCAGGGACCUGGCGCGGGGGCUCGCGCCGGUGAGGGAGGCCAGAUCCGGCCGGCCUUGAGCGGAUCCGGGCACCGGGGACCCGUUCUCGGCGGCGGGGACGGCGGACACAAGGCGGCCAGCGCUCAGACGGCGGCGCAAGGAGCGGCUCGGUCCGGCGGCUCGCGGUUGCAGGCCUCGGGAACUUCGGGCAGGAGUGGCAGGGCUCGACGGGAGUAGGGACUCCGGCAGGCGGCCCUGGCAAAGGACGACGCGGGACUCUGGCGAGCUGCCGGAGACGGAGGGACGAGCCCCGGCGGCGAGGAGGCACGGGCUGUUGCGAGCAGGAGCAGCGGGGAGGCGGCGCGCAGAUGGGCCUCGGGCGGGCCGCGCGCGGGCUCGUGCGGGCCCGGCGGCUGGGGGAGGAGAGAGAGGUGGGAAAAUUAGGGUUAGGGGUAGGUGGGCGCGGAAAACAAGGAGGGAUUUGAGGGAGGCUGUCUAAAAUUAGGAGGGGGGUAUUUAUAGAGAAAAUGAGGGCUAGGUUACCCGGAAUCGCGUUCCGGAUCCAACCGCGGGGUCGGAUUCGGGCGAUUUCGAAUGCAGGAAUGGGUACGCGGCCGUGUAGAGGGUAUAUCCGGAGACGAGAGGGAGAACAGACGGCACAACAACAAUUUUUAAAACACCGAUGACCGUCCAACGGUAGACCGAAUACGGUGCCGCUACGGUCGACCGUUCGGGUACCAGACGGACUCCGAUCGCGACGAAAUUCGACAGGCGGCCUAGCUAGAACUAACUAUGACCGCACGUCAAAUCUCAACCCGAUUAGAGAAAUUUUUACGCACUCUUUUAAAAUAGGGUUUCGACGGUGCCGCGGGCGAGUGCGAGUGCGGUCGGGCUCAGAACGGACAACGACGAGAACCGGCAACUACUAACGGAUGCAAGUUUUGAAAACGGGCGGCAACGGAGAUGCCGAUGCAAUGCAGAUGAUGUGCAUGAUGCGAUGAUGAUGCGACAAAAGAAAAUAGACACACGACGAAAACGGAAAGAGAGGGGAAUCUUCUGGAANCGCCCCCUCCCCGUGCCGCCCCACCCCACAUCAGCUCGCCUACGCCGGCCCCACCACCGCGGCUCCCCCGUUCCGGCGCCGCUCCCCACCACCACCACCGGCCCUCAAGGUCAAAUUUUUUGCUUUUUCUGUUUUUUCUAUUUAGGUUUAGGGUAAUUAGUGUCUGGUUUAGGUUAGUGCUAGGUUUAGGUUUAGAUUUAGAUAAUUAGAAGAAGAAGAAGAAAGAUGAAAAAAAUAAGAAGAAAAGAAGAAUAAUUAAGUAUAAUAAAAGGAUAAAGGAAGAAAAGGAAGAAAAGGAAGAAGAAGAAGAAGAAGAAGAAGAAGAAGAGGAGGAGGAGGAGGAGGAGGAGGAGGAGAAAAGAACAACAACAACAAUAACAACAACAACAACAACAACAACAACAACAAUAACAACAACAACAACAAGAGAAGAUGAGGAGGAGGAGGAGGAGAAAAAAUAAUAAUAAGAAGAAGAAGGAUAAGAAGAAAAAGAGGAGAGGAGGAGAAGAAGAAGAGGGAAAAAGGAAAAGGAGAAGGAGAAGAAGAGGAGGAGAAGAAACAACAGCAACAACAACAACAACAACAACAACAAAACAACAACAACAACAACAACAACAACAAGAGUAAAAAGGAAAGGAAGAAGGAGAAGAAGAGGCCAACUGGAUCAUGGUUUUGUAAAUUACGAGUUAGGUCAUAUAUUUUCCAAUUUUUUUAUAAAAAAUAAAAAUAUUUCUGUUGAUUGGGUGGAUUUACAUGUGUAGUUGUUUCGCCGUUGCGAGGUCUGGUGUUUGAAGACCUUUCCAUGCGUUCGACGAGCUCUCCGCCCGUGCGUUCGUGGGUGAGCACAAAUGACACUCCUCCUCUCCCCUUCAUUUGCUCUGUUCCGGUCUUCGUGUUGAUGAAACUUGCUAGAUAUAUGUACAUUAAAUCAUCAGUAUGCGUGACCACUAUGCGUCUCCUGUUCGAAAGGGUUACAAUUAUAAAUAUGCAUGCAUUUGCAUAUAUUUAUAACCGUGAUUCUUUCGAAUUGUCCAACGUUAUCCAUGGACAUCCUGAGUAUGUGUAGAUUGCGUUCGUUUUCCCAUAUGCUCUGCUUUGAAUUCGAUGCAUAAUUUCGUCAGUGCCUCCCUGUUGUUCUCCAGGUACACAUCCUCUUUGUUUAUUGUUGAGACGUGUAUCAGGAGAACAACGGGGAGGUGCAGCCGAAAUUUUGCAUCGCAUCCGAAGCAGAGCAUGGGAAAACGAACCCAAUCUUCACAUAGUCGGAUGGGAUUAGGGUCAAUCUUUACCUAUUAGCAUGUAGGUUGCACGGACGUAAUAAAACUAAAAAACUUGAUUAACUGAUGAAUAUAUAAUGAAUUAUAUAUAUAUAUAUAUAUAUAUAUAUAUGGAAAAUCAAUACUACCACUAGGGGGUAGUUACCCCAUGCCCAACACCGUCUGAUCUGGUGUGGUGGACGCUUUGAUUAACGGGUUUGGUUCUAGUAAUACACCAUUUUUAUUUUCAUCCCAUAAAGCAACUAAUCGUGCAGUUCCUAUUUUCAUGUAUGGAUAUAACUACCACACGUCCAACAGAUAUCUAGCUUUCACAUCUGGCUACCAGCUGCAGCAGAUUUUAUGGCAAUCCCAGUCAAUUCGGAUUAUGAGCAUCGAUGCAUGUUGCAAGGUAUUCAUCCGGCGGACAAAAUCUUUCAAAUUGUUCCUGAUAGAUUUUAUUAUCUAAUUGAAUUCUUUGAUCAGCAGCCAUGGGCAUUGACUUUUUUAUCUAAUUGAAUUCUUUGAUAAGCAGCCAUGGCCGAUGUCAACCAUGCAUCAAAUUUUCAAGACCUUAUAAUUUUCAAGACACAGCCGCCGUCGAGUUGCGCGCUCCGAAUGACACAGCCGCCAGCCAUUGAGGAGCUCAACAUUGCUGCAUCGUCCUCAUGUUCUGGAAAGUUUCCAAACUAUCACUACAUUCAGCACUAUCAUGAAUUCCAAUCCAGUUCUCAUGUUACAGAUCAGUAUACGUACAUGCGUGGACAUGUAUCAUCACUUCGUGUUGAAUUGUAUCCCCAUAUUAUUUUUAGCUCAAUCAUGUUCUAGCUAGCACAUGUAAUUGAUUGAAGAUUUCAUAUCUUGGUGAAUUUUUUAUUUUGCAAUCUUAUUUUUGUACGUAAAAAAAUAUAACAAACACAUCCAUACUCUUGUACAUUUGUUCAGUAUAUAUUUAUUCCGGAGAUACUCCUCUUAUCUUCGAGUAUAUGUACAUUUUGUGUGGGAAGAUACUCCUUACUUUUGGAAAUUAUACUGCUUAUUUGGACGUACUCCAUACUUCAUUCACCUUUUCAAAUAUACUCCAUACUGUAGCACUAUAGUAGUAUGUAGACAUGUAGUACACACCAUACUUCUAUUACAAACUAUAUAUUACAUGCGAAGUACUACUUUUUUGGGAGACUUAUUUUGUAUGUCCAUGUAAGAAUCUUAAUACUCUAUACUCCAGCUUGUUGUUAAUACUUCAUACUUCAAUAAUCAAAUUCUUAUACUUCAUACUCCAAUUUUACGUUAGCAUUGCAUACUACAUACUAAUGAAAUUACAUGUCAAUACUUCAUACUACAAAAUUUACAUGUCAAUACUCCAUACUACACGUAUGACUAUACUCUAUGUGGUUCUAAAAGGGGAAUAUAUUUGGCACAAUAAUAGCAGAAUCCAAAAAGAGUUAUUUGUACCAUACUAUCUAUUUCCAACAAAAAUUACGGUGCGUAUAAAAUAACAGCAUCAUGUUCACAUGCUUAUAUUGUUGUACGCACCCUGGAUUAAGGAGGUAGUUGCAACAGCCUUUCAACGGCUUGCUGGAUUAUUUUAUUAUAUAAACUAAAUUAGUUUCUGCCUAUAAAAUUGCAUCGGCACCCGUUAACACAGUAUCCAUUACCCUGUUGACUUGAUGCCAUUAUUUGAGCGAGGGAAAGAGGGACACGUGGAGGCCAAAGAAAAUGGUGGUAACUACCACUCUUGUAGAUAAAGUUUGUCAUAUAUAUAUAUAUAUAUNNNNNNNNNNNNNNNNNNNNNNNNNNNNNNNNNNNNNNNNNNNNNNNNNNNNNNNNNNNNNNNNNNNNNNNNNNNNNNNNNNNNNNNNNNNNNNNNNNNNNNNNNNNNNNNNNNNNNNNNNNNNNNNNNNNNNNNNNNNNNNNNNNNNNNNNNNNNNNNNNNNNNNNNNNNNNNNNNNNNNNNNNNNNNNNNNNNNNNNNNNNNNNNNNNNNNNNNNNNNNNNNNNNNNNNNNNNNNNNNNNNNNNNNNNNNNNNNNNNNNNNNNNNNNNNNNNNNNNNNNNNNNNNNNNNNNNNNNNNNNNNNNNNNNNNNNNNNNNNNNNNNNNNNNNNNNNNNNNNNNNNNNNNNNNNNNNNNNNNNNNNNNNNNNNNNNNNNNNNNNNNNNNNNNNNNNNAUGAGUGAUCGUGCGUGGAUGUACACCGGUCAAUGGAAGUAGACAACGACAGUGAAUUCGACUUCACCCUUCAGUUGGAACCAGUAGAGCUGGAACUAGAAGAGGUUACUGCUGCGAAUGACCUGUUAAUGCUUGACCGAUUACAGAAAGGCCUUCAAUAUGUUGAUGUCGGUGAACCCGAUGAGCACGUCAUUCAUGAUGACACGCGUGAUAGUGAUGAUGAUGAUGCAUUUAAUAAUCCCGGAGCAUAUAUAGACGAUCGAGACUAUUAUUAGUUUGUAUGCAUCCCAACUUAAAUUAUAUAUGUACAUAUUAUUCUUCAUGUUAGGUAUUCAAAUUUUUUUAUGUUGUACUACUUUCUUUUACUCUUUGUCAUGGCAUGUGUUGAAAGAUGGUGGGCGCGGGUCCAGAUCGCUUGGCGGAUACUUCAUAGGCGGCCCGCAGGAGGGGUCCGUCCAUUCCACACCUAUCUCUCCAUAGAGUGUUGGCAGCCAGUCUGGGGACACCCGUUGGUGCUUCUUCGCCGGUUGUGUUGCCCACCGGGAGAGGAGGUCGGGUAGGGAAGAAGGCGAAGGGUACAUGACGUGGUCGUGGGAGAGUUCGCGGACUGCUACGCCAUCCUCGCCGCCACCCCCAGCUCAUUCACCUGAGCACAGAACUACUAGGGUGGAGCCAUUUGAGGUGGAGGCUAUGGGAACUCUGGACCACGAGCCUCGGGUCGACAGGCCUUCCGCCCAUGAGACUCCGGUUCCAGAGGCUUCGGCCCACGAGACUCUUGUACCAGGGGCUAUGUCCCAGGAGACUCUCGCCCAGAGGGUUCGUCCGGAUGGGGUACCUGGUCGGAUCGGACCGAGGGGCCAGGGUGGCACUAGUAGAAAAUGGUCCAUUUGUCCCGAUUUCAGAGGCCCAUUAGCCUCGGAUCUGGAACCGGGACUAAAGCGUGGGGACUAAAUCCCAAAACCUUUAGUCUCGGUUCGCUUACCAACCGGGACAGAAGGGUCUCCAUGUGGCCGCUGCGUGGAGCCCAUGCAAGAGGAUCUUUAGCCCCGGUUGGCCACACCAACCGGGACCAAAGGGCAUCCAUGCAUCAGCAUCUGGCAGGAGCUAGGUUUUUGGUUUUUAUGGGGGUGGGGGGUGGGGGUUUUGGAGAGUUAAUUUAGGGGUUUCAUAUUGUGUUAGCUAGCUAAUAGAGAGAAGUGUCCUCUCUUUCUCCGUGCUUGGUCGACGCUAGCUACUAUACAUAUAAAGAGAACUCGACGCUAGCUAAUAAGAAAAUGAAGGAAACCAUUAAUUACACAAGAUCGUCAUGCUGAACAUAUAUAGAGAGAAGUGACAUAUCUUUCUCUGUGCUUGGUCGAACAACAAGUUUUCGUAUACCUAUCUGAUGAUACUACAUAUAUACAAUAUAACAUCUUCUACAAUCCCUAACAUCAUCUACCUAAGAUCCAAUCACAAAUCCACAUGAUAUUCUCCGUCUUUAGGUAUGAUGUGGUCAAGAAAGAAUCCCGCCAAUUCCUCUUGAAUUGCUCGUAUGCGAUCAUAUGGUAGGAGUUCAUCCCGCAUCUGCGAGAUAUAAUUUAAAGAAGGGUCUCAAUACAUGCAUAUAUAUGAAUAAAACUCAACACAACUGAUGGUAAUAUAUAAAAUAAAAUUGUGAAUAUUAUUUACGUACUUCAAAUUGUUUCUCAGAGAAGCCCCACUCAGAGGUCGAGUGGCGAAUGAACUCACAUACGUAGUAUGCACAUAAAACAGUCCCUUCUUCCUGGUACAAGCACUUUACGAGAAUAGAGUUCAAUCAAACUGAUAAGCAAGCAUGGUAAUGAUAUAUUGAUGAAAAUUUGAAUCAAUUAUAGAUGCGUGGAACUAGCUAGUACUACUUACUAUGGGGUGCGUAAAUCGCAACUCUUUGUUUAGACCGGGAACCUACUUCGUGAUGAUCUAGUGUGAGUAAGGCUAGUCCUGUGUGGACGGAAACCAUGGUGGAAUAGACAAGGCCGCUUCUUCAUGGAUCCCUUGUGUAUGGAGCCCUCCAUGGACUCUCAUAGCCGUUACCAUCCGUGGGUUGAAGUCUACACUAACAUGGACGUACGAUAGCACCAUCUAUGAGAACCAUGCCAAAAAUCGUCAUGUCAACCUCAUGCGUUGGAUCUCCCUACCUUACUCCUUUACUUUACACUUGCAUGUUUUACUUCCCCCUGCUAUACUCUUAGAACUGUAUGUGUAGGGUGUACUUGACUUGCCAAAACUAUCAAAACUGGCCCUCAACUAAAACUGGGAAAAGGCUAAGGUUUUAUCUUGUCAAGUAGUCUAAUCACUCCCCCCCCCUCUAGACAUACUUUCCAUCCUACAUCAACGACAAACUACCUCAGCUUUGGUGCAUUAUCUAGACUCAUCAUGAAAUGUCCACACCGUAUAAUUAGGCUUAAAACCACUCCUCUGCAGGUGUUUAAUCAUUACAUCCUUUAUCCUAUUUUUAUAGUUGUUGCACCCAUGAUAAGGGCACCAGUUUGUUUCCUGGCCAUUUCCAAAUGCGGCUUUCACAAACUCCUUGGUUUUUAUAAACCAUUCUUUGGUCAUCUCUUUCUGACUAGUGUGACCGGAGUACAUCCACGCACAAUCACUCAUCUUGUCUGACUGCUAAAGACACUAUAUAUAUAUAUAAUUCAACAUGUAUAUUCAUUAGUUAAUCUAGUUUGUCAAUUUUAUUACAUCCAUGCAACCUACACGCUAAUAGGUAAAGGUAGGUCCUAAUUCCACCCGAGUAUGUGUAGAGUGAGUACGUUAUCCAUGCUCUACUCCAUUCCGAGACAAAAUUUCGGCACCACCUCCCCGUUGUUCUCCAAAUACACGUCUCGGAAAAAAGGUGAGAGAAUGUGCAUCACGAGAAUAAUGGGGAGGCGUUGUCGAAAUUUUGUCUUGGAAUAGGGUAGAGCAUGGAGACCAUACCCAAUCUACACAUCCUCGAACUGUCCGUGGAAGCGCUGGAAUAUCCGAAUAAGUUACAGUGAUAAAUAUGCAACUGAAUGCAUAUUUAUCGAUGCAACCCUUUCGGAUGGGAGACGCCUAGGUUACACGACUUAGCAUGAAAAUGAAAUCUAGUCACAUGAUUAAAACAACGUAGGAGGUGAAGGUGGAUUCAUAGAUCACCCUCAGCUGUAGAGGAAGUAGCCGAACAACGACGGGAUCACAUACCAAAAACUUCGACGACGAUGACUCCUGUAAAUUUUACCGAGUGAAAAAAAUAGAACAUCACAUCACAUAAAGCAUUGGCAGUUCAUACUAUGAGAAAAUCAUAUUGCUAAUUACAUCUCCUCUUCUCCUCCUCCUCUUCCUCUUCCUCUUCUUCUUCUUCUUCUUCUUCUUCUUUCCUUCUCUUCUUCUUCUUCUUCNNNNNNNNNNNNNNNNNNNNNNNNNNNNNNNNNNNNNNNNNNNUCUUCUUCUUCUUCCUCUUUCCUUGUCUUCUUCUUCUACUUCUUCUUCUUCUUCUUCNNNNNNNNNNNNNNNNNNNNNNNNNNNNNNNNNNNNNNCUUCUUCUUCUUCUUCUUAUUCUUAUUCUUCCUCCUCCUCCUCCUCCUUAUUUUCCUUUUUCCUCUUCUUUCUUCUCCACUUCUCCUCUCCUCCUCCUCCUCUUCUUCUUCUUCUUGUUCUUCUUCCUUCUACUUAUUCUUAUUUUGUUCUUCCUCUUUUUUCUUCUUUCUCUACUUCUUUUAAUUAUGACUAAUUAACUAAAACCUAUCACUAAUCUAAUUUAAUCUAGCACUAAACUACAUAUAUAAUCUAAUAUAACAAUUAAACAACAAAAAGGAAGAAAAAACAAAAACAAAAAGCUCAUCGGAGGGCGGUGGGUCGCCGGAGCGGCACGGUCAACACGAGGCCGAAGACGUGUCGGGGGUUGGGGUGAGUGGCGUCGGGGGCGGUGUAUUAACAGCUGCGUGGGGGAUUGUAAUAGCGAUCUAUCAAUGACAUCUUCCUGUCGCCACACGCAGGUGCAGGUGCCUGGUCUCGUGCCGGGAUGUCAUGUUGUGGUGUCAUCGGGGUGUAGUGUCGGGGUGUCACCGGGGUGUCGGGUCGGGGUGUCGUGAAGGGGNNNNNNNNNNNNNNNNNNNNNNNNNNNNNNNNNNNNNNNNNNNNNNNNNNNNNNNNNNNNNNNNNNNNNNNNNNNNNNNNNNNNNNNNNNNNNNNNNNNNNNNNNNNNNNNNNNNNNNNNNNNNNNNNNNNNNNNNNNNNNNNNNNNNNNNNNNNNNNNNNNNNNNNNNNNNNNNNNNNNNNNNNNNNNNNNNNNNNNNNNNNNNNNNNNNNNNNNNNNNNNNNNNNNNNNNNNNNNNNNNNNNNNNNNNNNNNNNNNNNNNNNNNNNNNNNNNNNNNNNNNNNNNNNNNNNNNNNNNNNNNNNNNNNNNNNNNNNNNNNNNNNNNNNNNNNNNNNNNNUCGGGGUGUCGUGAAGGGGGCUUGAUACGUGUCCAACGUAUCUAUAAUUUUUUAUGGUUCCAUGCUAUUAUCAUGUCAACUUUGGAUGUUUUGUAUGCAUGAAUAUGCUAUUUUAUAUCUUUUUUGGGACUAACCUAUUAACUCAGUGCCAAGUGCCAGUUUGUGUUUUUCCGUGUUUUUUACCUUUUUCAGAGAAGAAUAUUAAAUGGAGUCCAAACGGAAUAAANNNNNNNNNNNNNNNNNNNNNNNNNNNNNNNNNNNNNNNNNNNNNNNNNNNNNNNNNNNNNNNNNNNNNNNNNNNNNNNNNNNNNNNNNNNNNNNNNNNNNNNNNNNNNNNNNNNNNNNNNNNNNNNNNNNNNNNNNNNNNNNNNNNNNNNNNNNNNNNNNNNNNNNNNNNNNNNNNNNNNNNNNNNNNNNNNNNNNNNNNNNNNNNNNNNNNNNNNNNNNNNNNNNNNNNNNNNNNNNNNNNNNNNNNNNNNNNNNNNNNNNNNNNNNNNNNNNNNNNNNNNNNNNNNNNNNNNNNNNNNNNNNNNNNNNNNNNNNNNNNNNNNNNNNNNNNNNNNNNNNNNNNNNNNNNNNNNNNNNNNNNNNNNNNNNNNNNNNNNNNNNNNNNNNNNNNNNNNNNNNNNNNNNNNNNNNNNNCCGUGGCUCCUUUGCCCUACCUCUUCCGUCUAAAAAUUCUCUAAAAAUCCAAAACCACCAGAGAGAUCCACGAAAAUACUUUUCCGCCGCCUUACCUCCGUGGCUCCUUUGCCCUACCUCUUUCGCCUUAAAGCAUUACUCUGUUCGUUAUGAACUCAAUACACUCGAUGCAUGCUGGAUAGUGGUCGAUGUGUGGAGUAAUAGUAGUAGAUGCAGAAAGUAUCGGUCUACUUGUCUCGGACGUGAUGCCUAUAUGUAUGAUCAUUGCCUUAGAUAUUGUCAUGACUUUGCGCGAUUCUAUCAAUUGCUCGACAGUAAUUUGUUCACCCACCAUAAUACUUGCUAUCAUGAGAGAAGCCUCUAGUGAACACUAUGGCCCCCCGGGUCUACUUCACAUCAUAUUUUCAGAUCUACACUUUUACUUUGUUGCACUUUCCACUUUCAGAUCUCACCUUGCAAAUAAUCGCGAAGGGAUUGACAACCCCUUUAUAGCGUUGGGUGCAAGUUUGUUUGUUUUUGCGCAUAGACAUUGGUGCCUCAUCUUGAUACUCCUACUGGAUUGAUACCUUGGUUCUCAAACUGAGGGAAAUACUUAUCGCUACUGUGCUGCAUCACCCUUUCCUCUUCAAGGGAAAAACCAACGCAAGCUCAAGAGGUAGCAAGAAGAAUUUCUGGCGUCGUUGCCGGGGAGGAUCAAGUCAAGAAUAGUCUCCCGUCAACGUGCCAAUUUUUGGCGCCGUUGUCGGGGAGUAUUCAAAGUGAAGCAUAUCCAAGUAACUAUCGCAAACUCAUCUCUUGCAUUUGCUUUAUUUUCCUUUUGCCUCUCGUUUUCCUCUUCCCCACUUAUGAAAAAACCAAAAUUUACAAAAAUAUUUACCUUUUUCGUUCACCCUUUUCUUUCGCUUGCUUUCUGUUCCCUUGUGUGCUUGUCUGCUUGCUGAGUCACCAUGACUGAAAACACCAAAUUGUGUGACUUCUAGAAUACUAAUUGUCGUGGUUUUGUCACGGCAGAUGUCCUCGUACAAGGACUUAGGUGUGAGGCCAUCGCAACCAUGUGGCGGCUUGAAGGGGUUGGUCGGAAUCGAGAGACACGAGUUUACCCAGGUUCGGCCCCUUCGAUGGAGGUAAAAGCCUAUGUACUGCUUGUGUUUCAUUGAUGAAGAUGAUGAUCUCGAUUACAAGGGUGUGGAAUCGCUACCUCUAAUCUCGAGGGUGUCUAAUAUAUCUCUCUCUUGACUUAUUUGUCUAAGAUCUGACUAUUGAGACCUCUAAAAAACCUAACCCUCUUGGGGUGCCUCGUCCCUCCUUAUAUAAGCUGAAGGGGCGAGUUACAUAUAGAGUCCAAGCCGGAUUUAGGCUUAGCAUAUUAUGACUCCCCAUCACGGGACUCUCUUCGUGGGCUUCUGAGUCCCGGGCGACUUACGGACGGAUUGCUGAGUCCCGGGCGACUUACGGACGGAUUGCUGAGUCCCGGGCGGCUUACAAACGGAUUGCUGAGUCAGGGGCGGCUCAGGACCGGGCUGCUUAGGAUCAGGCUUCUAAGGACCGGACUUCUUAGGACCGGGCUGCUCAGGACCGGGCUUCUCAGGAUGGGGCUGCUCAGGACCGGGCUCCUCAGGACCGGGCUGCUCAGGACCGGGCUGCUAAGGACCAGGCUUCUCAGGACCGGGCUGCUCAGGACCGGGCUUCUUAGCAUCGGGCUACUUAGGACCGGGCUUCUCUUCGAGACUCAUCUUCAGGGAAUCCGUGUGCCGGGUCAUACCACGAGGUAUAUCCCCAACAUUAGCCCCCAGGUUAGCUUGAAUUUAUUCAUGGUAAGAUCCUGAAAUAAGAAUAGCAAAUAUGCGAAGUGACCGGUUCUCUCCAUUAAUCGGUUUAUAAAGUAGCUCCUCAGAAAUCCAGUUUCCUCAUAAAUCCGGCCUCUUCUUCAUAUGAAUGAGUCGUCUUCACAAUCAUCUUGCAGAUCCAUGUCCUUUGCAAAAUAAGUACAUAUGCCAUUGAGUCGGCCUCCAAUGCUUUGGAUUGAAAAAAUUUGGGGAAUAAGAAACCCACACAAUGUUGAACCAGCUUCUCUUGCUUCGUCGGGUUAUGAUUGACAAUGGCGAGUCAUGAUCGCUAAUGGCGGGUCAUGAUUAUUGGUAAUGCCCCGUCAAACAACUGAACUUCAAUUGACUAUUUCCAAUUAUUGGGAAUAAAGAAAAUCCGUGUGAUGUUGAGCCGGUCUCCCAAUACUCCACCUUCAUGAUGAAAUGAAAUGUGCUCUUUAAUUUUAUGAUAUAUCCAUAUUACCUGUAGCCCCCAAGUGCCGGGUUGUCUUGCCUGCAGCAACCUGGGACUUUUAGAAAUUUUGAUCUGAAUAGUGUAGCCCCCAAGUGAUGAGUUGAUUGCUUGCGACGACUCGGGACUUCCACGUUCUUCUCCUUUGAAAAUAAAACAUCAUAUGAUGUAGCCCCCAAAGGGUCGGGUCUUUAUGCAAUAUUGAGCAGGGACUUUGUAGAUCUGUCUAUGUAAACUUCAGCGGCAAUAUGUAGCCCCCAAAGGCCGGGUCAUUAUAAAAAUGAUGAGCCGGCUCUUCCUUGAAUCCAUACUUGAACAAAGAGCGAUAUGUAGCCCCCCAGGGCCGGGUUAUCUCCUUGAGGUAGCCGGGUCUGUUGAUGAUGUGAUGAUUUGAAAAGCGGAUUGCAUUAGCCCCCAAGUGUCAUGGUGCAUGCUUGCAGCAACAUGGGACUUCCAUACCUUGAUGUAAUCUUGAUUUGAAUAAUGUAGCCCCCAAGUGUCGGGUUGUGUGCCUGCAGUGACUCGGGGCUAUUCCUCCCAUUGUAGAAUAAAAUCAUAUCCACUCUGUGAGCUGAUGAUGCCUUUGUGAUAAAAGAAAUCCUUGACCAUGGUUUGCAAUGUAACCCGACAAAUAUAUCCUUGAGAAAUCCAUAUGUUUGAGAAAUCCAUAAGUGUUGUAGUUUACUACAGAGCACAAGUUGAAGAAAUCCAAGGGCCGGUCAAUUAAGUGACUCGGCAUUAUAUGUGAUGGGGCGGCUCUUCGACAAUAGUCAAUUCUUCUAAGCUGGCUUAAUACCCCAAUCACUUAACUCUGGUUAUGAUAAACCAUGAUGAAAAUCCAGCUAAACUGGCCAUUCAAAGAUUUAUUUGCACCUGCAAGAAUGUAUGCUUUAACCCGGUUUUGAAGACCGGCAUGAUAUGUAUGUAUGAUGUAUGAUGCAAUGCAAAAUGAUGCAUGUAUAUGACAAAAUAUUGCUGGUUUAUGAGAUUUGAAUCUUACUUCAAUGAAACUAGCUUGUUAGCCACUGGUUUAUCCUCGCUCUCUGUAAGCCGGCACUCGCGACCAAUCGAUGUUUUAACCUCGAUAGUUCAGGGUCCAACUGGAUUGACAUAUCGAGAGUACAUGGGAUUCGGAGUAGCAUCAUGCAGACAGGCAGGUUUAACCAAGUUUCAAAGAAGGCGGCUUAAUAGCCCAUGGAAUAUCCUCGCUUUCUGUAAGCCGGCACUCGCGACCAAUCGAUGUUUUAACCUCGAUAGUUCAGGGUCCAACUGGAUUGACAUAUCGAGAGUACCCGGGAUUCGGAGUAGCAUCAUGCAGACAGGCAGGUUUGACCAAGAAGGUGGCUUAAUGGCAAAUGGAGUAUCCUCGCUUUCUGUAAGCCGACACUCACGACCAAUCGAUGUUUUAACCCGGAUAAGUUCAGGGUCCAUAUGGAUUGACUUAUCAUGAAACGGAGUACACGGGAUUCGGAGUAGCAUCACGCAGAUAGGAAGGUUUAACCAUGAACUCUUGCCAUUAAGCCGGGCACCCAUGUUUGUACUGCGCAUCAUGGCGACUCGUCCUCUUGGGCGAUUUUAAAAUGCCCGCCAAUGAAGCAAUAGCCCUUGGAGCCGGGUUAUCUUGCCUGUAAUGACCUGAUGUUCUUGAAUUAUUCAGCCUGGUUGGAUCUGGCGAGCCAUGUAUUUAUAGCCCCCGAGUCUUAAGUCGACUCAAGGAGGCGGCUUGAGAGUCUUCAUACUUGACUGCGGCAUAAACCGGAGGAGAAAAAUGCUGGUACCCGCUCCAUCUGAUGUGUUGAUGUAGAUUGGACCGUGGGGACGACGGCUUGUGCACAUCUGUUGGGCGGCUUUAUAAGUGAGCACUGCACGAUAUGUUGAUGUAGACGUGGAAGUCAGCCGCGACGUUUGAAACCAGCUUGGUAACACAACCGAGAUAAUAGUUUGUGGCGUUGUAAGCCUUCUUAGUUGCGCUGACGUGAGUGUAAGUCGUCUCGGUUAUGCGGACGUGACAGUUGGCCGCAUCAUUUGUAAAUAGGUGCUCGCAGCGAGUUGUCCGUCAAUUAUGAACUGGCAUGGACGGCGAGUUGGCCGCGGUAUUGUAUGCCGGCGCAUGAGUCCGUUGAGCAAAGCCAGUAAUCUUAUAUCACAUUUGUAAUGAGUACUUGUCCUGCGUAGAAAAAUAAUGUAGACAAAGUAAUUGUCCUUUUGAAAGAAUUAGACAUACUGAUAAAAUAUACUGGAUGAAUAUCACGUGAUAUAUUUGACUUAGCCUGUUUAGCUGCCCCAUUCUAGAUGAACUACGGGUGGCACUUGAUGCACGCACAGGGCACGAUCCAUCCAUCAGCCAUCCACCAUCUAUCCAUGCACACAAUUUAUGCACGGGAAAGAUUCAUCAAGGACCCAAGUAGCCAAGGGAGCCGCACACAUCAGCCAGACACGAGGCGAGCGGGAAUAGCGCAGUAGCAGGAACUGGAUGAAGGUGAGGCCGUGAUGAUGUAGGGUGGAGUUGACUACGUCACGGCGGGUCAUGAUGUAUCGGGCCAGGCGAGGCAAAGCCGGCCGACUCGUCGCGCGGCGACGGUGGAUGGUGCAGCGGCGACUAUGGGCACAUCGGCGGCUCAUGGCAUGGCGGAGGAUGUAAGCGGACGGCGGCUCAAGGCACAUCGGCGUGUUGCGGCGGCAGCGAGGCAGAGCGUGGUGAAGCAGGGGCGAACGAGGCCGAGGUCGAAGUGGUGAGGAGUUGAUGAGGCGCGGUUGAUGCAACAUCUAUGGCGGAGGGUAGCAGCGGGAGCAGGGCAAGGCGACUUGAGGCGAAGCUGAGGUGGGUGGCUCGGAGACCGAGCCGACUGGGGCAUGACAGAGCAAGACAACGACACGACCAGCGCGGGCAUUAUGCUCACACGGGGGCGGCUCAAGCGACGAGUCUCGCGACGAGUGCGCGGCGCUGACGGCGAAGCAGCGGCUGAGCCGGCUAGGGGCGACUCGCGGCGAGGGCGAGAUGAGCCAGAAGGAGGCGACUCGGGUCGUGGCGUUGCCCGCCCGCAACAGAGGUGGAGCUCGUAACAACGACUCGGUCGGGGCGGCUCAGAGCUCUCAGCCAUGGUAGAGGCGAAGCGAAACCAUUGCAGAGGCAGAGCUCGCGGCGGUAGCUCAGGUGGGGCGGCUCGGCGGCGUUGGUUCGUGGCAGAGACGGAGCUCGCGACGGCGGUUCGUCCGGGACGCUCGGCGACGUCGUCCCGUGGUGGAGGCGAAGCUUACGACGGCGGUUCGUCCGGGACGCUCGGCGACGUCGUCCCGUGGUGGAGGCGAAGCUUACGACGGCGGCUCGGCCGGGACGGCUCAACAAUGUCAAUCCAUGAAGGAGGCAGAAACAGCGGCGGCGGCUCAGGGCGCGGACGACGGCUGGCAUCACCAGUUCUUCAAAGUGCAACGACGACUCGAGGCUGACGUCGAGCGGCAACACCCGCGGCCGAUCACAUCAGCCCAUUAACGAUUGAUUUGAGAUGACUCGGAGGCGGCGACUCGAGGCCACCUCAGACCGAAGAGCAGAUGACUCGCCCUUGCCGCUCCAGCCGGCCUCCGUACAGAUCGCUUUGGGUGGUGGCGAGCCGUCAAGCACGACAGCAAUAUAGGCGGGACGCAGUGGCGGCUCGGCCGGGGCGGUUGACAAGACGACAGCGGAGGACAGCGGCGGGUCGAGGCGAGGUGACCGGCGGCUUGGAAACGAGGCCGACCCUGAGCACAAUUGAGAGAGGCGCCCGCGGAGGCGGGGUGCGGCCAUGGCAACGAGAGCAGCAAACACGACGGAGUCAUCACGAUAAGGCGGAUCGAGGCAAAGGGGGCGACGUGUGAGGAGCUUGAUCCGCGUCGUCGCCCCAAAAUUCCUGACCACAGCCUUGCUCCGAGUGGGCAGAAGUAGCAGUAGUUUUACUGUAUAUGUGCUCCUUCUAAUUCUUUUUAUGCGCAUAACCUUCAUCCUCUAAUCCUUAUGAAGACCAGUACUUCUCAUCUCCUGCACCUUCUGAUUGGGGCCUGGGAAGCUUCUUCCUUAUCCUUCGUGUAUACCAGAAUCACAACAACAAGAAGCUAGUUAACACAUUGUAAGUAAACGCGUCAACAAGGGUGAGCGCGGCGAGGAGACAACUCGCGCAAAGCGAUGCACGGGUCGAGAAACGGCGCAACGAACGCGACGGGGCAGGUCGGCGAGGAUGCAGCUCGCGCGGGAACGGCUCAGGGUGCGGCGGGGGCGGCGAGGAUGCACCAGUUGAUCGUGUUGGAUGUUUCUGAUCCCCCAGGCUUGGACGGUUGUAUGUUGAGCAGCGACGAUGACUCAUAAAUUGCGUCGCUGUAAUCCGACUCGCACAAGGGCUGUUUUUGACGCGCCUGCUUCACUUGAUGGAAUCGAAUCAAACGGAAUAGAUCUGGGUCUCGGUGAGAAUUAGACAUCAAGCGCACAGUCCGCCAUGAAAAAGGAGUUGACGUAAAUCUUUCUGAGUCAGCUCUUCCUCGUUCGAUAAAUCGCGAACUCCUUAACCCUGAUAAUUUCCCUUCAAGAACACAAAAUCAUCGUGCGACAAGCCCCACGGUGGGCGUCAACUGUCGUGGUUUUGUCACGGCAGAUGUCCUUGUACAAGGACUUAGGUGUGAGGCCAUCGCAACCAUGUGACGGCUUGAAGGGGUUGGUCGGAAUCGAGAGACGCGAGUUGACCCACGUUCGGCCCCUCCGAUGGAGGUAAAAACCUACGUCCUGCUUGUGUUUCAUUGAUGAAGAUGAUGAUCUCGAUUACAAGGGUGCGGAAUCGCUACCUCUAAUCUCGAGGGUGUCUAAUCUAUCUCUCUGUUGACUUAUUUGUCUAAGAUCUCACUAUUGAGACCUCUAAAAAACCUAAACCUCUUGGGGUGCCUCGCCCCUCCUUAUAUAAGAUGAAGGGGCGAGUUGCAUAUAGAGUCCAAGCCGGAUUUAGGCUUAGCAUAUUAUGACUCCCCAUUACGGGCCUCUCUUCGUGGGCUUCUGAGUCCCGGGCGACUUACGGACGGAUUGUGAGUCCCGGGCGACUUACGUACGGAUUGCUGAGUCCCGCGCGACUUACAAACGGAUUGUUGAGUCCCGGGCGGCUCAGGACCGGGCGGCUUAGGACCGGGCUGCUUAGGACCGGGCUUCUCAAGACCGGGCUUCUUAGGGCCGGGCUGCUCAGGACCGGACUACUCAGGACCGGGCUUCUUAGGACCGGGCUGCUCAGGACCGGGUUUCUCAGGACCGGGCUGCUCAGGACCGGGCUUCUCAGGACCGGGCUGCUCAGGACCGGGCUACUUAGGACCGGGCUUCUCAAGACCGGGCUUCUUAGGACAGGGCUGCUCAGGACCGGGCUGCUCAGGACCGGGCUUCUCAGGACCGGGCUUCUCAGGACCGGGCUGCUCAGGACCGAGCUUCUCAGGACCGGGCUACUCAGGACCGGGCUUCUGAGGACCGGGCUGCUCAGGACUAGGUUACUCAGGACUGAGCUUCUCAGGACCGGGCUGCUCAGGACCGGGCUGCUCAGGACCGGGCUACUCAGGACCGGGCUUCUUAGCAUCGGUAUACUUAGGAUCGGGCUUCUCUUCGAGACUCAUCUUCAGGGAAUCCGUCUGCCGGGUCAUACCACGAGGUAUAUGCCCAACAUUAAUAAUAAUGAUUUUAUUAGUACUCCGAUUGCUCCCGUUACUAGUACGGAAUCAUAUGAAAUCAAUGCUGCCUUGCUGAAUCUUGUUAUGAAAGAGCAAUUUUCCGACCUUCCUAGUGAAGAUGCCGCAUGAUACGUCUCCAUCGUAUCUACUUUUCCAAACUCUUUUGCCCUUGUUUUGGACUCUAAUUUGCAUGAUUUGAAUGGAACUAACCCGGACUGAUGCUGUUUUCAGCAGAAUUGCCAUGGUGUUGUUUUUGCGCAGAAAUACAAGUUCUCGAAAUGACUUGGAAAUUUACGAGGAUUUUUUGUGGAAUAUAUAAAAAAUACUCGCGCAAGAAUCGCCUAGAGACGUGGAGCCAGGAGGCCACAAGCACAGGAGGCGUGACCCCCUUGGCCGCGCCUGGCAGGCUUGUGAGCCCCUCGUGGCUCUGCCGCCUCCAGUUCCAGCUCUAUAUAUUCUCUCUCGCCCGGAAAAAAAUCAGAGAGAAGAGUUCAUCGCGUCUUACGAUACGGAGGCGCCGCCACCACCUGUUCUUCCUCUGGAGGGCAGAUCUGGAGUCUGUUUUGGGCUCCGGAGAGGGGAAAUCGUCGUCGUCGUCAUCACCAACCUUCCUUCAUCGCCAAUUCCAUGAUGCUCUUUACCGUUCGUGAGUAAUCUCAUCGUAGGCUUGCUGGACGGUGAUGGGUUGGAUGAGAUCUAUCAUGUAAUCGAGUUAGUUUUGAUGGGGAUUGAUCCCUAGUAUCCACUAUGUUCUGAGAUUGAUGUUGCUACUACUUUGCUAAGCUUAAUGCUUGUCACUAGGGCCCGAGUGCCAUGAUUUCAGAUCUGAACCUAUUAUGUUUUCAUCAAUAUAUGUGUGUUCUUGAUCCUAUCUUGCAAGUUGUAGUCACCUACUAUGUGUUAUGACCCGGCAAUCCCGGAGUGACAAUAGCCGGAACCACUCCCGGAGAUGACCAUAGUAUGAGGAGUUCAUGUAUUCACAAAGUGCUAAUGCUUUGUUCCGGUUCUAUAUUAAAAGGAGAACCUUAAUAUCCCUUAGUUUCCAUUAGGACCCCGCUGCCACGGGAGGGAUGGAAAAUAGAUGUCAUGCAAGUCCUUUUCCAUAAGCACGUAUGACUAUAUACGGAAUGCAUGUCUAUAUUACAUUGAUGAACUGGAGCUAGUUACAUAUCUCCCCAUGUUAUAACUGUUACAUGAUGAAUGUCAUCCGGCAUAAUUAUCCAUCACCGAUACAAUGCCUACGAGUCUUUUCCUACUGGUCCUUGCUACGUUACUUUGCCGCUAUUGCUGUCGCUGCUCCAACUGUUACCGCUACUGAUGUCACUAUUGCUACUGUUACCAUUGCUACCGUUGCUAUCACACUACUUUGCCUCUGAAACUUUGUUGCAGAUACUAAGUCUUUCAGGUGUGGUUGAAUUGACAACUCAACUGCUAAUACUCUAGAAUAUUAUUUUGCUUCCCCUUGUGUCGAAUCAACAAAUUUGGGUUGAAUACUCUAUCCUCUAAAACUGUUGCGAUCCCCUAUACUUGUGGGUUAUCAAGACUAUUUUCUGGCGCCGUUGCCGGGGAGGCCUAGCUCUAUUCUCUGAGUCACUUGGGAUUUACGUCUCUUGAUCACUAUGAGGAAUCCGAGAGAUCCAAAAACUAAAGUCUUGCCCUCAACUAUGAGGACAGGUAAGGAACUGUCAUCUAGCUCUGCACUUGAUUCACCUUCAGUUAUGAGUAAGUUUGCGACACCAUCGCGUACUAGAAAUUUUGAUGUGUCGCUUGUGCUUGAUGAUGCAACUUCUGCUAUCCAUGAUGCUUGUGAUGAUGCUUUGCUUGAUACUGCUUUGCCACUAGGUGCAUUCCUUGAUGCAUAAAUUGCUAGAGUUGCUGCUGAAUGUGGUGAUACUUCUGAAACUGCUAAAAUUAUUGAAGUAGAACCUGUUGUUUCACCUGUUAUAACUAGCUCUCCUAGAUAUGAAUUGCCUGAUAUACCUGAGGGUUAUGUUAUGGAGGGAGAGGUAGCUGAGGACUUUCUUGCUUGUAAGGAUAGCUAUGAUCUUGAGAAUUUACUGCGCAAGUGGAAGGAAAAAUCUCUGAAUGCUAGAAUGAAAUACGAUCCUAAGUUUGCUACUUCACCCAUCUUUGUAACUGAUAAGGAUUAUGAAUUCUCUGUCGAUCCUGAGUUAAUCACUUUGGUCGAAUCUGAUCAUUUUCAUGGUUAUGACUCUGAAACGGUUGUAGCACAUCUUACCAAGCUGAAUGAUAUAGCCACCCUAUUCACGAGUGAGGAAAAGAUUCGCCAUUACUAUAUCCUUAAGUUGUUUCCUUUCUUGCUAAAGGGUGAGGCUAACACUUGGUUUACUUCUCUUGCUCUUGGUUGUGUGCGUAGUCCCCAGGAUAUGAUCUACUACUUCUUUGAGAAAUAUUUUCCUGCCCAUAAGAAACAAGCUGCCUUGCAGGAUAUAUAUAACUUUGUGCAGGUUGAAAAAGAGAGUCUCCCACAAGCUUGGGGGAGGCUUGUCCAGUUACUGAAUGCUUUGCCUGGUCACCCUCUUGAGAAGAAUGAAAUACUUGAUAUCUUUUAUAAUGGACUAACCGAUGCUUCUACGGACCACCUAGAUAGUUGUGCUGGUUGUGUUUUCAUGGAACGAACUGUGGAACAAGCUGAAACUCUAUUGAAUAAUAUCUUGAGCAAUGAUAAUGCUUGGACUAUUCCCGAACCACCACCGAAGCCAACUCCGAAGAAAAGAGGUAUUCUAUUCCUCAGUCCUGAAGAUAUGCAAGAAGCCAAGAAAUCUAUGCAAGAGAAGGCAUUAAAUCUAAAGAUGUUAAGAAUCUACCACCUAUCGAAGAGAUCCAUGGUCUUGAUAACCCGACACAGGUAGUAGAGGUAAAUUCUCUUCGUAGAUUCAAUGAGAGUGAUAUUCCCUUUGAUAAACCUGCUAGAUUAUGCUUAGAUGAUUUUGAUAACUUUGUUGUCAAACAACGAAGUUUCAAUGAUUAUGUUAGCAGACAAUUGGAACAGAAUGCUCGUAUGCUUAGUCAUUUAAGUGCUUGUGUGGAUAGAAACGUCAAUGAUCUUAAGCUUUUGAGUAAACACGCCUCUAUGGUCACUACUCAAGUAGAACAAGUACUUAAGGCUCAAAAUGACUUGCUCAAUGAGUUGAAUGACAAUUCUGUUAGAGUCGUCACUAGAGGUGGUAGAAUGACUUAGGAACCUUUGUAUCCUGAGGGCCAUCCUAAGAGAAGUGAACAAGAUUCUCAAGGAGUUAGCACGGAGGCACCUAGUCAUCCUAGUAAUAGGAAGAAAAGGAAAGAUGAUAGGAACUUGCAUUCUAGCAAACAUGCUGCCGUUACACCUGAGAAUCCAAAUGGUAUCUCUAAUUCUGAUGCCGAAACACAAACUGGUGAUGAACAUGAGCCUAAUGAUAAUAUCGAUAGUGAUGUUCAGGAUGAUGCUCAACCUAGUAAUGAUAAGGAUGUGGAGAUUGAACCUAGUGUUGAUCUUGAUAACCCACAACCUAAGAACAAGAGAUACGAUAAGAAUGACUUCAUUGCUAGGAAGCAUGGUAAAGAAAGAGAACCAUGGGUUCAGAAACCCAUGCCCUUUCCUCCCAAACCAUCCAAGAAAAAGGAUGAUGAGGAUUUUGAGCGCUUCGUUGAAAUGAUUAGACCUGUCUUUCUGCAAAUGCGUUUGACAGAUAUGCUCAAAAUGUCUCCUUAUGCUAAGUACAUGAAGGAUAUUGUGACUAACAAAAGGAAGAUACCCGAGGUUGAGAUUUCCACCAUGCUUGCCAAUUACACCUUCAAGGGUGGAACUCCUAAGAAACUAGGUGAUCCCGGAGUGCCCACUAUACCAUGCUCCAUUAAAGGAAAUUAUGUUAGAACCGCUUUAUGCGAUCUUGGAGCUGGUGUUAGUGUUAUGCCUCUCUCUCUCUUUAUCGUAGACUUGAAUUGGAUAAGUUGACACGCACUGAAAUCUCCUUGCAAAUGGCCGACAAAUCAACUGCUUCCCCUAUCGGCAUUUGCGAGGAUGUGCCUGUUGUGGUUGCUAACGUUACUAUCUUAACGGACUUUGUUAUUCUGGAUAUUCCCGAGGAUGAUGCCAUGGCGGUCAUCCUUGGAAGACCCUUUUUAAACACUGCAGGGGCUGUUAUUGAUUGCAACAAAGGCAAUGUCACUUUCCAUGUUAAUGGUAAUGAGCACACGGUGCACUUUUCAAAGAAACAAUAUCGAGUACAUUGCAUCAAUGCUAUUGAAAAAACUUCAUCGAUUCUUAUUAGGAGCUUUGAAAACCCUAUACCUACUGUCAAGAUGAAGUAUGACUUACUUGUUGGGGAUAUGCACAUCCCCGUUGAGGUAACAUAGUGAUUAUUCGAAAAUUCUCCGGUUUUAUGCGAUUCAAAAAAAGUUUGUCAAGGAGACUUGAUCAACCUCAUUGACAGAUUUCUUUUGAUGACCAUGAGAUGUAUGAAUCUAGGAGUCACAACCCUUUGUUCCGAACUUUUACUUUUUGUUGUUUAGAAGAAAAAUGAUAGAUUUAGCUUUAUUUUCCUGUUUUGUGCUUUUUGCGUCCCUUAGAAAAGUGUCCCAAAAAUAAAAGUUCUUCAAAUGCCCUAAAAAUCAAGUAUGAUUUUUUCUGGAUUUUUUGAAAAAUUCUGAGACACAGAGCUAGUCAGGGGGAUGCACCAGUGGGCCACAAGCCCAGGAGGCGUGGCCACCCCCUGGCCGUGCCUGGCAGGCUUGUGGGCCCCACGUGGCCCCCUCCACUUAUUCCAGCUCCCAUCUCCUUCUCCUACCUCCAGAAAAAAUCAUUCCACAACUCAAACCCGUGUUCUUGCUCUUCUUGCUGCGUUUUUCGAUCUCCUUGUGCAAAACCCCAUUCACCAAACUGUUUUGGGGGAAUUGUUCCUUGGUAUGUGACUCCUCCAUUGGUCCAAUUAGUUUUUUCUCUAGUUCUUUAUCCGUUGCAUAUUUUUGCUGCCUUGGUGACCCUGUUCUUGAGCUUUGCACGCUAAUUUUAGUUGGUCCCAAGUAGUUUUGAUGCAUGAUACGACCUCUAGGCACUUGAAGGAGUAGUUGCUAUGAGUUUUGUUGAGCCUUGUUCACUUUUCUUUUGUGUCACUAAAAAUUUCAGAAAAGGAAGAUGUUCAGGAGAAACUAUCAUGAUGGUUCCUCAAGGAAAAGGGGUCCCCGUCUCUCGAUUCGGGAGCCUGAUCCUUACCAACCAAGGAACGCACAUGUACAACCAUGUGAAUGGCCUUCUGAUGAAUUCAUGAUUGAUGCAGGUUUCAAAGACGAGUUUGAUACAUGUGUUCACAACGCCGGGCUCGAAGAAUUGAUCUCCAACAAAUGCGAACAUUAUACUACCCUCACUGCCUCUUUUGUUCGUAGAUUCAAAUUUUCAGUUGGCCAUGACGCAUCCAUACUGUUUGAUCUGUAUGACGAAUUGUAUACCAUGGAUUUAGAGGAUUUCAAUAGAAUUUGCAAGAUACCUGAUUGGGGUAGUCUCAGUGAUCCUCCUAAGUCUUCGGUUAGAGAUUUUAUCUCUAGUAUAACUGUUGGAGAAACUAGAGAUAUUACGCAGGCUACCAUGGGGAGCAUUCAUUUUCCUGCCUUGCAUUACUUUGCCCUCUCCAUAGGUAGAUGCAUUAACGGCAAGAUUGAGCAUUGUCACCUCUGCGCACCUGACCUUAGUAUUCUUAAGAGCGCAGUAACGGGUGAUAGAAGUUUCAACAUGGGAGCUAUAAUAGAGAGGAGGCUAAAUAAUAAUGCUAAUGAAGGGGAUUUCUUUGGUGGGAUCUAUGCCACUCGCAUAGCAAAUUUUCUUGGAGUACCCAUCCGCGAAGGAGAUCCCCGCUCCAUACAACUUUCCUUGAUCGCGCCGCUAUGACAUGUUAUUAGUUCCUUGAGAGGGAUAAUGAAUUCCUCCUAUACCGGUUAAUAUUUAACCGACAACGUAUUUUCCAUAUUACCCUUCCUGCUCCUGCCUUCUUUGACUUUCAGGUAAAACGGAGAUAUUACAUAACCAGAGGAGAGGCACAGGAGUAUGAGAGGGAGGCAAAGGCUGCUCGCCUCCGUGAGGCAGCUAUUCAGGCGGUAGCUGCCUGAUGACCCACAAGUAUAGGGUAUCUAUCGUAGUCCUUUCGAUAAGCAAGAGUGUUGAACCCAACGAGGAGCAGAAGGAUGUGACAAGUGGAUUUCAGCAAGGUAUUCUCUGCAAGCACUGAAAUUAUCGGUAACAGAUAGUUGUGUGAUAAGAUGAUUCGUAGCAAGUAGCAAGUAGCAAAAGUAAUAACGGUGCAGCAAAGUGGCCCAAUCCCUUUUGUAGCAAGGGACAAGCCUGGAGAAACUCUUAUAGGAGGUAAAAUGCUUCCGAGGACACAUGGGAAUUUCUGUCAAGCUAGUUUUCAUCAAGUUCAUAUGAUUCGCGUUCGCUACUUUGAUAGUUUGAUAUGUGGGUGGACCGGUGCUUGGGUGCUGCCCUUACUUGGAAAAACCUCCCACUUAUGAUUAACCCCUCUCGCAAUCAUCCACAACUACAAAAGAAGAAUUAAGAAAAAGUCUAACCAUAGCAUUAAACUAGUGGAUCCAAAUCAGCCCCUUACGAAGCAAUGCAUAAACUAGGGUUUAAGCUUCUGUCACUCUAGCAACCCAUCAUCUACUUACUACUUCCCAAUGCCUUCUUCUAGUCCCAAAUAAUGGUGAAGUGUUAUGUAUUCGACGUUCACAUAACACCACUAGAGGAAAAACAACAUGCAACACAUCAAAAUAUCGAACGAAUACCAUUUCACAUAACUACUUAUAGCAUGACUUAUCCCAUGUCCUGAGGAACAAAAGUGACUACUCACAAAACAUAAUAAUAUUCAUGACCAGAGAGGUAUUGAAUAGCAUCAAGGAUCUGAACAUAUAAUCUUCCACUGAGUAAUCCAACUAGCAUCAAGUACAAAGAGUAAUUAACACUACUAGCAACCUUACAAGUACCAAUCAGAGUCGCGAGACGGAGAUUGGUUACAAGAGAUGAAUAGGGUCUGGAGAUGAGAUGGUGCUGAUGAAGAUGUGGAUGGUGAUGAGUCCCCUCCGAUGAGAGGAGUGUUGGUGAUGAUGAUGGCGACGAUUUCCCCCUCCGGGAGGGAAGUUUCCCCGGCACGACGACCCUACCGGAACUCUAGAUUGGUUCUGCUCAAGUUCCGCCUCGUGGCAGCGGCGAUUCCUCCCGAAAGCCUCCUCUUGAUUUUUUUUGGAACGAAACCCUCCUUACAGCAAAAGAGGGGGGCCAGAGGGCCAACAGGGAGCCCACAAGCCCCCUAGGCGUGACCAGGGGGUAGGCCGCGCCUAGCAGGCUUGUGGCCUCCUACUGGCUCCCCUCUGGUACUUCUUCGACCCAGUAUUUUUUAUAAAUUCCAAAAUAAAUCCUCGUUGAUUUUCAUGGCUUUUGGAGUUGCACAGAAUAGGUAUCUCAAACUUGCUCCUUUUUCAGGCCAGAAUUCCAGCUGCCGACAUUCUCCCUCUUCAUGUAAACCUUGCAAAAUAAGAGAGAAAAGGCAUACGUAUUGUACCGUGAAGUGUAAUAACAGCCCAUAAAGCGAUAAAUAUCAACAUAAAAGCAUGAUGCAAAAUGGACGUAUCACUACCGCGCUCCCGUACAACCCCGAUUAUGAUUUUGGAUAUAGCCCGGACUAGCCGUGGGAGUAGUCCAACUUAGGCCAAAAGCCUAAGCUUGGGGGAGUACGUGUUUCUCACCGACUUUAUAUUCAUGCUUACACUUUCACUUUGUUAGUCAGUGUUCACACUUUGCCACUGUAUCAUCCAUGCUAGUUUAUUUCUUUUUCUCGCUUUCUUCUCAUGUGUUUGUUUAGUUUGAGAAAAACAAAUCAAAUUACUUGUAAGCUUGCUUUCCAGCUUGCUUAGUGGUGUUUAAAAAAAGGAAAACCCAAAAAGAUUUCCCGUUCUUCUUUUGCUUGUUGAGAGCUUUCCCGUGUAAAUAGUUUUCUUUGUCUUUGGGUCAAGGUAGAAGACCAUGGUUACAAUGUUUAGUGGCUCUCGCAUGCAUAUCUGUUUAUCCGUCAAAGAGCCAUAUUACUUUGUCUUCUUCUCUAUGUUUGCUUGCAGAUUCCAGCUUAGUCCAAUGCAUGGACACUCUCAUUAUGAUUCACAUCAUUCGGCCGUGCAAGUGAAAGGCAAUAAUGACGAUAUACGAUGAAGUGACUGAGCCUGGAAAAGCUGGUAUGAACUCGAUCUCUUUUGUUUUUGUAGAUAUGACUAGCUCAUCGUUCCUGAUUCAGCUUUUUUAUGAGAGAAACAUGUUUGCAAUGACAACUUAGAGAUCAUAGUUUCUGAUGCCAUGCUUAAUUAGCUAGGAGAUUAUAAUGGUUUGUCUUGGAUGCCAACAUGAAUUUCAAGAUGAUUAUGAUGUAGUAUGAUAGGAUGGUAUCCUCCUUUGAAUGAUUUAAGUGGCUUGACUUGGCACAUGUUUACGCAUGUAGUUGAAACAAAAUCAACAUAGCCUCUAUGAUAUUCAUGUUUAUGGUGAUUUAUGUCCUACUCAUGCUUGCACUCAAUGUUGGUUAAUUUCAAUGCGUAUUGAUAACUGUUGUCGCUCUCUAGUUGGUCGCUUCCCAAUCUUUUGCUAGCCUUCACUUGUACUAAGCGGGAAUACUGCUCGUGCAUCCACUUCCAUAAACCCAAAGUUGUUCCAUAUGAGUCCACCAUACCUACCUAUAUGCGGUAUCUACCUGCCGUUCCAAGUAAAUUUGCAUGUGCCACUCUCUUAACCUUCAAGUAAUUAUCUGUUUUGCAUUCCCGAACCGCUCAUGUGGUGACAAGGGGCGAUCAGUAUCUUCCAUGCUAGGCGUGUUAUCCUCGAUACGUGUUUAUUCACUAUCACUCACGAGAAAGGGGCCGGUAAUUGGAAUGCCCAGUUCCAUUCUCAAAUCGAAAAGAUAAUUGCAAACAAAACUCCCCCUGGAUUGUUGUUGGUAUGGACGACACCUUAGGAUUCGGCUAGUCGUGGAGUGUGAUUGGUCGGUGGUGGGGGAGUCAAAACUUUACUUUUUUCUUUGGGAACCGCCUAUAGUAUGUGUAGCAUGGAAGAUGGUGAAAACUCUUGGUCAUCGCGUUGACAAUGAAAGCAUGCCACCCAAAAUUAUUUAUCUCUGUCUUCAAAGCUUGCAUGCNNNNNNNNNNNNNNNNNNNNNNNNNNNNNNNNNNNNNNNNNNNNNNNNNNNNNNNNNNNNNNNNNNNNNNNNNNNNNNNNNNNNNNNNNNNNNNNNNNNNAUAUAUAUAUAUAUAUAAUUCAACAUAUAUAUUAAUCACUUAAUCAAGUUUUUCAAUUUUAUUAUGUCCAUGAAACCUGCAAGCUAAUAGGUAAAGAUAGGUCAUAAUCCCACCUGAUUAUGUGUAGAUUGGGUUCAUUUUCCUAUGCUCUGCUCCAGAUCCGACGCAAAAUUUCGGCAGCAUCUCCCCUCUGUUCUCCUAAUACACGUAUCAGCAAUAAACAGAGAGGAUGUGCACCUGGAGAACAACAGGGAGGCACUGAUGAAAUUAUGCAUCGGAUCCNNNNNNNNNNNNNNNNNNNNNNNNNNNNNNNNNNNNNNNNNNNNNNNNNNNNNNNNNNNNNNNNNNNNNNNNNNNNNNNNNNNNNNNNNNNNNNNNNNNNNNNNNNNNNNNNNNNNNNNNNNNNNNNNNNNNNNNNNNNNNNNNNNNNNNNNNNNNNNNNNNNNNNNNNNNNNNNNNNNNNNNNNNNNNNNNNNNNNNNNNNNNNNNNNNNNNNNNNNNNNNNNNNNNNNNNNNNNNNNNNNNNNNNNNNNNNNNNNNNNNNNNNNNNNNNNNNNNNNNNNNNNNNNNNNNNNNNNNNNNNNNNNNNNNNNNNNNNNNNNNNNNNNNNNNNNNNNNNNNNNNNNNNNNNNNNNNNNNNNNNNNNNNNNNNNNNNNNNNNNNNNNNNNNNNNNNNNNNNNNNNNNNNNNNNNNNNNNNNNNNNNNNNACCCUUUCGAACGGGAGACGCAACGCACGUCCUAGUUCACCUAGUCGAAGAGAUUACCAUUCUGGGUCCUAUAUUUCUACACAAUAUGUUCCCCUUUGAGAGGUUCAUGGGAGUCUUAAAUAAAUAUGUCCAUAAUCGUGCUAGGCCAGAAGGAAGCAUCUCCAAGGGCUAUGAAAUAGAGGAGGUUAUUGAGUUUUGUGUUGAAUUUAUUCCUGACCUUAAGUCGAUUGGUGUUCCUCAGUCGCGACAUGAGGGGAGAUUGAGUGGAAAAGGUACUCUAGGAAAGAAAGCAGUAAUAAGUAUGGAUGGGCAUUCUUUCACUCAAGCAAACUACACAGUUCUACAAAAUUCCACCUUGGUGGCUCGUGUAUCAAGGAACACAUGGAUAUUGUACGCUCCAAGAACCUGGAGCAGUCUGACUCCUGGAUUAAACAUACACACAUGGCGACUUUCGACGGUUGGUUGCAAACACAUCUCAUGAAUAACACCACUAUUGGAGAUGAGUUGUACUUGUUGGCCAAGUCACCACUUCGACUAUAUUUACUUUCAAAGGGUACGAGAUUAAUGGGAAUACAUUUUACACGAUCGCCCAAGAUAAAAAGAGCACCAAUCAAAAUUGUGGUGUUCGCUUUGAUGCAACAUACACCAAUGGGAAAAAGGACACAUAUUAUGGUUACAUAGAGGAGAUAUGGGAACUUGACUAUGGACGUUAUUUUAAGGUCUCUUUGUUUCGGUGCAAACGGGUCAAUCUGACACAAGGCGGGGUAAAGGUAGACCCGCAGUACGGAAUGACAACAGUGGAUCUCAACAAUCUUGGGUACACAGAUGAACCAUUCGUACUAGCCAAUAAUGUGGCUUAGUUUUAUAUGUGAAGGACAUGUCUACCAAACCGAGGAAAACAAAAGAUAAGGAAGCGAAUACAUCAUACAAUGAGCCAAAGUGUCACAUAGUUAUUUUAGGGAAAAGAACCAUCGUCGGAUUAGAGGCCGAGAUAUACAUGUCAGAAUAUUAUAAUAAGUUUGAUGAAAUUCCUCCCUUCAAAGUGAACACUGACCCGAGCAUCCUGUUAAAUGAUGAAUAUUCUUCAUGGUUAUGGCGCAAUCAUAAGCAAGGGACAUACGCGAAGACAAAAUCUUAUACCCCAAGAUCCCACUCUGGCUUCACCGUCAUCACUUUCUCUCUAAUGAGUUUCCGGACUUAUAGCUGGAAACUCCCACUUCGAACAAACCGGAGGGAAUCUUUGUAACAGUUAGGGUAUACAUGUGUUUUGGGUGUUCCUAGGGGUUACCCUAACACAAGCAAGCAAAAAAGUUUCGCUUUGCUACCCCCUUCCGACGUCGGAAUCUUUGAAAGAGCUAGGGCAUUUUGACAUUUGAAACAUGAUUUUUGAAUAAUUAUUUAUGAAGUUAUCAAUUUUCAAAAAUAGAAAUUAUUCCUAUCCUUUUAGUAUUUUAAUUAUACAAAGGAGUUAAUCAAUGCAAUUAUGUCCAAACAAAAUAUGAAUGUGUAGUUUAUGUUAAGACAAACAAUUUGACACCUUAUUUGCUUCAUUUGGCUUAACAGAACUGAAGAUAUGAAUUUUUAAAGUUUAAAACAAUGUCUUCAAUUACAAUAUUUAAUUAACAAGUACAAAAUUAAUUAUGAAACUUCAUGUCAAAAUGAUACUAGUUGAUAGAAAUCUUCAAGAUGAAUCCAAAGAAAUUUGAAUCAACUCAUUUGGUUUAGUUUUCAAUGUUAUGCAUUUUAGAAGAAUUAAUUUCAAUCUAUAAAACUGAAUCUGUCAAAUAAUGUUUUCAAAAUGAAAAUUAGAACUCCUCGUGUUGACUAACAAAAACAUAAUAUAAUUUGGCAAAAGAAUAACAAGAAAACAGAAACUAAAAUAAUUUAAACAAAGGAAAAAAGGUAUAAAACUAAAAGAGCUAAACAUAAUCUGUUUUUGGUUAAAACACCUAUUGAAAAUAUCAUAAAAAUUCACAAGUUGAACAUACUGAUAAAACACACUAAUAUUAAACAGCAGGAAAGAGAAUCACUCAAAAAUCUAUAUUCGAACUAAAGUUAUUCACACAAAUUUCAAAGAAUUUAAAUUUAAGCUAUUCAAAUUUGAAAACUACUCGCACUAAUAGAAAGUUUAUAAUUUUUGUUACCUAAAGCAAAAAAAUCACUCAAAACCUCUAAAUAUUCUAAGAGUUUUACCUAAAAUUUUCUACAUAAAAAAGAAUCACUUUAAAAUCUAUUAUCAAACUCUAAAUACGAAGAAAACCUUUAGUCCCGGUUGCAACCACUAGCCGGGACUAAAGGUUCCUUAUUCCGCGUGAAAUUUGGGCCACCGAAUAGGUAGUCCUUUAGUCCCGGUUUUUGGCUGGAGCCGGGAUUAAAGGACCUUUAGUCAUGGUUCGUGGCUAGAACCGGGACUAAAGGUCUUGUGUAUAUAUCUGUCCCGGUGCGAGCCACCGCCUAGGAGAAGGAUCAGAUCAAACCACCGCCCUCGAGCACCAUCGUCUUCACCAUCGAUCAUCAGAACUCCUCGUCGAUGAUUCGCCAUGUUUAGGAUCUCCCCGAGGAAGCCUGACCCUUCACUAACCCCCUCCCCCCCGGUGAGCUCCUUUUCUCUUCCCCUCGUCUUCAACGCUCGAUUUGGUAUGUAGGUGCCCUCUCCGCCAUGGACGAACCUCGGUGUCGUCGUGCCUCGUCACUGCCAUUGCCAGGGCCAGCGAAGCUCUUUUUCGAGCGUAUGAGCAUGCUUAAUUUGCGCCUAGGAGCCGAGCGCCCCUAGUAGCUUGUCGCGCUGCGCCUUGAAGUGUCGGUCGCUUCGAUCUCGUGGCCGCGCCACCGCCACUGUAGUCGCCGUCGGCGACUCCGGUCGUCCCCAGAGCCCCUCCUUGGCCCACUCGAUACGCGAGACCAAAGGCUACACCCUGGUUCUGUCCUUCAGCGUCCCCACGGCCUCUGGAGCGGACUUCGUCGCGUCGAGUAGUCGCCGGCGACGACCUCGCCAACCUAUGUCACUGGCUGAUGGGCCCCGUCGUGAGAUUUCACUUGGAGCACCCAGUUGACCCGGUGAUGUCAUGCACAUACCAUGAUGAUGCGGUAAAUGUUUUCUGGAAUCAAAAUAAAUCAGAAAUGAUUUAUUAUAUUUUAGAAAAUGUUUAAAACUUCAAAAAAUCAUAGAAAAUAGUCUAUAACUCGUAUAAAAAUAAUCUAUAUGUGAAAAAUGAUCAAAAAUCAAAGAAUCUGUUUAUGCAAUUAUCAUGCAUGUUUGAACAAGUUAACAACACCAACUAGGACAUUUUAUGAUUAGGGAAAUUUAUGAAAGAACAUUUGAAGUUGGAAUUUGAACUAGGUUUGAAUUCCACUUCAAUUAACUUGGACUAUUGUUGCAUUAGGCCAAUUCGGUACCUUAACGUGACACACCAUUCAUUAUGGUUGUGCAUUGCAUUGAAUGUGUUCAUUUCCUUGUUUGCCUAUGUUGUUUUCUCUCGGUAGACAUUAUUUCGGCGUUGAGAACGAUGUCACUAAUGAAGUGCAGUUCAUCUUAAUUAUAUGUGGGUUUAUUGAAUGGUAGUUUUUGCUUAUUGAAUACAUUCUAAUUUAAAUACUAAAUUGUUUUAUCUUUCUUCUGUAUUAGUUAAUCUAUGGAUGAUAGCGGCACAUACCAUGAAGAUGACAUCUUCGCCAUCAUACGCUCCUCCCGAAACGAGAAUGAACAAGAUGACGGCUCACAAUAUUUGAACGAGUCUGGUGAGGGACUUGAGCAAGAACCAAGAUACAAAGGGCAAACAAACGAUGACGGCAAAGAAAAUGUUAGAAAAUUAACAAAGUCCGACGAGGUAUAUACAUAUUAAGCCUCUAGUGAUCACUAGAUGUAUUAACUGAUUUGUGUAUAUAUUAACAAAUCUUCCUUCUUUUAGGCCUCCGGAUCGAGCCAAUCUCCUAGAAGGGUACGAGGCCAGGCCAAAAGUUGGGCGAUGACAUAAAUUUCAACAUUGAUGAAGUCGUAGAAGAUGGAAAACCGAUUGCUCGUGAACAGAAUGCCCAUAAAUUUAUAAAUCUAUGUGAAGUUAUUGUUAGGGACCAAAUCCCGGUCACGAUUCGAGAAUGGAAUAAGCCAAAGGUAGAUCCAGGAGUUAGUUAUGUCGACGAAAGAUCGAAAAAAUCACUUUGGGAUAUGCUCAUGUCACAUUUCAACCUACCAAGGGGUCUCACAAAUAGAAAACGGUUGAAAGUCAAGCAAUUUUCUCUUAAGAAGAUGGCCACACAAUUCCAGAGCUGGAAGAAAAGAUUAUACAUCGACUACAUCAAGGCAAAAAAGAAGACUCCGGAAUUCACUCGAGCACUAGAGAAGACAAAAGAUCAUUGGGACGCAUUUGUGGACUACAAGGAGCCGGUUGAAGCUCUGGAAAGGUCGAGAAAAAUAAGAUAAAUGCUGAAAAAAAGCAGUAUCACCAUGUUAUGGGGACAGUUGGCUACAAGAGAAGCGUGCCUAAGUGGGAAGCAGGUGAGGCCAAAAUGGUUGCAGAAGGGGUCAUUCCAGCUAUAAUGGAUUGGCCUGAGAGGUCCAAGACUGGGUUUUAUGUGUAUGGGGGAAAGUUAGACCCAGCGACGGGGAAAAUUAUUCUAAAGGCAGAUCUUAAAAUAGCCUUGGAUGCUUUACUUCAAGCAAUAGAAGAUGCUUGAAAGGGGUUGUUCCAGCCCGAGAGAGAGAACGACGAGCUUACACACACCCUCAAGAAUCUUGAACACGGAGGACGAACACGAGGCAAAGGCGUUGUUCCGUGGGUUCACGAGUUUUUGGAGUGGAACUACACUUAUAGAAGCCGUCGGAGAAAAAAGAAGCACGAUGCAAACCAGAUUUAAAGGAUAGAAACAAAGAAUGAGGAGUUGCACCGCAUGUUAAAGCGACAGCAGGAGCAACUGGACACAAUUAGCCAGCAAAGGGCAUCUCCGUGGCAGGAGCAAGAAGAUCCAUCAUUGGAUAGUAACGUCACAUCUAUGCGGAAAAGCAGCAUGGGUUCCACUGGGGUCCGGACCGAUGAUGCACUGUUGGCUCGCUACCCCGUGGAUGAUAUCAAAGAAAGGACAGAUUGUGAGCUACACCAGAAAAUGAAGAACAUAUCCAUGAAGGUGGCGGUCAGCGUUGCUUUACCUAAUGCACCUGAAGCAACCAAUCCAUGGUAAUCCGAUUCCACCUAACUAUGCUAAAGUGGGGUACAUGAAGUUCUGUCUGGAUGUGAGUCACUAUAGCUUGACAUUCCUGGAGGUGAAGGGGAGCAGACACUAGGAAAAGUCUAACAUGUGUCAUUUUAUGGAGAAAAGAAUGCAUCGUGUUUCCAAACUCGGCGCCAAGGUCACCGACUCCUUGGAGUAGCAAUACACCUCUAAGUCCACCCCACGUCAAGGAGCCCAGCGCAAGUCCUAUCGAUCUCCGCCGCGUUAGCCGACUCCACACCCCCUAUGUCCUAGCAGGGCCAAAAGCGGAAGACCACCGCUCCGUCAACUAGUCCUAUUCGCAAGAAAGCUACAAGAAAGAAAGCCAAAGGCGAGCCUCCUGCCGAAAAUAAGUUAGCUUACAAUAUGACUAGUGAGGAAAUCAAAAUGGUCAUGGAUUCUGAAGUGAAGUCUCAUUUUGCACUGAAACCGCCUCCGCCGCCAAAGGAGAUAAUACCUAACAAAACCAUAGAGCACUUUGUGAAAUUUCUUGGACGGCCCCCGACACAUGUGGAGGAUAGGCCAUCAGACUAUGACCAAUGUAUCAGGAAGUCAUAUAAUGAACAAACGCAGCAGUCAAAACAUAGUAAUAAAAGAGGGCAAGCAGUUCCCCAGCUCGGAGAACAGGCAAUGCAAUGCCCCCCCCCCUCAAGGUGAUUACCAAUAAGGUAACCGACGCUGCUAGAAAUAUUGGUAUCAGUGUUGACCAACUCCUAGGCAACGAGGAAGUCCCCGUGACUGAAGUAGCAUGGCAAUAUGCCCCGUGAAAGCUCUGGUCAGACCUGAGCAGGUCCCAAAUCUAUCAACACGAAUGCAAAGAUUGCAUGAGUGAUACAUGAAAGAAGUUGCCAACGGACGAGUGAUGCUCAUGGUGAAAGUCAAGAAAGGGCUUACUACUAUGAAAAUGAGCUAUGCAUAAUGUUUGACGAAUUGUUUCAGUUAUACAAUCAAGACUCACUCGAGAAAUAUAUAGUCAGUUGCUAUUUUGCCUAAGUGAUUUCUUUGUGUAAUUUAAGUCUCUAGCUCAGCUCGUUCAUUACGUGUAAUUAUCUUCACUAUAUUCUUUUGUAUACUAUUACGCAGAAUGAAGAUUCUCAAUGCAAAAGAGAUAGAAUCUAUGACAUUGGGUUAGUUUAACCAUAUAUUAUUAAUGAAAAAUUGAUAGAAGACCAUCCAAAGACUAAGAGAAGAACUUGCUAAGAAUUAGGCACAGAAUACCAAAAUAGAAAUAUUAUUUUUUUACAACUUCAAAAGAGUGUUACUAUCUUAUACUACAAGUUUUAUUUUGCUUACUCGAUGUUAAGUGUAAUUGAUAAGUUAUGCAUGUCUGCUUAUAUAAAUGUGUGCAUGUAUUGCUGGAUCCUGCUAAUCGUUAAAGUUAACGCUGAAACUGUUGAUGCCUUGGAUUCAUAGGUAAAAACCCUCAAGAAUACACCAACGUGGUUAAAAUGCUCGACGCGUAAUAUGAAUCAUUAUCACACUAUAUCGACCUUUUUCAUUCAUUUCCUGAUAUCAAAAAAUUAAUACCUAUUUUAUUCAUUUUCUCUGCCAGGCAGAGUUUGAAAACGGUUCAUCAAAGAUGUUGUCGGUGAAUAGAAACCGAAACUACGUUGACGACUGGUCAAGGUAAUUAAGUAGUACUAGCUAGGUCCGCGCAUUUCUUUAAUUCUACUUUCAAUAUCAUUAUCAUGCUUUAUUAUCUAAUUGAAUUCUAUUUUCAUAAAGUACAUGAGGCAGAAACAGAGACUAAUUUAUAUGCAUACUACGUUUAUGAAAACGUUUGCAUGUCGAUCAAAUGGCACAAAGAUGUACCACAACUUAUAUGUAAACAUUGUUCAUAAUAUUUUUUUAUGAUGAUGUAACAUAUAUACACACACAACUAAUAUGUCCAUAUUGGUCUUUUUCUUUAAAGAUUAAAGACAUGCGGGAGAACCUCCUACCAAAGAUCCGUCUACGAGCAGGAAAUUGCAGUAUUUUUGUUUACGAAGGUCAUAUCUGAAAACGAAGAAUACCAUUAUGAUCUUUAAAUUGUAGGAAAGAUUGUAUCAACAGCCUGACUAAACUUGCCCAGAUUUUUCAUAGCAUCCAAAGACGAUCCAGUAUUCAACUAGGACUGUUCUAAUGCAAACGAUACAGAGGAGCUAACAGCAGUUCCCUCCACAUUUUCUCAUCCGGGCUUGGGACCGGCAAAGGCAGUGUUAAACUACAAAACUACUAAACACAUAAAUAAGCAAACACAACAACCAAUUAUUCAGCUAAGCGUACAAGCCACACACAAUCAACCAGAGGCAGCAUUCACAACGCACGAUACGCUAUUGGCAAUAAAUAUUCACGCAACGUUUUCACAAGAUCACAAGACAGUAAUGGGUCACACAAAAAAAAGCUAUAAAUUCCAGAACAAGAAUGGGAAUUCUUAUGGGGUGAGGGUGAUUCAGAACUUCAAUCUUGAAAAUAAGAAUAUAUACCAGCAUAUAGAGGGUGAUCAUCUUCGUCUCUAGACACAGAGAAAGCUUUCCUAGUUUUGGCCCAUUAUAUAGAUAUAUAUGAACAAAUAUCUCCUUGUCUUUAAAAUCCAAUAUGUAUUAUAUGUAUUAUGCAACAUAAUGGUGACAUGUGUAUUUUUGCUAGUUGCCAACAAAUUAAAACUGGAAGUUACCAGAAAACUCAGAAUGUGUAUUGAAGAUUCAAUCCAGAUCAAAUUAGCAGUUCGCGAAAAAUAAAUUAACCAUUAGAGGACCAUAAGAUGUGUGAACGCUAUGUAAUUAUAAAUUUAACAGUAGAUAAUGAAAGAUUCCAUAAUCCAGAUCAAGUUAGCAAUUAGCAGUAAAGAGAUCAAAAUAGCCAUAGAAGACCAUAAGAUAGUUGAAGAUUCACAAUCGAGAACAAAUUAGCAGUUCGCCAAAAAAUAAAUUAGCCAUUAGAGGACAUAAGAUGUGUGAACGCAGUGUGGUAGUUAUAUAAAUUUAACAAUAGAGGAUUCCAUAAUCCAGAUCAAAUUAGCAGUUUGCCGUAAAGAGAUCAAAUUAGCCAUUAGAGGACCGUAAGAUAUGUGAGUACUUUCUGUCUAAGUCCAGGAUGAGCAAGUAUGAAACAAACUGCCAUAUGUUGAAAGUAAUCAGCAGGAAUCAUCAAAUUAGCCUGACUGUUCUGCUAGUUAUCAACUUAAAACUAGGAAGUUCCCAGCAAACCAAUAAGAAGCACUGAAGAAUCCAGAUCCCACUCGAGAAGCGCCAACGACAAGAACAUCACUUCUGAAAAUCAUAUCCAUACCAACAAACCAGAAUCAUAUUUAGUGGAGUUGACACUAAUCAAAGACAUGAGUAGAGUGUUAAGGGCAAAAUAUUCGUUCAAGCUUCCAGUUCAGAACCUUCAACUCUCCAUUGUUUUAGUAUAUAGCAAUCACUCCUAACCUCUUUUUGCUCAAAGUGGUCAACAUUACCCAAAUACAGGAGGCCACUGAUGUUAACAGUUAAACCAACACAAGUGGAUGGGUGGGAUCUUUCUUUAUCAUUAAAGUUAAAAAUAUGUGCACACCAAAAUUUGAUUUUGUGUCAGAAGUGCGAUCAUGGACAACAGUAUGAAGAACAGUAAACCCACAAAUCCAAGUAUGACCAAUUCAUACAUAAAUGUAUGAACAUUUUUACUGCAUUCAGAGCUCAUGUACAUGCGAUCUUUACUUCCUAUCAUAGGUGAUAAAUUUGCAAGUUCAAAGAUACAAGCAGCCAAAUGUCAAAGCCUAACUUCCUGAAACAGUAUGGUAACCAAGUAAUUUAUAGCCAAACCAAAAUUUGAUAAUCUGCUAUACAAACUGAGUAUGAACUGAUAUUUCCAUUCCGGACCCUUGUUUGAGACUUCUAGCAUUUUCUUGAUUCGGACCAAAAGAUGACAUCAUAUUCCAUCAAAACCACAUGCAAGUUGAAGCAGAUACCAUAAUCAGCAAGAUGUCACACAACAGAAACCAAGUAAGAUGCUUCAUGACAGUUGAAAGAAUCAGAUGUGCACACUACCAACUCCAAGCUGCGCCAAAGAGAUGAGGCCACCGAGUGCAAGUUCAAAUUGAAAACUACCACAAAGACCAAAUAACGUAAUAUGCUUCAGUAUCACUAAUCAGAAGUCCAAACCAAUUUGAUAGCUUCAGCAAGUCCCCGCACUAGCCGAAUUUCCAACUCUACAAUCUUGCAAUAAAACUUCCACCACUGCAAAUCAAUGAACAGCUCAAAAUAUAGUCGUCAUAUUUAAUAUUUCUUCAACGGAAGUCCAUAAUGAAAUCUUGGCAAUGAGUGGAAAUAAGUAUGGAAUCUAAGUGUAAGAUUAUGUGGUUGUAGAGGACUCCUUCAUCCAGAACGAAGCUUCCAAACUAGCCUUUAGAACUCUCCACUUCUGCGGAUCAGUUAGAAUACUCAAACUUAACAGCUCAGGUAAUUGGUUCUCUAACGGAAUAGAAAAUGUGAAAUAAGGUCUCUAAACAGAUUUUUCACGCAGCAUGACCUCAAAUAAAAUUGUCAAGUAGACCUGCAAUGAAUAAAAGACCUAGCCAGUUUGGAGAAAGCUGCUCGACAUCUUAGACAUUUAGUUAAGUUAUGCACAUUGGUUUGAAUUAUUGUCGCUGUAUAGUACUAACAAGAGAAGAACAAUGUUUGGAAUGUAUAAAAGUUACCAAAGAGAAGUUUGACAAGAUCGACUCAAGAAGAAUCUCCUAAAGCUCCUCUGUAUCAUUUUGUCCACGCAAGCCUUACUCUAAAAUGUUGGAGAACAACCAAAUAUCAAAUAUGCUUGGAACAGAAACGGAACUGCUCACAUGGAGAUAUCAAAUAGGAGGAGAAUAUAUCCAGACAGUUCAGUCACGCUUCGAGACACAUUUGAAUCCUCAACCGUGCAGGCCUGACCAACAACUCCGAUCCUGAACUUAAGAUAUCAUCUGAUGAGCUAAAGGGAACAGCCAAUACAAUCUCCGCUGGUUUGUCUCUAAAGGCGCAUAUACCAUGAAUGAGAUAAAAUUCACCUUGUACUACGUGACAAACAGAAUCAUUGAUUAGCCAUUGAAGAAGAGAGAACAGGGCUUAUUUUGCAAUGAAGGCAGACCAGACACUGACCUGACUCUAAAUACAGGGAACAUCCACUAAUUCCAACAUAUACUGCAAACAACAAACCUAGCAGGCCAACAAAACGGAAACACAUGGAUUGGGGAUAUAACAAAGUAAACCAGAGAGAUCACAAACCAAAAAGAUGACAGAUUUUGACUGGUUACCAGCAUGGCUUGCGCUAAACAAUCUGCAACUACAGGAAGGCGGAAGCAAAAAAUCACCAUCAAUGCUACAUGCGAAAAGGAACUUAGACAACAGAAGUUUCUUCAGGAGAUAAAAAUAGAGAGCACUGAGUUUUUUCGGUUGUAGGAUGUCCCAUCUACAUUGAAGCUCCAGAGCAACCUUCGAAUCUUGUACAUCCACCAAAUCAAUCUGAAUAUUCAAAUUUUGUCUUCAUAAGAUAGUUUAUAGGAGUAUGUUGGAACAAAUUACGAUGAAUUGGAAAGGUGUAGUGUUUAGAAGAUUUUCGAACAGAUAGCUCAGCAACAGGUUGGGCCUAAAUCAUCAAUUAGGAUCUGCAAUGACAGGAGACCUUCCUGUGAAUUUUUGCUUUGGGGAAACGAAGCUUCUUAAACAGCUAAAUAAUGCAUCAAACAGUGAGGGGAUAGGAUAAGCCUGCUUGGCCGGGAGAGAUCAGUUAGGCAACAACACCAGUUCCAGAUAGCAAACUAUAUUAUCUCUCGUCACAAUAUCUGCAAGGACACAUGGUUACCAAGGGAAGAGAAAACCAUGUCUUAGAAAUAUAACGUUCAAAGCGAAUCAGGAAAGAUGAAGUCAAUCUAAGAAACCGCCUGUAACAUGAUGUACCAAGAGGCACCUUCCGGGAAGUCCCAAAAGUCAAAUAGCUGGAGAACCAACAGUUGAUAUCAGAGAUGUUGUAAGCUAAAUUCGACCGUGCAAACAAAGAAACUAAAUUGAGGAGGGUCAAUAAUCCAAACACAGUUUGCAAAUUCUCUGAUCCCCAUUCCAUGGUUAACGAUCCAAUCCAACUUCAAUCCGAAACGAAAACUUCAGCACACAAGAUCCUGGCUUCUCAUAAGGCAUUGAGCCAUAACCAAUCAAAAUAACCACAAACAGUAAAGCAAACCUCCACCCUUCGAUUCAUCACUCCACAACCAUCGCCCUCCUACAUCUGAAGGAGAACAAACACAUACCACAAGCGAGAUCAGCUGUUACAGCGAGAACCAACAAGAAUCCACCUCGUAUUAAGGGAUAGCAGUACUCAUGUUGAGCCAUCAGACAAAGAUAAAUCGAAGAACUUAAAGGUAUAGCCACUCAAAUCUGACGUCACCGAGACCAGUGUGACCAAACAUGGGAAACUGACCUGCCUCAAGUCCCCUUCACAAUACUGUUCAUGUACCAUAGGGAGGUUCAUUUCCAGACCUGAUCCAGUCCUGCAAGCUAACUCACGGAGGUGGCCGAGAACAAAUGAAACAAACAGGACCGUCUACGAGACACUUACCUGACUCCAUGUACAGAGGUUGGGGCACCAAAUCCAAACUAUUAUAUCCUGCAACCCACACUCGGAGAAGACCAAAAGAACACGGGGAUCAAGAGUGCCGAAAACACCGAAUCAAAACAUUAAACAGAUUCUGCGUCAUUAGCCACAUGGCCUGGGCUAAAGAAAAAAUCUGCAACCAGAAGGAGGGCAGGAGCAAAAACUUGUAUCGAAGACAUGGCCAAGUAGCUAAAUGAAGUAAAAAAAAGGAGGAGUCUAUUUCAGUUGUAGGAUGUGCCAUUAGUUGAAAGCUUCGGAUUGUCCUUAGAUUCAUGCACCUUCGCAUAUCUGUAUUAUAAAAUAUUGCCUAGUAAGAUAAUUUGUAGGUUAUGUAAGUUAUGAUGAAUUGAAACAAUGCUCAUAGAUUUAGAAGAUCUGCAAACGAAUUCAUCAUCAGGUUGGACUUAAGUUCAUCAACUGCAACCUGCAACAAGCAAGAGGCCUUUCUAUAAAUUUUCAGUUAGGGGAAAAUGUUACUUUUAUAUAAAUAGCUAAAGCAUGGAUCAAACGAUGGGCUGGGAACAAGUAAGCAUGUGGCGGCUAGGAAGUUCAGCUAUGGUUGACGGACGACAACACCAGUUCCAAACUGCAGUUGUAUCAUUUCCAUGUCAGUAUCUACAAGAGCUGAGAAUUGCCGACUAAGGCGGAGAAGACAUAUAGCUGAAUGAAAUAGAAAUAAGAGGACAAGAGGUUUAAGUUUUUUCUGGUUGUAGGAUGUGCCACUAGUUUGAAGCUUCAUUAUUUCACCUUUGCAGCUAAAUCUUAGUUUGAAAUAUUACCUAGUAAGAGAUCUUAUUUUUAUUAUCUAAGUCAAGGAAUUUUAAGAAGAUGUUAGAUAUAGAAGAACUGCAAACUCAAUAUCAGGUUGGUGGCCUUGAAUUCGUAAACAAUGACCUGCAACGAGCAAAAUACAUCUCUAUAAAUGUUUCAGUAAGGGGAAAACUAGUAGGAUUAGAAAACUAAGUACAGACGAAUGAGAAGGUAAAGGAUGAGUAAGUCUGUCUCCACUGUGAAGGUCAGGUAGACAACACGGGUUCCAAUUUUUAUCCCUUGCAAGACACGAUCUGCAAGAGCUAAAAAUGGCUAAGGCAGGGAAAACUAGUGUCUGCUGAGUUCUAAUGAAUAUUGAAUAAGGAAGGUCCAAAAGGUUUAGCCACAGAAAAAGAACCGCCAUGCUGAGCCAAAAUAGGAGCAGCCGCUAGGCCCGUGUAAUUCCAGAUUCUGGAUAACCAGCAAACAAUCCGAAUCAGAAUCCUUGGGAGAAUAAUUGAAACUGUGGAGAAGAACGAAUUGAACAGAAUUUUGAUCAUCCAAACACAGGUCGGUCAGCAAGAAGAUAGUACGUCGUUCUCACUAAGCCAAGUAAUCCCAAUUUCUGACAAUCAGCAACAAAUCCAAAUCAAAGUUGUGAGGCUAAAACUGAACGAAUCCAAAGCAAAUGAAGUGAAAUUCAGAGGGAUCAUCUGAACAUGGAUAUCAAGUUCCAGGUUGAUGAGCGAUCCAAAACUUCAGUCCAACACCAAACAUAGACUCUGACCAUAUCAGAAACCAAACCUCCACCCUUUCGGUUCAUCUCUGAGGAACCACUUCCUGCUUCUGCUGAAUCUGAAGGAGCACAAACACAGACCACAAGCGAGAUCAACUGCUACAAUGAGAAUCCACCAAUACCCCAAAUCCACCUCAUAUUAGCUGAUUAUAUGAUGGAACUCAUGAUGAGAUCUAGAAGACCACACUGGCAACAUGCAUUUAAUCCUCAAAUCCCCUUCGACAUAUCAGAUACUAUCCAGCAACCAACCCAUGGAGGCCAACACAAAAUGAACCAACAGUUACUGACCUGAGUACCUGACACCGUGAAAUGCACACAGCAAAGGUUUGCAUAUGUAGGCCCAGACUUCGUAAAUAUAUCCUGCAGUGCAACCCACACACGUAUAGGAAGACCAACACAGGGAUCAAGAGUACAAAUAUAACCAAUCAAACAACAAAGAGAUGGAUAGCGAACCAGAAGUUUUUUGACUUGCUACAAGCAUUGUCUUAGGCAAAACAGAUCUGCAGCGACAUGGAGGGCAUAAGCAAAAACCUAAAUAAAAAACAUGAAAAUGUAGCUGAAUGAAAUAAAAAUAGGAGGGUAAGAGAUUAAGUUUUCCUCCGGUUGUAAGAUAUGCCACUAGUUUGAAACUUCAUUCUUGCACCUUUUGCAGCUAAAUCUGAAUUAAAAAUAUUGCCUGGUAAGAGACCUUAUUAACAUUAUCUCAGUUAAGGAAUUGAGUAGAUAGUGGUUUUAGAAGAACUGCAAACUUAGCAUCAGGUUGGUGGCCUUGAGUUCGUAAACCUGCAACGAGCAAGGUACCUUUCUAUAAAUGUUUCGGUCAGGGGAAAACUAGGAUUAGAAAACUAGGUACAAACGAGUGAGCAGGUAAUGGAUGAGUAAGCCUGUGUCAACUGGGAAGGUCAGGUAGACAACUACAGGUUCCAAUUAUAUCCCUUGCAAUCUGCAAGAGCUAAGAAUGACUAAGGCAGGGAAAACUAAUGUCUGAUGAGUUCUAAUUAAUGAUAUUGAGUAAUAAGAAAGUUCAAAAAAGUUGAGCCACGAAAUAGGAACCGCCAUGCUGGCAAGGGAUCAUAGGAGUACCCGCUAGGCCCGUGUAAUUCCAGUUUCUGGACAAGCAACAACCAAUCCAAAUCAGACUUGUUGUGAGAAUAAUUGAACAGUGGAGAAGAAGAAAUUAAAACAGAGUUGGGUCAUCCAAACACAGGUCAGCAAGAAGAUAGUAAGCCGCUCCCACUAGGCCAAGUAAUCCCAAUUUCUGGACAGUGAGAAGCAAAUCGAAAUCAGAAUUGCUGGGAGGCUAAAAUUGAACUCAGGAGAGGAAGUAAUUAAAUAGAGGUAGUAAUAUUAUUCAUCCAAACGCAAAUCAGCCAAAGAUAGGUCGCUCCGGUCCGGUCCGCUUAGCCGUGUAAUCCCAAUUUCUGGAGAACCAACAAUCAACGAACCAAAAUCAGAUAUGUUGCGCGCUGUGCAAACCAAAUAGAUGAAUUGGGAGGUUUUGAUUUAUAUUGUUAUCCAAGUGCAGAUCGAAGUUGCAGGUUGAUUGAGAUCCAAUUGAUAGCCCUGAGAAUCUGACCAUAACAGAGUAACCGCUGAACCGUAGCCAAUCAACCAAUCAAUCAAUCAAAAUAACCAUGAACAGAAAUCAAACCUCAACUCCGCCCUUCUAAAUAACCUACCAUCACUUCAGAACUACCGCUCGCCAUCUUGCUUGUGUAUCCAAGAUGAGAGCACACAUACCAAAAGCGGGAUCAGCUGGUGAAGCAGUAAGAAUCCACGAGGGCCUCAAAGAAUCGACCUCGUGUUAACUGAUACAUACUCGAUCGGGAACCUAGAACCGGAAGACCGCACGGGCGACAGCCGUUGAAUCCAAAUCUUCUGAAAUCACCGAGGGACGCAGGCAGGCGACGGAACCAAGGAACCGACCCGACCCGACCCGACCGAUGGAGUUCGAGAAACUGACCUCGGGUCGCACGGAAUCAGACGCGGGAAGCGAAAUCGAUGGAAUCCCCCAUCGAUCGAUCGAUCGGAUCGCUACCCCCGGAAGCGGGCCGAAUCCCCUGCGAGCACAGGAAGCAAAGCCGGCGAGGAGCGGAGCAAAAAUCAAAGGCGAUUCGAAACGAAUCGAGAUGAGGGACGAGAAAGAAAGAGGAAGGAAACAGUCGCGGAGACGCGAGGAGGCGACUCGGGCGGAGGCGCGGCCCGAAACGAGAGCUCCGAAGAGAGAGGGAGGAGGCGAGAGCGCGGGGUGGAGAGGGCGCACCUGGGCGCCUUUUAUAGCCGGAGGCGGAGGCGGAGGCGGUGGGCGGCCUGGCGCCAACCGGAUCCUUACCGGACACGGCUUCGUCUUCGCCGCGCUGGCGGUGGUUUUCCGUGGACGGGUGGGCGGCGGAAAUCAAAAGCGAGCGGAAUUGGUGGAUCGGGCUGGAUCAUGACUUGCGACUUGGUUCGGUUCGGGUGGACGGGCGGCUGGCAGGUCGGCAACGCGACGCGGGAGAUAGCUGCGCUGCGCGUCGACCUUGGGUUGGGACUUGGGACGUGGGUCGCACCGACGGACCGGGAAAUUUCCAGGCUGCUCGGGGGUCGCGACGGGCCAUGUCCUCGCGCGCGAGCCACGACUAACUCGUGGAUGAGAACGUGGAAACCAACCCAUCAAACGGAAGACUAUGGUUUUCCUCUGUCCACUAAAGUUUAAAUUUCAGAUUUAACAUUGAUGGUUGCAUUUUUAUUUAUUUAUUUCAGAUCUUUCGAUGAUAUGCAUUUAUUAGGAGAAGACGUUUCCGUCGACUACGAAGUCGUCUAUGACAACUUUGUCAAUCUUAAGAUGAUGUGUCGGCUUAGCCUUUCGAAGAUACUUAUAGGGAUAUGGUAUGCGUGUGUGCGUUCAUAGCAAUAAAUGUAUGCUCGUGUAUGUGUACGUGAACAACUUUGAUUGUAUUCUGCUAAAUAAAACUCAUGGAUGAGAACGUGCAAACAUGCGGUGAGGUGGCCCGUUGGGGUUGUCCUAAACGUAAACGUGUGGUACAUGGAAUCAGCUGCCGUGUUUACGCAAUGACGGCUACAACAAAACUACCGGAUGAGAACGUGCAAACAGGCGGUGAGGUGGCCCUUGGGGGUGGUCCUAAUUCCUAAACGUGUGGUACAUGGAAUCAGCUGUCGUGUUUACGCAAUCAACGUGCUCAGAAACUUUCCUAAUUUUAUUCAAGUCAAAAAACUUAUUUUAUUUUAUUUGUGGAUAAGAGCAUCUACAACCGAACCCCUCGUACUGUUAAAACUAAUUACAUAAAUUAGGGGAAAAUCUCCUCUUGAUGUAACCGUUCGAGCGGUUUCCUCCCGCACGGGCGUCUCUCUCCCGACUCCCUGGAACCGACGCAUCUCCUCUCUGUCGUCGCGUCUCUCCAGGAGUUAUAUAUACUCCAUGUAAUCAUCGACAAUGAUAGAAGAAUCACUUUGAUUCGUUUCACGUUAUCAGCACUUGCGCUACCAGAAAGAGCGAGAGCAAACAGAGAAGGAGAGAAGGGAAGGGGAACUUGCCGCCGGUGAGAUGCCAGGCCUCGUCUCCUUUUUCCUUCGCCUCAUCCGUGAGGAUGGUCGCCGCUACCGCCUCAUAGCCCGUCGCCUCCAUGGAGUAGGUGGACUCCGGCGCUUCCGUCGCAGGAUGCAAGCCAUCCGCCGCUUCGGUCGCGAUGCCGCUGGACGCGGUUACCAUGGCACUCGAAGGGAUGCGCGUGGAGGUUACUACGCCUCUGGAAGCGGCCUCCACGCCGCCGGAUGCGCCCACCGCGGUGCUCCUCGCGCCCAUGGCCCGACGCCGAUGGGGUUCGACCCCUCGCUAGUGGCCGACCCGAGCGCCCCUGCGGUGCACGGGGAUGCUGCCGCGCCUGCCCCGUCCCCCGGAUCUCCGCCUCCACCACCUCCUCCACCAACGGCUUGGAUGGCGCCGCCGACGCCCACGCCGGCCGCCGAGACCGCCGGCCCGAGCCGUGCCCCCCUGGCUAUGCGCCCGUCCCGAUGCGGGUCAAGGUGGACGAGGAGGCCGCACUCGGCUUCGUCUCUGCACCAACCGGCGUCUCUGGCGUCGUCCGCCUCGGAGUGGGGAUGGAUGGUGCGGACACCAACGCCUCGCCACCGCGGGAAAUGACCGCGGGCACGAGAAGCCGCGCGAAGCGGCGCUUCGGCCGCCUCUUUGGGCGCGCCGUCGCUGCCCUCGACCGCCAGCCCGGCCACCGCGCCGGCUCGUGGGCUCCGGCGAGCCUUGGCCUCGGAGCAGCCUCCCAUGCCCCCGUCGUCGUCCCCUCCUCUUCCGACGAGGAGGGGUCCUCCGUGAGGCGUCGGUGAUCACCGGAGAGUACAUCGGCCCUCACUCCCGUCGCCAGGUCUCCUCUGGCUGGGCGCUGGUGGUGGGCUGGCUCGCACAGGAGGUGGGGAGCGAGGGGAUGCGGAUGGAUCUGAUCCAAACCGAUCCCACCUCCUCCUCUCUCUUAUGUGCUAGUGUGUGGGGCACGUGGUGCUAGUGUGUGGUUGUGUGGUGUCGAGCCUAGGCCACGUAUUGGAUAUUUGAUCAUAUCCAUCCUAGGCCAUGUAGUGGGAUGGCUAUCACGUGGUGCCGGCUGGCUGUUGUUUCAGUUUUUUUUUAUUAGUCUAGCACCAAUUACUGUAUAUAGUAUAGUUUUAGACUAUGUUUAGUACUACUAUUUAUAUUUAGUCCAGUUCUAGAUUUAUUCUAGUAUAAGAUUUGUGUAAUUAUAAGUGUGUUUAUAUUAUGCAAUGGAUUGAUGAUAUAAAUAAAAGUACCGGAUUUCAUCUGGGAAAAACGACAUUUUCUUAUUGCGAUUGAGAUCAACUUCUCUCGUAUCUCAAACUUGCAAAUUUUGAAAAUUUCUCCCUCAUCUUAUUUGAAAUCACAAGGUAAUGAGUUGUGAUCUACUGCACAUAUGUAGACUAUCCCCUCUUACUGUAAGGUAUACGUGUUGGGGAACGUUGCAUGAGAAACAAAAAAUUUCCUACGCGCACGAAGACCUAUCAUGGUAAUGUCCAUCUACGAGAGGGGAUGAGUGAUCUAUGUACCCUUGUAGAUCGUACAUCAGAAGCGUUAGUGAACGCGGUUGAUGUAGUGGAACGUCCUCACGUCCCUCGAUCCGCCCCGCGAACAAUCCCGCGAUCAGUCCCACGAUCUAGUACCGAACGGACGGCACCUCCGCGUUCAGCACACGUACAGCUCGACGAUGAUCUCGGCCUUCUUGAUCCAGCAAGAGAGACGGAGAGGUAGAAGAGUUCUCCGGCAGCGUGACGGCGCUCUGGAGGUUGGUGAUGACCUUGUCUCAGCAGGGCUCCGCCCGAGCUCCGCAGAAACGCGAUCUAGAGGAAAAACCGUGGAGGUAUGUGGUCGGGCUGCCGUGGAAAAGUCGUCUCAAAUCAGCCCUAAAACCUCCGUAUAUAUAGGUGGGAGGGAGGGGACCUUGCCUUGGGGCUCAAGGAGACCCAAGGGGGUCGGCCGAGUCCAAGGGGGAAGGCUCCCCCCCCCCCCAAACCGAGUUGGACUUGGUUUGGUGGGUGGGAGUCCUUCCUUCCCUUCCCACCUCCCUUUUUUUUCUUUCUCUUUGAUUUUUCUUUCUAUGGCGCAUAGGGCCCUUUUGGGCUGUCCCACCAGCCCACUAAGGGCUGAUGCGCCACCCUCUUGGCCUAUGGGCUUCCCCGGGGUGGGUUGCCCCCCCGGUGAACUCCCGGAACCCAUUCGUCAUUCCCGGUACAUUCCCGGUAACUCCGAAAACCUUCCGGUAAUCAAAUGAGGUCAUCCUAUAUAUCAAUCUUCGUUUCCGGACCAUUCCGGAAACCCUCGUGACGUCCGUGAUCUCAUCCGGGACUCCGAACAACAUUCGGUAACCAACCAUAUAACUCAAAUACGCAUAAAACAACGUCGAACCUUAAGUGUGCAGACCCUGCGGGUUCGAGAACUAUGUAGACAUGACCAGAGAGACUCCUCGGUCAAUAUCCAAUAGCGGGACCUGGAUGCCCAUAUUGGAUCUUACAUAUUCUACGAAGAUCUUUUCGUUUGAACCUCAGUUCCAAGGAUUCAUAUAAUCCCGUAUGUCAUUCCCUUUGUCCUUCGGUAUGUUACUUGCCCGAGAUUCGAUCGUCAGUAUCCGCAUACCUAUUUCAAUCUCGUUCACCGGCAAGUCUCUUUACUCGUUCCGUAAUACAAGAUCCCGCAACUUACACUAAGUUACAUUGCUUGCAAGGCUUGUGUGUGAUGUUGUAUUACCGAGUGGGCCCCCGAGAUACCUCUCCGUCACACGGAGUGACAAAUCCCAGUCUUGAUCCAUACUAACUCAACUAACACCUUGGGAGAUACCUGUAGAGCAUCUUUAUAGUCACCCAGUUACGUUGCAACGUUUGAUACACACAAAGCAUUCCUCCGGUGUCAGUGAGUUAUAUGAUCUCAUGGUCAUAGGAAUAAAUACUUGACACGCAGAAAACAGUAGCAACAAAAUGACACGAUCAAUAUGCUACGUCUAUUAGUUUGGGUCUAGUCCAUCACGUGAUUCUCCUAAUGACGUGAUCCAGUUAUCAAGCAACAACACUUUGUUCAUAAUCAGAAGACACUGACUAUCUUUGAUCAACUGGCUAGCCAACUAGAGGCUUGCUAGGGACGGUGUUUUGUCUAUGUAUCCACACAUGUAAAUGAGUCUUCAUUCAAUACAAUUAUAGCAUGGAUAAUAAACGAUUAUCUUGAUACAGGAAUUAUAAUAAUAACUAUAUUUAUUAUUGCCUCUAGGGCAUAAUUCCAACACUACGCUUUGUCAAUCUCGACAAGUGAUUACCUUCAACGUGUAUUCCUUAUAUCUAAAUUGUAGCAUACCCAAGGUAAUGGCCAUGCGGCCUAUUACUGUGAGAUCUAAAUGAUCUUCAAUGUGUUAUGUUCACACAAUUGAGGUUGAGAAUUUUUCAAGUUUUACACUUGACUAUCAAAUUUUUGCAUUCUUAUUACACAACCAUGAUGGUUUUUAAUUUACCGCCCGUAAAUUAAUUAUCUCUGGUUCCCCAUGUAGGCCAAGAUGACUGCCAAAGAAUUCGAGGAGCUUGCCCUCAAUGGCCACAAUUACCCUACAUGGGCUAUGGACAUCAAGAGCAGUCUUGCGUCCCGUGGGAUAGCGCGUGCAAUCCAGCCCCCGGAGACUCCUCUCCCGGCUGGAGCCACGCCGCUGACAGAACAGCAGAAUUAUGCUGCCUUGUUCAUCAUAAGGCACCAUAUUCAUCCAGAUCUCAAGUCUGAGUAUUUACAGGAGGAAUCUCCUAGUACUCUGUUUCUGGCCCUCAAAACGAGGUAUGAACAGCAGAAGGCAGUGGUCCUGCCUGAAGCACUCCAUGAUUGGACUCAUCUCCGCCUUCAGGAUUUCAAGUCCAUUGGUGAAUACAAUCAUGAUGUUCAUAACAUAUGUUCCAAAGUGCGUUUUUGUGAGAAGGAACCUACUCAGGGGGAGAUGAUAGAGAAAACUUUAUCUACUAUGCUCCCUUCUGAUAGGAUCCUCCAACAGCAAUACCGUGCUCGCAGCUACACUGUCUAUUCCGAGCUUAUUCACAUGUUACUUCAGGCUGAAAAGCAUGAUGAGCUACUCGCUAAGAAUGGCUCUCAACGCCCAGUUGGGGCACAACCUUUACCUGAAGUCCAUCUGAAUGUCGCGAAUAGACAGAAGUUUAAUGGUACCUUUCGAGGUAAACAUUCCAAUUAUGAGCACAAGCACAAGCGCAAUGGGAACAGAAAAUUCAGAAACAUUGGCAAAGGCAAAGGCACUGCAAAGCCAAAGUUCGAUAAAUCUAAACUUUGCAACAAGUGUGGAUGCUACUCGCAUUCUACUGAAAAGUGCUCAAUGCCCAAGCAUCUAGUCAUGCUCUACCAGCAAUCUCAGGGACGCAAAGCACCUCAAGGGAAAAGGCUUGAAGCUAACUUCAACCUACAUCCGCAUAGCGCAAAUGGAGCUGGCGAUUCUCAGGAUAUUCCUCCUGGACCGAGCAACGCCAUGAUUCCUUAUCCACUUGAGGACCCUGCUGAAACGGAGGCCAUGUUACUUGAGUACACCUCAAACGAUGUGUUUGGCGACUUUGACUAGUCCCUCGACCUCCUUAGUGAUCUAUUUAACUAUGUCCAUUUGUGAUGAUUGUAAUAAGAACAUAAGUUUGUUAUUGUCUUUAUAUUGUAUUGUAUCAGCACAUUUGAUAUAAUUAAGAUUGUAUUCUAUGUAUUAACAUAAGGUUUUAUUAUUGAAAAUUCUUUCGUUUUUAUAUAGUUUUUCUAUGGGGACAAUCCGAUGGAAGAGGAAUUAUGCCUUGUGGAUAGUGGUACCACAAACUCCAUACUGAGGGAGAUAAAAUAUUUCCAAACUCUGAAAAAGAUGAAUGGAGAUAUUCUAACUAUCGCUGGACGCGAUACAGUGAUUGUUGGUACUGGACGUGCCAUAUUCACACUCCCAAGUGGUACACAAGUGACGAUAGAGGAUGCUUUAUUGUAUCCCGACUCAUCACGUACCCUGAUCAGUUAUCGAGAUAUCCGUAAGAAUGGUUUUCAUAUUGAAACCCAUGAACACAACAAAGAGGAGUAUUUACUCUUUACUAAAGAUCACGGAUAUGGCAAAAAGGUACAUGAGAAAAUUCCUUCUAUAUCGUCUGGUUUGUACUAUACGUACAUCAAACCCGUGGAACAUGUUGCAUACAAAGUAAUUUUUCAGAAUGUUGACGCAUUCCAAACCUGGCAUGAUCGCCUGGGCCAUCCCGGAAUCGGGAUGAUGAGAAAAAUUACUAGCAAUUCCAUUGGUCAUAAUUUGCUUGAGUCAAAAUUUCCUCAAUCUUCUGAUUUUGUGUGCACAUCUUGUGCCACGGGAAAGCUAAUUUUGAGGCCCUCGCAUCUCAAAAUACAAGCUGAACCACUUCAGUUCCUUGAACGUAUUCAAGGAGACAUUUGUGGUCCUAUUCAGCCAUUAUCUGGACCAUUCCGGUAUUUCAUGGUUCUGAUUGACGCAUCUACACGAUGAUCACAUGUGUGUCUUCUGUCCACACGAAACCAUGCAUUUGCCAAAAUAAUGAGGCAAGUCAUUAAGUUGCAAGCCCAUUAUCCUGAAAGUCGAAUUAAGACAAUUCGAAUGGACAACGCUGCAGAAUUCUCCUCACGUGCUUUCAAUGAUUAUUGCAUGGCUUUGGGGAUUGAAGUUCAGCACUCUGUUCCAUAUGUCCAUACACAAAAUGGUUUGGCUGAAGCAUUAAUUAAGAGGAUUAAACUCAUUGCAAGACCUUUGUUGAUGAAUUGCAACUUGCCAACCUCUUGUUGGGGUCAUGCAGUUUUACACGCUGCUGACUUGAUACAAUUGAGGCCAACUGCAUAUCACAGUUCUUCCCCUCUGGAAUUGGUACGUGGAAAUCCUCCUAGCAUUUCCCAUCUGCGUAAGUUCGGAUGUGCUGCAUACAUCCCGAUCUCACCACCACAGCGGACAUCUAUGGGCCCACACAGAAAGUUGGGGAUCUAUGUGGGGUACAAAUCACCGUCGAUUAUCAAGUACCUGGAACCCCUAACUGGGGAUCUGUUCACAGCCCGUCACGCUGAUUGCAUAUUUAAUGAGGAACAUUUUCCGGCAUUAGGGGGAGAUUUCAAGUACCAGAAAGAAUGCCCGGAAAUUGAUUGGAAUGCUCAUACCAUUUCAUCCUCUGAUCCACGUACCCAUGAGACCGAACUUCAAGUUCGGAAGAUCAUUAAUUUGCAACAUCUUGCAAAUAAUCUGCCAGAUUCAUUUACUGAUCUAAAAGGUGUUACAAAAUCCUUAAAUCCGGCUAGAAACGCGCCAGAAAGAAUGGAGGUACCAAUAAAAACCACUCAACUCCCUGUUCCUAAAAAGAGGGGGAGUAGUAUGGCUUCUGACCUGGAGCUAGCUUCUAGCAAGCAGCAAAGGAAAUCGAGGAGAAAAUCCUCAGAGUCAGUAAAUGCAGGUCAACUCAACGUUGACAAACACCCUGUGGAAGGGCAACCUUCACAACCCAGCUCCAGUGUGCACAAACUAGCUGGAACAUCGGAACACCCAGACUCAAUCGUAUUGGGAAAUCUCGAAGAGUCUCUAGGGGUGCAAGAAAUUUCCAUCAACUAUGUUGAUUCUGGAGAAUCAUUUGACCGCAAGACUACGACUGUCGACAUAUAUUUUGCUGAAAAGAUUGCAGAUACCCUUAUCACUGAUCAUGAUCCAAGGUCUAUCGUCGAGUGCCAAAGGCGCUCCGACUGGCCUAAAUGGAAGGAUGCAAUCCAAGCAGAAAUUGCCUCGCUUAACAAAAGGAAGGUAUUCACUGAAGCAAUACCUACACCUCCCAAUGUUUUCCCCGUGGGAUUCAAAUGGGUUUUCCUCCGAAAACGGAAUGAGAACAAUGAGGUGGUGAGAUAUAAAGCAAGGCUCGUAGCACAAGGUUUUACGCAGAAACCCGGCAUUGAUUUCAAUGAAACAUACUCUCCGGUAAUGAGUGGAACCACUUUCCGAUAUCUUAUAUCUAUGGCAGUGCAAAAUCGUCUAUCCAUGCAGUUGAUGGACGUCGUGACCGCAUAUCUUUACGGGUCACUAGAUUCGGACAUAUAUAUGAAGGUUCCUGACGGAAUCUCCGUCCCGAAUAACAGUGCAAAACGCAACAUGUAUUGUGUAAAGCUGAAUAAGUCAUUGUAUGGCUUAAAACAGUCGGGACGGAUGUGGUACAACCGACUAAGUGAGUUCCUUCUUCAGAAAGGUUACUCCAAUAGUGAUGAUUGCCCAUGUGUCUUCAUCAAGAAGUCCUCUACAGGAUUUUGCAUCAUUUCUGUGUAUGUUGAUGAUCUCAACAUCAUUGGCAGUGCACCAGACAUUGAUGAAGCACGCAAUCAUCUAAAGAUGGAAUUUGAGAUGAAGGAUUUGGGUAAAACCAAAUUUUGCUUAGGUAUUCAACUUGAGCACCUUCCCUCAGGAAUCAUGGUACACCAAGCUGCCUAUAUCCAGAAAAUAUUGGAGAAAUUCAAUAUGGACAAAUCCUAUCCAUCUAAAACUCCUAUGGUGGUUCGAUCUCUAGACGUAGAGAAAGACCCGUUCAGACCGAGGGAUGAUGGAGAAGAGGUGUUGGGACCUGAAGUUCCAUAUCUCAGUGCAGUUGGAGCGCUUAUGUAUCUUGCAAAUUGCACAAGACCUGAUAUUGCAUUUGCAGUGAAUCUACUUGCUAGACACAGCGCAACUCCCACCAAACGACAUUGGUCUGGAGUAAAGAAUAUCUUUCGAUAUCUCCAAGGCACAAAGGAUCUUGGCCUAUUUUUUCAGUUCCAGCAAAAUCUGAACUCUGAUAUGAUUGGGUAUGCAGAUGCCGGUUAUUUGUCUGAUCCCCAUAAUGCCAGAUCUCAGACCGGUUUUGUGUUCCUACAUGGUGGUACAGCUAUAUCAUGGAAGUCUUGCAAACAGACUCUAGUGGCUACAUCUACCAAUCAUUCUGAAAUAAUUUCAUUAUUUGAAGCGUCAUGUGAAUGUGUAUGGCUUCGCAGAAUGAUAAACCACAUACAACAGUCAUGUGGAAUUGGUUCUAUUGAAUCACCCACCAUUAUCUAUGAGGAUAAUGCGGCAUGUGUUGCACAGAUGCAGUUAUGAUAUAUCAAGAGUAAUAUCACUAAGCAUAUUUCUCCUAAAUGGUUCCCCCCCCCCACACAAUCUUCAGAAAAACGGAGAAAUAAGCAUUCUGCAAGUCAAAUCAUGUGACAACAUUGCUGAUUUGUUUACUAAGUCUCUACCAAACUCAACAUUUCAGAAAUAUGUUCACGGAAUUGGUAUGCGACGACUUAGAGACUUGCAGGCAACAGGGGGAGUCUCUUCUUGAGAUAUCCUUGUUCAAUAACAUCACAUUAUGCUAUCUCUUUGUGAGUUUACAUUUCAGGUUUUCAUCAAAGUCUUUAUGAAGAACUUUUGAAGAAGAGUUUUUGAUGAUAAAGCUUCCCGGACAAUCAUAAAGAUGACUCCACAUGGUCAAGCGUAGAUUACGGGGAGUGUUAAAACUAAUUACAUAAAUUAGGGGAAAAUCUCCUCUUGAUGUAACCGUUCGAGCGGUUUCCUCCCGCACGGGCGUCUCUCUCCCGACUCCCUGGAACCGACGCAUCUCCUCUCUGCCGUCGCGUCUCUCCAGGAGUUAUAUAUACUCCCUGUAAUCAUAGACAAUGAUAGAAGAAUCACUUUGAUUCGUUUCACAUACAUCAACCCAUCCGUGUAACAGCAGCAAGAACCAAAUAAUAAUGAAACAUUGCAGUUCGUAAAUUAACCUCAAUCCACCGCAAGAAUGCCCGUUAUUACUAGCUUUCAGAGCACUAUCCAUUAUUCACCAAUAAUGUGUACAUAACAAAGGACCAUUCACUGAAAAUACAAUGUACCAUUGUACCCACAUUUCGUACAAGUGCAAGGAACGCGGGUAAAUAACAAGUAAAUAAUGUAGUUCAUAGAUAUAAAAGAAUAAAAAAAGUUGACAGUAACCACUUAAGGGUUUAGGAACUCAUAAUUCUAGUGAAAUGCAUGAAAAUUAUUUCAUAUUUUUUCCAGUUGUCAUUUAAAGACUAGAAGCAUAGCAUGGUGCGCCAAAGAUGUACUCACAUGAUAAUGAUCGACCAAACCAAUCAGCAAAAGUACUUGGAUUCCAAAGCCUGCAAAACAUGCACAUAUUAAUGAAGGCAACACAAACUUGAUUCCAAAAAAUUACAGAUAAUUUAUUGCAUAUACUAACAGAACAUAUAGAACAUCUGGAAGCUGUCAACAACAAAUGAAAGGAGAUAUAAUCUACCUUCCAGCCUGGCAGUAAAGUAAAAUUUCUGGGUUCUGUGUCACUGUCUUUUCAGAUAAAUCCUUGUCCAGAACAGUAGUUAAAACAAGAAUGCUUGUGUACAAGACAUUAUAAGCCAUCAAACUAACUGAAUUGAAUAAACUUGUUCCGGCAAUACCUGAAACAAAAGCAGAACUGCAUGCAUACAAUAUGAGAAUGCAGACAAGAGCAACUAGCAUCCAGUAUGCUUAAAUGAAAUAUGAGAAAGAUCUGAAGGUGAAAUAAGGUGGCGGCCAAAGUGAUGUUCCUUUGUGACUUGCAGUAUCUGAAUAAAGCCAAUUAACGAUGACUUGUAGAACGAAUACUGUGAAAGGAAGGCAGUACGGUUGUACGAGUAUUGUCCAUGCAUAAGAAUACGCCUUUCCAAGAACCUGAAUCUGCCAAAAAGGAAAAGCAGAAGUUGAAAACCAUCAAAAAAUUCAGUAUACCAACCAUUAUGUAGUCAAAUUAUUAGACCAACAGUUGAGCAAUUAUCUAGAACACAAAAAUUAUCUAGGUAACACAUAUCAAACUCUUGCCCACAACUUCAGUUGUAUUUUGAACAUUUCAGGGAAAUGUUUACACUGCCGUUCACAUCAACAAAGCUUGGGAUAUACUUUUGGCUUGCUAAAUCUUCUAUGAGCUCAGUUUACAUGAGAAACAUCUCAAGAAAUUAAAACAAUGGCCCAGCGAUAUUUUAAGGAGAAGGCAUACAAAACUCAGUAAGUGGUUAGUACCAUCGUUAUUAUUGCAUAAUGUACUACCACAGUUAGUAUUGCAUAAGAUUUAAUGAGACUUGAAGCAACAAUGAGCUGGAAGCAUGAAAUGAUAGGCAUCAGUGCAGUGGCUUGAAGACUUGGGAGUAGGGCGACAUGACAGCCUCCUGUACCAUCUUCCUUGGGUCGCCUGGAUCGGGGCCCCACCUCACCUCGCUCAUGUUGGGUGUCUCGACGAACAUCAUGGUGAACUCGCCCACCUUCUCCACUCGUCCUCGCUUGCCGGCGCGCAAGAACAGGUUGUUGCCCCUAUGGUAUGAGAAGAUGCCACUUGUGAGCCGCACGAUGUCCCCGGGCUCAAAGGCGUCACACUCGGUGCCCCACAGCAGGAAAUGCACCGCCGCCGUCUCAUCAGCCACCAGCAACGGGCAUGUCUCCUCCCUGCCAUGCGCGUUUGCAUGGGUCGGGCGGGCCGCCUUGUCAACCACAAUGAACGUUGUGUUCACGGUGUUGGUCGCUGCCGGGACGAGGUCCUUGAGUUUCACAUCCAUCCUCCCGCCACCUACAGUUUCUUCGGCCUGCAACAGAAUUGUCAAUAACCAGAGUAAGUGCACAUGAACUAGCUACAUUUGCAUUACAAAAGCCGAACUUCACUGCAUCUAGUCCAUGCUCAGCGUUCAUGCGAAGUAGGGUCCGUCCUGUACCGGGCAAUUGAACGAACACCUUGUGGUCGUCCGAGGAAAAUCUCUAGACCAGCAUCCAAGCAACAAAACCAAACGCAUGAGAAAGAUGAGAAGAAGAAAAGUGCGGCGAUCUUGCCCCUUUUGCGUCAUCGCGAUGACGCGGGCUUGCCCUUCCACCGCCGCCUGAGUUAACCCUCACUCUUCGCCAUUUCUCCCCACUAACACCUCUGCUCCUGCUUUAUGUUUACCUUGGUGCGAUCCAAUUGUGUUGACUACGGCAGGAUCGGAACUCCUUUUGCCCGAUCUUGUCGGGUCCAUCAGACAAACCGCAUCACUCUUCCACCCCCAUACUCUAGCCCGAGACACGGCUCCUCCCCCCUGCUCCAUCUGUACGCAAUUUCAUCCACCACCGCCAACUCACCUACUUAGCUUUGUAGAUCAAGUGCAUAGACUAAAGGUAGCUCAAUCUACUUCUACAGAAGCCGUUGGACUUGGAAAGAAAAAAACGGAACUUGAAAAUCAUGCUUCCAAAAUUGUAAAACCAGUUUCAUUGACCUACCAUAUCCAACAGAACUAUCUUGCAGCAGGCAAUUAAAGCAUCUUACCCAGACAAUCGAAUGCUAAUUUAUUUUCUUUUCCUGGUAGGACAAUUCUAACCAGAGAAUUUUUGUGUUAACAAUAAAAGUACAAAUGUGUUGUAAAUUUCUCAUCAAAUUUGAACAGAUAAAUCAAUGUCAAUGAAAGGAGUAGGACAUGUCUGUACUUCUAUAAAAAAGACAGUUCUCCUCGAAUUUGAACAGAUGAAUCAAAGAUUGCUAGAAAUCCUGUUAGAAAUCUACAUGACAGAUUAGUACAAUGAGUGAGAGGAUAGGCAUUAGCAGAACAUAUUUAAUUAAUUAUCAGAAGAUAACAUUCUUUAGACAUCACUGAACAGUUUAGCUAUAAUAAGAAUGGUGCAGCCAACAUUCUGUUCUCAGCUAGAUGCCAAAUUCAGUCAGUCUAAUACAAAGGUGGAAGCUCCUUCUAGUUCCUGUAGUAUAGAACAUAAAGAAACAUAACAUUCUCGGUGGGUGCUAGUGUGUAAUGUGGGUGCUAAUGUUCUCAUGGGAAUAUAGACUUGAAUAUUUAAUUAAACCAAGCAUCAAAGCUUAAAAGUAAAAGGUCUUCUCCCCUUCGGCAUGUGAAAUGAAGUGGGAAACUCUAGCCUACAAACACUAUAACAGUAAUAUAUAAUCUGAAAUUCUCUCUGAAAGAACUAUAUAUAAUCUGAAGAAUCAUACAGCAGCAAAUAAUGACAGGCUGCAGCCACUUGUUUCUGUAUGUACCACUAAGCUCCAAAAUAUGGCUCACCAAAUAAGUUCAAAAUAUGCAAUACCAAAUCAAGUACUAUUCUGGCUAAGUUACAAGCAGCUUCAACCCUGUAUCUUCAAUACAAUCCAUGCAUCGGUUCAUAAUCAAAAGCUAAUGAAGAACUGUCAGCAGCAGACCUAGGAUACCCUAUCCCACAUCUGUUCCCUAUCAUCUGUGUGAUGUUCUUCAGAACCAGAUACUAACUGCUACGCAGUGGCGGAGCUAGCAUUUAACGUCAGGGUGGUCCCCCCCCCAAAAAAAUAUUUUUUUCAAGUAAUAUAACAUGUGCACGUUCUAACUAGUUAUCAAUAUCCCAUAGAAAUAGAUCAAUAUGGUCUUAAAAACAAACUAGAAUUCCCAAUUAAGACCAAGUUUUGCAUAAAGAAGUGUACAAAAUACAUACUACAUGGACCAUAAUACAUACAUACCUUAAGAAGUUUAAAAAGACUGUUUAUAUUGAUAAAGCUAAUUUAGAGAGAAACAAUGUCUCCAGCCCUUUUCAUGCUUCCACAAUUCUGCAAUAAAAAACAGUUUCUAUCAAUAAAGCUAAUUGAGGCAAAAAUGAUGUGCACAAUUAUGUAUGUGUUCAUCAGUUCAUGUACUGGAUAUCAUAGUGCAAAAAAAGCAAACCCUAAAACAAAAAUUGGGGGUUUUCUGUACCUUAAAUCGAUUCGCACAGUUGCUGCCGACGGGGAGUGGUUACUGAGCGGCAGCAACGGCCGUCGGCUUUGCAGGGAGGGCGAAGGGACGAAGGGCGGAAGCAGAGGCGACAGGGUCAGGCGGCCCGGGUCAGGGGAGCAGCCGGGCAAGGGCAGGGCAGGGGCGUGAGGGAGCGGCUGCAGCGGUGGAUGUGGAGCCGAGGGCCAGGCACGCGUCGGGCUAGAGGGAGAGGCGGGCUCGGCUCCGGCCGGCAACCGGCGAGGCGAGGAACGGCGGCUGCCAACUGGGAUGCUGUCUUGUGCGUGUUGCGGGGGCGUCGGGACGAGGCGGCUGUUCUGCUCGAUGGGGAUGUGGCUGCGGUUGAUGGAUCAAUCGGUAAGUGUUAUUGGGCCUUUUUUUUUUGCUGGCCCAGUUAGAAAUUAGGGGUAUAAGCUGACCCAAAAUACCAGCGGUCACCCUGUAGCUCCGCCCCUACUGCUACGUCAUCAAAUCCAGUGAGGAGAUAGUGAGGAGUAAAAUGCAUCUUUGGUCCUUUAAAUUGUUGGCCAUGUCCACAAUGGUCCCCAAACUCAUAAACUGAGUGAAUACAAUCCUGGAACUUGCAAAUACGGGUUGAGUACAGUCCUUAAUCUUGGUAAACCGGUCAUGUGCUACGACAACGCAUACAUGUGGCGUACGCCACACCUGCGACGUCAGUAUAGGGCCGAGGGCCAGCGGAUUAACUCGUUCGUGGCACCUAUUCCCUUCCCAAAUCCCUAACUCUAAUCCCCACUUUUCCUCAGCAUGGGCAGCGGCAACUAUUCUGCUUACUGGCAACAGUAUGUGCUUUUUUUUAUUAAUUAUGAAAUGUAAUGCCAGCUAUGUAUGAGAACUAUGUUAAUGUCAGGAAGUGUUGUCUUGAUCUAUCCUUGUGUAUCACAUGUAUGUGAAAUGCAGUUUGUACAGUACUCACACCAACAUGAAGCAGCAAGUGGGCAUACAAUGUGACUGAAUUUUACAGGACUACACAACACGUAAAUAAAACAUAUCCUUGACUGAAUUUUCACAAGAUGUAGGCGCAUUUUGCAAAACUCACAUAACACAAAUGAAACAUCUUCAUAGUUGAUUUUCUUCGAGAUGUAACUGCAUUUGGCAUGACUCACAGAAAACAAAUAUAAAGAUGAUUCAAUUAAAUUUAGGAGAAGCAGACCAAGCAUAUAUGACCUGAACACUGACGAUAUAUGAUCUCAAGAGUACAUAAAACACUGAUUAAAAGUUCUGCAGAUGACAUUACUAAUUCAUUAACAAAAUAAUCUAACCCUCACAAGUUCACACAUGGCAUUGAGACACUCCUUAGCUCAUCAAACAUGCUAACUUUUCUUGGUUUUUUAAAACUUGACCUUUCCUGAUUGGAAGGUGCUCUCUUUGAUGUUUUUGCCUAUGCCAAUGUUUCAUGCUGCCCUGCUCAUCUAUUGCCUUAACUUUUGCUGCGUCUUCAGCCUUCUUUUCUCAUUGUUCUCAUCCAUGGUUUGCUGCUUUACUAGACUUACUUUUUCAGCUAUUCUCUUUCUCUCCUCCCAAUCAGCAAUCUUUUGUGUGUCCUGAGAAUGAAUCUGAUUCUCCCAAGCUUGUUGCCUUGCAGCCUCCUCAGUUUGCAAAUAUUUUUGCCAAGUCUGCUGCCUCUCCUCCUCCUCUGCUUGAUGUAUAAGAAAAUUUGCUUCCUCCUGUUGGAAUGAUGUAUGUGCAAUCAUUCUCUUCUCAACAGCAAGUCUUUUUUUCUCCUCAACCUUCCUUUGUUUUUCUAUUUCCGCAUUUCUUUUUCUUUCAGCCAUGCUUUGCCUUCUCUUCUCUGCCAUUGCAAGUUUCUCUUCUUGGGCCUUUUUCUUUUUCUCCUCACUAGCUUUUCUUUUUUCCUCUGCGACAAUUCUCUUUUCUUCUAGUGUUGCUUUCUUCCUCUCCUCGGCAACUAUUUUUUUAGCUAGUAAUUCAGCUUUUCUCUUCUCAGCUGCUUGUGACAAUUUUUCUUCUUCUUCUUUCAGCUUUGCCAUUGCUGCAUCAAAUUUGGCUUGAUCAGCUACCUCCCUUCUCUCUGCUGCAGCUUUGAGCUUUGCAAGUGCAAUAACCUCUCUCUUCCUAUGGACAUUCUCCACAUUUGUUACAGUAGUUGGAACAACUGGUUGCUGAGACAUUGCAUGCAUCUGGAUGAAAGAAUUUUCCGGUAAUGGCCCAUGUGCAACUGGUUCCCUCUGGCUAGAAACUCUCUGUACAAUAAGAGGAUAUAAACUACUCUGCUUGGAAAAAACAUAAUAUACAAACUAUAUAUGGAUAGAAUUCCACACCUCCUGGGUUAAUGUAGCAAUGAUCUCAGGCUCAUAAUGUUGCUGGUCAUGCGUCACUAUUCGUUCAGUUUGCUGGUUUUGUUCCUACACAUAGAAAAUAAAUAUGUAAUGAUCAACCCAUGCUAAAUAAUUACCAAAUACUCAAAUAGUGCAACUAAAUCCACAUUUACCUCAGUUAUAAUAGGUUCAUCCUCAUCUGAGGAGGAAACAUUCGGCUCAGCCCUAACUUUUACCGUGCCAAACUUUUUCCUAGGUUUGAGGCCUAACUUGUAGUCCAAACAACCACCUUUGUUAUGACCAGCUAAUCCGCAGUAACCACAAUGAAUUUUUGCCCCUUUCUUACUAAUUUUCACUCCUUUCUUCCCUUCUUUCUCCUCUAGUUGUUUUCUAAUUUUUCAUCUUCAGAGUUGCAAUCUUCUACAACAUGCUUGCCUUUCUUGUUACUGAGAUAACGUAAUUGAUCCUGGGCCAAGUCCCCAUCUCCAUCCUCUACAUCAAAAUCACUGUCCACUAUUUCUGGUACAUGAUCAUUGUCGGUAGAAUCAUCAUCGGUGCCACAAUCAUCUUCGUCAAUAUCAUCUUUCUUUCCUCUUGGCCUCAGCUUAACUCUCGGUCGCUCAUUGCUUUCAAGUUCAAUGCAUGUACUAACAUUGUUAUCGUCAACAUAACUACAAUCAGUGGCACUUUGCUCAACAUGACCAAGGUUUGCCUUCUUAGGACCGGAAACAUGUGGUGACUGAGCUAUGGAAUUAGCAACUAUAUCAUCCCAUUCUUUUCCUCUCCCACCAUUGUAGCUAUCCAGAUGAUCCACAUAAAACAUCAGGAAUUUGUGCCCAUUCUUUACCAUUCUCUCAAUGCUCUCAGCUUGUUCAUCACUGGACAACAACCUAGCACCAUCUUCAUUCAGUUGACAUCCAGGCAGCAACCAAUACAGAUGAAUCCUACACUACUGGAAAUCAUCAUUUUUCCAUCUGCCUAGUCUUUGUCGUCUGCUAGCUGAUGGCAAAGAUUGUCUUUGCCGUCAGCUUCAGCAAAACAGACGGCACAGUACUGGCUGAUGGCAUACAGUCUUUUUACCAUUUGUCACCUCUUUGUCGUCUGCUAGGGGACGGCAAAUAGUCCAGAGGCAGACGGCAAAGAUGUAGAUAGGCCCACCUGACCGCGGGGUGGCUAGGUCAAACAGGAGUCGGACCUUUAUCGUCUGCUAGCGGACGGCAAAGAGUCCGGAGGCAGACGGCAAAGCGCUAACUCCGUUAACGGCUCCUCCCCCCCACCCCGCCCCUCUCUCUCUCUGUAACGGCUCAUCCCCGCGCGCCCCUCGCUCUCUCUCCCCACCCCGCUCGCUCCUCUCUCUGUAACGGCCGCCAGGACCACCGUCGCGCCGCCGCCCCUGUCGGCCCUGUCGCCCCCGCCGCCGCCCCUCUCUCUCUCCCCACCUCGCCCCCGCUGCCGCUGCCGCUGCCCCACCACCGUCGUGCCACCGCACCUGGCGCCCCGGNNNNNNNNNNNNNNNNNNNNNNNNNNNNNNNNNNNNNNNNNNNNNNNNNNNNNNNNNNNNNNNNNNNNNNNNNNNNNNNNNNNNNNNNNNNNNNNNNNNNGGCGGGAGGGCGGGAAAACAAAGACAACUUGGGACAACUGAGAGAAACUCCGGAAAGGAAAGAGAGACUGAUCUUUGCAGAAUUGGAGAGGAUAAAAUUGAUUGAAGAGAAGCACACCGGUUGAAGAAGAACUGACACCACAACUCCGGUUGACAAGAAUUGAUAAGACAAUUGAUAGAGAAAAAGAAUUAACACUCUCAUAUGAAUAUGAGAACACUGCUUAGGAAAUAUCUGAAAUCACCACUUGACAUCGAAGCAACUCGAAUUACCAUACUCCAACAAAACAAAGGAUGAGGCUUAUGAAACAAGCCAGAACAAAUUCAAGAGAUAGAUUUCCAUUCGAUAUUUUCGUGAACAGGAUCGCACGGGCUCGAUCCUUAUAGUAGCCAUCUUGUGCAAGGCAGUGCACACGACAUAUGAAGCAUCCCUGAGUCGUAGCAAGCUACAAGGAAUCUUUAAGACACAACGAGAACCGCUAUAAGUCGACCGUGAACAAACGAAUCCACUAGAUGUCGAACCCCAACCUAACAUCAUGCAUUUGUUGGAAGAUUGUCCUAUAAGCAACUACUUGAAUUCCCACCUAAGAACUCCCGAAAUUUCUGGUCAUGCAAUCUGGUCCACGGAUACAAGGAGUAAUAUAUCACUCAACUCCUAUACUAACCCGUCCAGUGUAUCACAUCCAUCAACACAUAACCAGAAUUUCGGAAACUCAUCUAUCACAGACACCCGUGAUCACAACGAUACUNNNNNNNNNNNNNNNNNNNNNNNNNNNNNNNNNNNNNNNNNNNNNNNNNNNNNNNNNNNNNNNNNNNNNNNNNNNNNNNNNNNNNNNNNNNNNNNNNNNNNNNNNNNNNNNNNNNNNNNNNNNNNNNNNNNNNNNNNNNNNNNNNNNNNNNNNNNNNNNNNNNNNNNNNNNNNNNNNNNNNNNNNNNNNNNNNNNNNNNNNNNNNNNNNNNNNNNNNNNNNNNNNNNNNNNNNNNNNNNNNNNNNNNNNNNNNNNNNNNNNNNNNNNNNNNNNNNNNNNNNNNNNNNNNNNNNNNNNNNNNNNNNNNNNNNNNNNNNNNNNNNNNNNNNNNNNNNNCGUGAUCACAACGAUACUAAGUAUGGCUAUACAUCCGGAACUCUAUGCACCAGUACUGGGGAAGCUAGACUCUUCUCGCCACUACUAGUAUUGAAGCAAUUUCGAACAUCCUUCGUCCUGAGAUACUAAGAAGUUUGAAUGAUAGCGAUGUGCUCAAAAAUCCCCUGGAGCUCAACUCUCUCGAAGAAAUCAAGUCAGACACGAGGCACCAAGACAGAACUCCGUCACAUCGACAUCAUUUAGAUUCCAAAAAUAUCCGCGAGAUCCUAAAUUUUUUUUGAGUGAGAAGAGGAGUAGAAUUAAAUUAUUACGUCAAGAUUCCUCACCAGAGCAUAGAAGAGGAGAAAAAAGAAUCCUACUCUCCGAUAUAUAACUAGACUCAAAGCAAUUUUUCACUAGACUCGACUCGGCCAAGUUCGAUCAAUCAAGGGGGCUCCUAGGUCGGUACUGCUCUGAUACCAACUUGUAACGCCCAAGAUGCGAUUAUAUCCUCAAUUUGGCACGAGGGCCUCGUCAGGGAUAGAAGCGCAUCUCGUCGUUUUGCAAGAAUGGAUAUCGUUACAAGUACAUGUACUGAAAAGAUGAGAUAUAUGGUAUUGGCUUACACUCGCAACAAGCUACAUCAGAGUCACAUCAGUACAAUACAUAAUCAUCAUGAAGAAGAGCAGGGUCUGACUACGGACGAAAACAAACGAGAAAAGAAGAACGACGUCCAUCCUUGCUAUCCCAUGCUGUCGGCCUGGAGCCCAUCCUAGAUCGAUGGAGAAGAAGAAGAAGAAGCAACUCCAAAUGAACAAUCAACGCGCUCGCGUCAAGUAACCUUUACAUGUACCUGCAACUGGUGUUGUAGUAAUCUGCGAGCCACAAGGACUCAACAAUCUCAUUUCCAAAGGUAUCAAGACUAGCAAAGCUUAAUGGGUGAGGUAUGGUUAAGUGGUGAGGUUGCGGCAGCGACUAAGCAUUAUAUGAGGUGGCUAAAACUUACGAGUACAAGAAUAAAGAGGGGGAUGAUCAACGCAUAAUGGACGUGAACUACUGAUGAUCAAAUGAAUGAUCCUGAACACCUACUUACGUCAGACAUAACCCCACCGUGUCCUCGAUCGGAGAAGGACCCACGAAAGAGACAAUCACGGUUACGCACUCAGUUGGCAUGUUUUAAUUAAGUUAACUUCAAGUUGUCUAGAACCAGUGUUAGACAAAGUUUCCACGCUGCCACAUAACCGCGGGGAUGGCUUUCCAAAAGACUAAACCCUGCAGGGGUGCUUCAACUAAUCAAUCACAAAUUACCACAAGCCGCAUAGAAAUCCUCGAUCACGAAACUCGCGAUCUCGUCGGACUCCUUAGUGGAAAACCCUGCUACUUCUCAAACAACAGCGCGAGAAAUUGACACGUUGACGGAGACUUGCUUGCGUUGGUUUUUCCCUUGAAGAGGAAAGGGUGAUGCAGCACAGGAGCAGUAAGUAUUUCCCUCAGUUUGAGAACAAAGGUAUCAAUCCAGUAGGAGAAUCUUGUCAAGUCCAGAGUACGUGCGCAAACACAAAAGAGCUUACACCCAACGCUAUAAAGGGGUUGUCAAUCCCUUCAAGAUUGAUUGCAAAGUGAGAUCUGGAGGCGGAAAGUGCAACGAAGUAAAAGUGUAAGGCUGAAAAUAUGGUGUGAAGUAGACCCGAGGGCCGUAGUGUUCACUAGAGGCUUCUCUCAAAAUAGCAAAUAUCACGGUGGGUGAACAAAUUACUGUCGAGCAAUUGAUAGAACCGCGCAAAGUCAUGAAGAUAUCUAAGGCAAUGAUCAUACAUAUAGGCAUCACGUCCGAGACAAGUAGACCGAUACUUUCUGCAUCUACUACUAUUACUCCACACAUCGACCGCUAUCCAGCAUGCAUCUAGUGUAUUGAGUUCAUGACCAAUAGAGUAACGCCUUAAGCAAGAUGACAUGAUGUAGAGGGAUAAACUCAAACCAAUAAUGAAAACCCAGUCUUUUUACCCUUGAUGGCAACAACAUGAUGCGUGUCUCGCUACCCCUUCUGUCAUUGGAUGAGGUCACCGCACGGUAUGAACCCAAAACCAAGCACUUCUCCCAUUGCAAGAAUCAUAGAUCAAGCUGGCCAAACAAAACCCACAACUCGAAGAGAAUUAUAAGGGUAUGAAAUCAUGCAUAAGGGAGAUAAGAAGAAACUCAAAUAAGAUUCAUAGAUAAUCUGAUCAUAAAUCCACAAUUCAUCGGAUCUCGACAAACACACCGCAAAAGAAGAUUACAUCGGAUAGAUCUCCAUGAAGAUCAUGGACAACUUUGUAUUGAAGAUCCAAGAGAGAGAAGAAGCCAUCAAGCUACUAGCUAUGGACCCGUAGGUCUAUGGUGAACUACUCACGCAUCAUCGAAGAGGUCAUGGUGUUGAUGAAGAAGCCCUCCGUAUCCGAAUCCCCCCUCCGGCAGGGCACCAGAACGUGCCCCAGAUGGGAUCUUGCGGAGACAGAAGCUUGCGGCGGCGGAAAAUUAUUUUCGUGGCUCCCCUGAUUUUUUCUGGGAUUUUAGGGAAUAUAUAGGCGAAAGACCUAGGGUAGAGGAGGCCCAGGGAGCCCACAAGCCUGGGAGGCACGGCCCCCCUGGCCGCGGCUAGGGGGCUUGUGGGGUCCCUGGUGACCCUCUGCCUUGGUUCUCAAGUCUCCCGAUCGUCUUCUGUUUCGGAAAAAAUCUUUUUGGAAGUUUCAUUCCGUUUGGACUCCGUUUAAAAUCCUCCUCUGAAAGGGGUCAAAAACACGGAAAAAACAGGAAGUGGCACUUGGCACUGAGUUGAUAAUUUAGUCCCAAAAAAGAUAUAAAAGGCAUACAAAACAUCCAAAGUUUGACAAGAUAAUAGCAUGAAACCAUCAAAAAUUAUAGAUACGUUUGAGAUGUAUUAAGCAUCCCCAAGCUUAACUCCUGCUCGUCCUCGAGUAGGGAAGUGAUAAAGACUGAAUUUUUGAUGUGGAAUGCUACCUAGCAUAGUUGUCCUUUGUAACUUCUUUCAUGUGACAUGAAUGUUCAGAUCUGUAAGAUUCAAAACAAUAGUUUGCUAUUGACAUGGAAACAAUAAUGCUUCAAGAAAACUAGCAAGGUAAUCAUGAACUUUCGAAAUAACAAGGCCAAAGAAAGUUAUCCCUACAAAAUCAUAUAGUCUAGCUAUGCUCCAUCAUCCCCACACAACUAAUGUAAAUCAUGCAUAACCCCGGUAUUGGCCAAGUAAUUGUUUUCGCACUCUUACUUUCUCAAACCUAUUUUCAACUAUCACACAAUACAUGAGCUUGAGACAUGGAUAUAGCACUAUAGGUGGAAUAGAGUGUGGUGGUGGUUGUGAGACAAAAAACAGGAGAUGGUUGAUAUGUCUCCAACGUAUCUACUUUUCCAAACUCUUUUGCCCUUGUUUUGGACUAUAAUUUGCAUGAUUUGAAUGGAACUAACCUGGACUGACGCUGUUUUCAGCAGAAUUACCUUGGUGUUAUUUUUGUGCAGAAAUCAAAGUUCUCCAAACGUCCUGAAAAUUUACGGGGAGUAGUUUUGGAAAAUAUCAAAAAUAUAUGCGCCAAGUUCCACCUCAGGGGGUGGGCCAGUGGGCCACAAGCCCCUGCUCCGCCACCACCCCCCUAGUGGUGGUGGGCAGGCUUGUGGGGACCACAUGCACCUUUCGCCCCAACUCCAGCUCUAUAAGUUGCCUUUCGUCCCAGAAAAAUAAAAAGAGAAGUUUUCGUCGCGUUUUCGAUACGGAGGCGCCGCCACCACCUGUUCUUCAUCUCGAGGGCAGAUCUGGAGUCCAUCUUGGGCUCCGGAGAGGGGAAAUCGUCGCCAUCAUUAUCAUCAACCCUCUUCCCUCUCCAAUUCCAUGAAGCUCUUCGUCGUUCGUGAGUAAUCUAUUCAUAGGCUCGCUGGGCGGUGAUGAGUAGGAUGAGAUCUAUCAUGUAAUCGAGUUAGUUUUGAUGGGGAUUGAUCCCUAGUAUCCACUAUGUUCUGAGAUUGAUGUUGCUACUACUUUGCCAUGCUUAAUGCUUGUCACUAGGGCACGAGUGUCAUGAUUUCAGAUCUGAAAUUCUUAUGUUGUCACCAAUAUAUGUGUGUUUUAGAUCCGAUCUUGCAAGUUGUAGUUACCUACUAUGUGUUAUGAUCCGGCAACCCCGGAGUGACAAUAACCGGAACCACUCCAGGUGAUGACCAUAGUUUGAGGAGUUCAUGUGUUCACCAAGUGCUAAUGCGUUGGUCCGGUUCUUUAUUAAAAGGAGAACCUUAAUAUCCCGUAGUUUCCUUUUGGACCCCGCUGCCACGGGAGGGAUGGACAAUAGAUGUCAUGCAAGUUCUUUUCCCUAAGCACGUAUGACGACACACGGAAUGCAUGCCUACAUCACAUUGACGAACGGGAGCUGGCCACUUAUCUCUCCGUGUUAUAGCUGUUGCAUGAUGAAUAUCAUCCAAACAAAUCACCCACCCAUUGCCUACGAGUUUGUCCUACUCCUGUUACUUGUCUUGCUCUGCUACUGCUGCUACUGCUGUUGCUACCGCUGUUACUUGUCUUGCUCUGUGCUGCUGCUACUACUGUUGCUACUACUGUCGCUUGCUAUUGUUGCUACUUGCUACCACUGUCACUAUUGUUGUUCCUUGCCACUGCUAUUGCUCGUUACACUGCUGCUACCUGCUACACUGUUGGUUCACCUACCAUUGACGGGAAUUGACAACUUCCGUCGACGCGGCAACGAAGGCGCCAUUGAUACAAUCGUUAGGAAUAGUCUGCCGUCAACGGAUCGUUUCUGACACCGUUGUUAUCAUAUUACUUUGUUGUUACUACUGUGCUUGCAUAUACUAAUCUUUCAGGUGUGGUUGAAUCUGACAAAUUCAGCUGCUAAUACUCGAGAGUAUUCUCUCACCUCCUUUAGGCGAUCUACAAGUUUGGGUCGAAUACUCUACCCUCAAAAACUCCUGCGAACCCACGUGCUGGUGGGUCGUCAACAACAUUCUUCUAGUUUCAUUACUGGGGGGUACUAUCAGCACUCUUCUGGUGCCAUUGUAGGAGAAGGUUUGUUGUCAUAAGCAUUCGUCUAGCUAAUGCCAGAGAUUGCACGAUCAACAUUUUUCUGGCGCCGUUGCCGGGGAGGUAUUGCUAUAUUCUCUGAGUCACUUGGGAUUUAUAUCUGCUGAUCACUAUGAAGAAUCUGAAGGAUCCGAAGACCAAAGUCUUGCCCUCCACUACGAGGGGAGGUAAGGAAUUGCCAUCUAGCUCUGCACUUGAUUCACCUUCAGUUAUGAGUAAGUUUGCGACUUCACCUCCUGCUAGAAAUCUUGAUCCAUCGCAUGUGCUUGAUGAUGCUUUUGAUACUACUGCUAGAGAUGCUAUGCUUGAUACUGCUAGAGAUGCUGUGCUUGAUACUAUGCCUGAUGAUACUAUGCUUGAUACUAUGCCUGAUACUGCUAGAGAUGUUAUGCUUGAUACUAUGCCUGAUGAUGCUAGAGAUGCUAUUUUGCCUGAUGAUGCUAUGCUUGAUACUGCUAGAGAUACUCCUUUGCCUGAUGUUCCACUAGGAGUGUUCCUUGAUGCUCAUAUUGCUAGAGUUACUGCCAAUGCUCGUGAUGCUCCUGAAACUGCCAAUACUAUUGAGAUAGAACCUACUUUUGCUCCUGCUAGAUCUAGCUCUCCUAGAUAUGAAUUGCCUGAUAUACCUGAGGGUUACGUUAUGGAGGGAGAGAUAGCUGAGGAUUUUCUUGCGUGUAAGGAUGCCUAUGAUGCUGAGAAAUUACUUCUCAAGUGGAAGGAGAAAUCUCGUGAAGCUAGGAUGAAAAAUGACCCGAAGUUUGCCACUUCGCCUAUCUUUGUCACCGAUAAGGAUUAUGAAUUCUCUGUCGACCAUGAGAUAAUCUCUUUAGUCGAAUCUGAUCCUUUUCACGGUUAUGAGUCUGAGACGGUCAUAGCCCAUCUUGCCAAACUAUCCGAAAUAGCCAACCUUCUCACUAAUGAGGAGAAGAUCCGCCACUACUAUAUCCUUAAGUUGUUUCCUUUCUCUCUAAAGGAUGAUGCUAAAGCCUGGUUCACCUCCCUCUCUCCUGGAUGUGUGCGUAGUCCCCAGGAGAUGGUCUAUUACUUCUGUGAGAAAUAUUUGCCUGCCCAUAAGAAGCAAGCUGCCUUGCAGGAAAUAUACAACUUUGCUCAACUCCAAGCAGAGAGUCUUCCACAAGCUUAGAAUGACCUGCUCAAUGAAUUAAAUGACAACUCUGUCAAAAUCAUUACUAGAGGACGCAAAAUGACUCAGGAACCUUUGUAUCCUGAAGGUCAUCCUAAGAGAAUUGAUCAAGAUUCUCAAGGAAUCAAUGCUGAUACACCUAGUCAUCCUAAGGAGAAGAAGAAGGAUGAUAGAAGCCUACACGCCAGUUCACCAAAUACUAUCACACCUGAAGAACCUAAUGAUAUUUUUGCGUCUGGUGCAGAAACACAAUCAGGUGAUGAACAUGAACCUGGUGACAACAUGGACAGUGAUGUUCGUAAUGAUGCUCAACCUAGCAAUGACGAGGAUGUGGAGAUUGAACCUACGGUUAAUCCUGAUAAUCCACAACCUAAGAGAUACGACAAGAAUGACUUCUCUGCUAGGAAGCAUGGUAAAGAAAGAGAGCCAUGGGUUCAGAGACCUAUGCCCUUUCCUCCUAAACCAUCCAAGAAAAAGGAUGAUGAGGAUUUUGAGCGCUUCGUUGAGAUGAUAAGACCCGUCUUUCUGCAGAUGCGGUUAACUGAUAUGCUCAAGAUGUCUCCGUAUGCCAAGUACAUGAAAGAUAUCGUGACUAAUAAACAGAAGAUACCACAUCUUGAGAUCUCCACCAUGCUUGCCAACUACACUUUCAAAGGUGGAACUCCUAAGAAACUUGGUGAUCCCGGAGUGCCCACUAUACCUUGCUCCAUUAAAGGAAACUACGUAAGAACUGCCUUAUGUGACCUUGGAGCCGGUAUUAGUGUUAUGUCGCUCUCUCUUUAUCGUAGACUUGAGUUGGAUAAGUUGACACCCACUAAAAUUUCUCUGCAAAUGGCCGACAAAUCAACUGCUUUCCCUAUCGGCAUUUGCGAGGAUGUGCCUGUUGUGGUUGCUAAUACCACUAUCUUAACAGACUUUGUUAUCUUGGAUAUUCCCGACGACGAUGCCAUGGCUAUCAUCCUCGGAAGACCCUUUCUAAAUACUGCAGGGGCUGUUAUAGAUUGCAACAAAGGCAAUGUCACUUUCCAUGUCAACGGUAAUGAGCACACCGUGCACUUUCCGAAGAAACGAUAUCCAGUACAUUGCAUCAAUGCUAUCGAAAAGACUUCAUCGAUUCUCAUUGGGAGCUUUGAAUGCCCUAUUCCUCGUGUCAAGAUGAAGUAUGAUUUUCUUGUUGGGGAGAUACGUAUCCCCAUUGAGGUGACUUAGUGGCUAUUCGAAAAUUCUCCGUUCUCUCUUGCGACUCGAGAAGGUUUUUUCAUAAGGACUUGAUCAAUCCCAUUGACGGAUUUCUUUCGAUGACCAUGAAACGGAUGAAUCAAGGAGUCACAUACCUCUGUUUUGAGUUUACUUUUUCUGUUGCUUAGAAGAAAAAUGAUAGAACUAGUUUAGUUUUUCCUGCUUUCUGUUUUACCGUCCCGGAGAAAAAUACCUCAAAACUAAAAGUUCUCCGAUGGUCCUAAAAAUUUAGUAUGAUUUUUUCUGGAAUUUUUGAAAAUUUCUGGGCCUGAGAGCUGGCCUGGGGGCCAGACCAGUGGGCCACAAGCCCCCCACCGCCACCUACCCCCCUGGUGGCGGGGUGCAAGCUUGUGGGGCCCACUGGCACCCCCUCCACUCAUUCCAGCUCCCAGCCUCUUCUUCUACCUCCAGAAAAAAAAUGUUUCGCAUCUCAAACCCGUGUUCUUGCUCAUUUGGCUGUGAUUUUCGAUCUCCUUGCUCAAAGCACCACUCUCCGAACUGUUUUGGGGAAACUACUCCUUGGUAAGUGACUCCUCCAUUGGUCCAAUUAGUUUUUGCUCUAGUGCUUUAUCCUUCGUGUAUUCUUGCUACCUUGGUGACCCUGUUCUUGAGCUAUAAAUGUUGAUUUUAGCUGGUCCCAAGUAGUUUUAGCGCGUGAUACGGUCUCUAGGCACUAGUAGGAGUAGUUGCUACAAGUUGGGUUAAUCCUUAUUCACCUUUCUUUCAAAGUCUCUAAAAAUUUCAGAAUUUUUCAGAGCUAGAAAAGGGAAAAGAUGAGGAGGUUCUUGAGAGGCUCUUCAAGUCGUAACCCCAAGGAGGACGAGAAGAAUCACCCCAAGUACGCACUCCCUCGAGUCACAGAAGUUCGAGCGUGCGAGUGGCCAAGUGAUGAAUUUUUGCGCGCCGCCGGACUUUAUGAAGACUUUUAUUACUUGGUGGAGAACGGAGGUCUUACUGCGUUCUUUGAAGAUAAGUGCCCACAAUAUCUCCUCCUAACCAAUAUUUUCGUUCAAAGCUUCAACUUUUAUCCGAGAAAGAAUCCUCCCAUGGUUGAGUUCAUGAUAUAUUUUCGUGCAAAGCUUUAAUUUCUAUCCAAGGAAGAAUCCUCCUAUGGUUGAGUUCAAAUUAUAUGAUAUCCCCCAGCGCAUGUCACCUCAAGAUUUUUGCAAUGUAUGCAAAUUACCUUAUGUUGGGGAUAUCCGUGACCCUCGUCCACGGGACUUGGAGGAUUUCAUUGGUUCUAUUGUUGUUGGAGAGGAGAGAGGAGUGUCUCGCGCUAGAAUUGCUAGUAUACAUUUUCCUGUGCUUCGGUACUUCUCACUAUUUGUGGGAAAAUGUUUGAUUGGCCGUGGGGAGGCUGUAUCACUUAGUUCUGCAGACCUUGCGGGUUUGCGCGAAGGCCUUUAUAACGAUAAGACUUAUAGCUUGGGCGCUAUAGUAGCUCAACGGUUGAACCUGAACCAUUCUAAAGGUGUUGUCUAUGGAGGUAUCUAUGCUACCCGUCUUGCCAGACACUUUGAGAUACCGAUUAGACUGGGAGAGGAAGGAGAGAUGCUUCUCCCUGAGAGAUAUCUGGAUUAUGACAGCAUGGUUCGCCAUGAUUUUCUGGAUAGAGAUGCUAGUAGACGGAUGAUUUAUAACCUGGUGUUUAGUCAGGGUACUCGAGAGACUAGUACUUUGCCUGCUCCUUCUUUGUUCGAUCUUCAUGCAGGCAGGUACACUAUUAUGCCCGCGGACAUCUACGCAUAUUGGGGCUUGGCCCAACCACAGGCGCCCGUGCCCGAGCCGCCAGUCGAGUACCAGACGCCAGUUUAUCAGUGGGAGCCAGAGGAGCUCGCACAGUAGUGGCAUCCACAGUCUACUCCAGAGUAUCCUGGAGCUGGUUAUUUCCCACCAUGGGAGUAGACCAAGCUAGGCCAAAAGCCUAAGAUUGGGGGAGUACGUGUUCUCACCGACUUUAGAUUCAUGCUUAUGCUUUCACUUUGUUAGCCGGUGUUUACACUUUGCCACUGUAUUAUCCAUGCUAAUUUCUUUUCGUUUUCUUGUUUUCUUGUUUUGUGUCCUUUUGAGAAAACCCAAAAAUAUUUUUCUUUCUUCUUUUGCUUGUUGGGAGCUUUCCCGUGUAAAUAGCUUUCUUUUUCUUUGUGUCGAGGUAGAAGAUAUUGGUUACGAUGUUUAGUGGUUCUUACAUGCUUACCUGUUUAGCUUUCAAAGAGCCAUAUUACUUUGUCUUCUCCUUUGUGUUUGCCUGCAGAUUCAGCUUAGUCCAAUGCGCUUAUUAUUGUUCACAUCGUUCGAUCGUGCAAAUGAAAGGCAACAAUGAUGAUAUAUGAUGAAGUGACUGAGACUGAAAAGCUGGUAUGAACUCUAUCUAUUUUGUUUUUGUAAAUAUGACUAGCUUGUUGACCCAGAUUUAGCUUUGUUGUGAGAGAACCAUGUUUGCAAUGACAACUUAGAGAUCAUAGUUUCUGAUGCCAUGCUUAUUUAGCUGAGAGCUUAUAAUGAUUUGUCUUGAAUGCCAACAUAGAUUUUGAGAUGACUAUGAUGUAGUGUGAUAGGAUGGUAUUCUCCUUUGAAUGUUUCAAGUGCCUUGACUUGGCGCAUGUUCAUGCGUGUAUUUGAAACAAAAUCAACAUAGCCUCUAUGAUGUUCGUGUUCAUGGUGAUUUAUAUCAUGUUCAUGCUUGCAUUCGAUGUUAGUCAAACUCAUUGCAUCUUGAUGACUGUUGUCGCUCUCUAGUUGGUCGCUUCCCAGUCUUUUGCUAGCCUUCGCUUGUACUAAGCGGAAUACUGCUUGUGCAUCCACUUCCAUAAACCCAAAAGUUUUUCCAUGAGUGUCCACCAUACCUACCUAUUUGCGGUAUCUACCUGCCGUUCCAAGUAAAUUUGCAUGUGCCAUUCUCUAAACCUUCAAGAAAUAAUCUGUUUUGCAUGCCCGAACCGCUCAUGUGGUGACAGAGAGCUAUUGGUAUCUUCCAUGCUAGGAGUGUUAUCCUCGACAUGUGUUUAUUCACAGUCAUUCACAAGAAAGGCGUCGGUAUUUGGGAUGCCCAGUUCCAUGCUUAAAUCGAAAACAUAACUGUAAAACAAGACUCCCCCCAGAUUGAUGUUAGUAUGGACGGUACCCGAGGAUUCGGCUAGCUGUGGAGUCUGAUUGAUUGGCGGUGGGGGGGGUUAAAACUUUACUUUUCUAUUUGGGAACCGCCUAUAGCAUGAGUAGCAUGGAAGAUAUUGAGAACUCUUGGUCAUUGCGUUGACAAUGAAAGCAUGCCACCCAAAAUUAUUAUCUCUGUUUUCAAAGCUUGAGCUCUGGCACCUCUGCAAAUCAAUGCUUCCCUCUGCGAAGGGCCUGUCUAUUUAUUUUCCUGUCGAGUCAUCCUCCUCUUAUAUAAGCACCAAUUAGAGAGCACCUCUGUCAUUUUUAUGCUUUGCUUUUGACUGAUAUUGAGUAUGACUAUGACUGGAUCUUCGUUGCUAUGAAUUACAAUGUUUAGUCAGCCCUUGAUCUUUGAAAGUGUUCUGCAUUUAUGUUUUGCGAUCUCAGAAAGAGCUAGCGAGAUACCACCUAUUCAUAUUGCUUCAUGCUUGUUUUGAUUGAAGUGUUGGUAUUUGAAACUCAUUAUUAUAUGCUCGUUAGCUGAUUAUGCCAUUGAUAUUAGUUUACCGUGAGACCUUUGUGUCAUUUGCUUAUGUGGUUAACUUGUGAUCUUGCUGAAAUUCUGGUUAUGAGUUAGACAUAGUUGCAACAACAAGAUCAAACAGAGUUUGUCAAAGUUUUUCUUUCUCUCACAAUUUGCCAACUGACUUGCUUGAGGACAAGCAAGGUUUUAAGCUUGGGGGAGUUGAUACGUCUCCAACGUAUCUACUUUUCCAAACUCUUUUGCCCUUGUUUUGGACUAUAAUUUGCAUGACUUGAAUGGAACUAACCUGGACUGACGCUGUUUUCAGCAGAAUUGCCUUGGUGUUAUUUUUGUGCAGAAAUGAGAGUUCUCCAAACGUCUUGAAAAUUUACGGGGAGCAAAUUUGGAAAAUAUCAAAAAUAUUUGCGCCAAGUUCCACCUCAGGGGGUGGGCUAGUGGGCCACAAGCCCCUGCUCCGCCACCACCCCCCUUGGUGGUGGUGGGCAGGCUUGUGGGGCCCACGGGCACCUCCGCCCCCAACUCCAGCUCUAUAAGUUGCCUUUCGUCCCAGAAAAAAUAAAAAGAGAAGUUUUCGUCGCGUUUUCAAUACGGAGGCGCCGCCACCACCUGUUCUUCAUCUGGAGGGCAGAUCUGGAGUCCGUCUUGGGCUCCGGAGAGGGGAAAUCGUCGCCAUCGUCAUCAUCAACCCUCUUCCCUCUCCAAUUCCAUGAAGCUCUUCGUCGUUCGUGAGUAAUCUAUUCGUAGGCUCGCUGGGCGGUGAUGAGUAGGAUGAGAUCUAUCAUGUAACUGAGUUAGUUUUGAUGGGGAUUGAUCCCUAGUAUCCACUAUGUUCUGAGAUUGAUGUUGCUACGACUUUGCCAUGCUUAAUGCUUGUCACUAGGGCCCGAGUGCCAUGAUUUCAGAUCUGAAAUUAUUAUGUUGUCACCAAUACAUGUGUGUUUUAGAUCCGAUCUUGCAAGUUGUAGUUACCUACUAUGUGUUAUGAUCCGGCAACCCCGGAGUGACAAUAACCGGAACCACUCCCGGUGAUGACCAUAGUUUGAGGAGUUCAUGUGUUCACCAAGUGCUAAUGCGUUGGUCCGGUUCUUUAUUAAAAGGAGAACCUUAAUAUCCCGUAGUUUCCUUUUGGACCCCGCUGCCACGGGAGGGAUGGACAAUAGAUGUCAUGCAAGUUCUUUUCCCUAAGCACGUAUGACGACACACGGAAUGCAUGCCUACAUCACAUUGACGAAUGGGAGCUAGCCACUUAUCUCUCCGUGUUAUAGUUGUUGCAUGAUGAAUAUCAUCCAAACAAAUCACGACCCAUUGCCUACGAGUUUGUCCUACUGUUGUUACUUGUCUUGCUCUGCUGCUGCUGCUACUCUGUUGCUACCGCUGUUACUUGUCUUGCUCUGCUGCUGCUACUACUACUGUUGCUACUACCAUCGCUUGCUACUGUUGCUACUUGCUACCGUUGUCACUACUGCUGUUCCUUGCCACUGCUAUUGCUCGUUACACUGCUGCUACCUGCUACACUGUUGGUUCACGUACCGUUGACGGGAAUUGACAACUUCCGUCGACGCGGCAACGAAGGCGCCAUUGAUACAAUCGUUAGGAAUAGUCUGCCGUCAAUAGAUCGUUUCUGACACCGUUGUUACCAUAUUACUUUGCUGUUACUACUGUGCUUGCAGAUACUAAUCUUUCAGGUGUGGUUGAAUCUGACAAAUUCAGCUGCUAAUACUCGAGAGUAUUCUCUCACCUCCUUUAGGCGAUCUACAAAUUUGGGUCGAAUACUCUACCCUCGAAAACUGUUGCGAACCCACACGUUGGUGGGCCGUCAACAACAUUCUUCUAGUUUCAUUACUGGGGUGCUAUCAGCAUUCUUCUAGUGCCGUUGCAGGAGAAGGUUUGUUGUCAUAAGCAUUCGUCUAGCUAACGCCAGAGAUUGCACGAUCAGCAUUUUUCUGGCGCCGUUGCCGGGGAGGUAUUGCUAUAUUCUCUGAGUCACUUGGGAUUUAUAUCUGUUGAUCACUAUGAAGAAUCUGAAGGAUCCGAAGACCAAAGUCUUGCCCUCAACUACGAGGGGAGGUAAGGAAUUGCCAUCUAGCUCUGCACUUGAUUCACCUUCAGUUAUGAGUAAGUUUGCGACUUCACCUCCUGCUAGAAAUCUUGAUUCGUCGCCUGUGCUUGAUGAUGCUUUUGAUACUACUACUAGAGAUGCUAUGCUUGAUACUAUGCGUGAUACUGCUAGAGAUGCUAUGCUUGAUACUAUGCUUGAUGAUACUAUGCUUGAUACUAUGCCUGAUACUGCUAGAGAUGUUAUGCUUGAUACUAUGCCUGAUGAUGCUAGAAAGUGCAUGUAUACCAUGGACUCACAUUAGUCAUGAAGAACUCACAUACUUAUUGCGAAAUUUUUUAUUAGUAAUCGAAACAAAGUGCUAAAAGCAUACUCCUAGGGGAAGGGUUGGUAGGUGUUAACCAUCGCGCGAUGCCGACCGCAACACAAAGGAUGACAAUGAAUAGAUCAAUUAUGCUCCGACUUCCUAACAUAGCGGUUCACCAUACGUGCAUGUUACGGGAAUCACUAACUUCAACACAAGUAUUUCUAGAUUCACAACACCCUACUAGCAUAACUCUUAAUAUUACCGAAUCCACGUCUCAAAACUAUUUGAGAGGAAUCAAAACUUCUCUUUCUACUCAAUGCACAUGAAGAUGGAGGUUUUUGUAUCCUCUUUGGGUACCUAUCACCUUUGGGACUACUUUCAUAGCACAAGCCAACUACCAAGUCAUGCACCGCCGUGCUCUAAAAGAUCUAAGUGAAGCACACAGAGCAAAAUUAUCUAGCUCAAAAGAUAUAAGUGAAGCACGAUGAGCAUUGUAGCAAAAUCACGAUGAGUGCAUGUCUCUCUCAAAAGGUGUGCAGCAAGGAUGAUUGUGACACAACAAAAAGAAAAGACUCCUACGAUACAAGACGCUCCAAGCAAAACACAUUUCAUGUGGUGAAUAAAAACAUAGCUCCAAGUAGUGUUAACGAUGGAUUGAAGACGAAAGAGGGGAUGCCUUCCCGGGGCAUCCCCAAGCUUAGGCUUUUUGGUGUCCUUGAAUUUGUCUUGGGAUGCCUUGGGCAUCCCCAAGCUUGAGCUCUUUCCACUCUUUAUCCAUUUUUCCAUGAGAACAUCACCCAAAACUUGAAAACUUCACAACACAAAACUUAAACAAAAACUCGUGAUAUCAUUAGUACAAGAAAACAAACUACCACCUCCUUAGGUACUCUAGCAAUCUUGAUUUCUAUUUUUAUUGGUGUUAGAUUACUGUAUUAUCACUUUUCCAUGGCUAGUAACCCCCGAUACUAUCCAUAAUUUCAUCAAAACAAGCAACCAACUCAACAAAAACAGACCAGUAUGUAGCAAUCUGUAUACUUCGUAUACUUCUGGUACCUCAAAAAUUCUUAAAAAUUACGACUGCAUGGGCAAAAUUCAUAUCAACCAGCAACAAAAAGAAUCAACUCAAAAGCUCUUUCUGAAUAAAAAUUAAUAAUAAUCUCGUGAGUGAAACGUUUCUGUCUUUUUCCAGGAGGAUCAAACAACCAUCACCAAGACUAGUCAUAAAGAUUUUUCUUGGCUCAAACACAAAAGACACAAUCAUAACAGAAUUAUGAUGGUGUGGAUGCAACAAAAUAGAAAGAAAAACAUAAAUUCAUUGGAUUGCCUCCCAACAAGCGCUAUUGUUUAACGCCUUUAGCUAGGCAUUGAUAAUUCAAUGAUGCUCACACAAAAGACAAGAAUUGAAGCACAACGAGAGCAUCAUAAAGCAUGUGAAAAUCACAUCUAAGCCUAACAUACUCCCUAUGAAUAGGAAUUUUAUGGGGAAACAAAUUGUCAAGACAAGCAAUAACUACUGUAUGCAAGGAAGAAGAAAGAGACAAUAGGAAUCUCAACAGAAUGAGAGGUGGUUUAGUAACAUGAAUGUUUCUACCACAAUAUUUUCCUCUCUCAUAAUAAUUACAUGUGGGAUCAUAUUCAAAUUCAACAAUAUAGCUAUCCCAUAGGAUAUUCUUUUCAUGACCCACAUGCAUGCAAAGUUGACGCUCUUCAAAAAUAGUGGGAUUAUCGUCAACUAAAGUCAUGACUUCUCCAAACCCACUUUCAAAAUUAUUGCAAAUAUCAUAUUCAUCAUGAGGCUUAAACAAAUUUUCAAGAUAAUAAGAAAAUCAUUGCCCCAAUCAUGAUCAUUGCAACAAGUAGUGGACAUAGCAAAACUAGCAUCCCCAAGCUUAGGGUGUUGCAUAUUUUUAGCAUGAUUGACACUAAUAGGAUUUAUAGUGAAACCAUUGCAAUCAUGCUUUUCAUUCAAGGAGCCCUUGUGAAUCACUUCAUAAAUUUCUUCAUCACGAUUUUUAGAUUCACGCAUCUCAAGCAAAACUCCAUAGAGAAAGUCAAGUGCACUCAACUCUCUAGCAAUUGGAUCAACAUAAUUGGAUCUCUUAAAGAGAUUAGCAAGUGGAUGAGGAUCCAUAUCACUAGAUUUUCAGCAAGCGAAGAUGCAAGCAUGUUGAAGGCACAUAUCACACAAGCAAAGGAAAGGAAAACGAGAGAAAAGGGCGAAAGAAAAAGGCAAAUGAAAAAGGCAAAUAUUUUUAUAAAUUUUUGUUUUUUAGAAGUGGGGAGAGGAAAACGAGAGGCAAAAAAGUAAAUGCAAGAGAUGAGUUUGCGACACUUACUUGGAUGAGUUCUUGACUUGAUCCUCCCCGGCAACGGCGUCAGAAAUCCUUCUGCUACUUCUCAAACAACAGCGCCAGAAAUUGACACGUUGACGGAGACUUGCGUGCGUUGGUUUUUCCCUUGAAGAGGAAAGGGUGAUGCAGCACAGGAGCACUAAGUAUUUCCAUCAGUUUGAGAACCAAGGUAUCAAUCCUGUAGGAGAAUCUCAUCAAGUCCAGAGUACCUGCGCAAACACAAAAGAGCUUGCACCCAACGCUAUAAAGGGGUUGUCAAUCCCUUCAAGAUUGAUUGCAAAGUGAGAUCUGAAGGCGGAAAGUGCAACGAAGUAAAAGUGUAAGGCUGGAAAUAUGGUGUGAAGUAGACCCGGGGGCCGUAGUGUUCACUAGAGGCUUCUCUCAAAAUAGAAAAUAUCACGAUGGGUGAACAAAUGCCUGUCGAACAAUUGAUAGAACCGCGCAAAGCCAUGAUGAUAUCUAAGGCAAUGAUUAUACAUAUAGGCAUCACGUCCGAGACAAGUAGACCGAUACUUUCUGCGUCUACUACUAUUACUCCACACAUCGACCGCUAUCCAGCAUGCAUCUAGUGUAUUGAGUUCAUGAGAACAGAGUAACGCCUUAAGCAAGAUGACAUGAUGUAGAGGGAUAAACUCAAACCAAUGAUGAAAACCCCAUCUUUUUACCCUUGAUGGCAACAACAUGAUGCGUGCCUUGCUACCCCUUCUGUCACUGGGUGAGGUCACCGCACGGUAUGAACCCAAAACCAAGCACUUCUCCCAUUGCAAGAAUCAUAGAUCAAGCUGGCCAAACAAAACCCACAACUCGAAGAGAAUUACAAGGAUAUGAAAUCAUGCAUAAGAGAGAUCAGAAGAAACUCAAAUAAGAUUCAUAGAUAAUCCGAUCAUAAAUCCACAAUUCAUCGGAUCUCGACAAACACACCGCAAAAGAAGAUUACAUCGGAUAGAUCUCCAUGAAGAUCAUGGAGAACUUUGUAUUGAAGAUCCAAGAGAGAGAAGAAGCCAUCUAGCUACUAGCCAUGGGCACGUAGGUCUAUGGUGAACUACUCACGCAUCAUCGGAGAGGUCAUGGUGUUGAUGAAGAAGCCCUCUGUAUCCGAAUCCCCCUCCUGCAGGGCACCAGAACGUGCCCCGGAUGGGAUCUUGCGGAGACAGAAACUUGCGGCGGUGGAAUAGUAUUUUCGUGGCUCCCCUGCUUUUUUCUGGGAUUUUAGGGAAUAUAUAGGCGAAAGACCUAUAGCAUAGGAGGCCCAGAGAGCCCACAAGCAUGGGAGGCGCGCCCCUGGCCGCGACUAGGGGGCUUUAGGGGUCCCUGCUGACCCUCUGCCUUGGUUCUCAAGUCUCGCGAUCGUCUUCUGUUUCGGAAAAAAUCUAUUUUGAAAUUUCAUUCCUUUUGGACUCCGUUUAAAAUCCUCCUCUGAAAGGGGUCAAAAACACGGAAAAACAGGAACUGGCACUUGGCACUGAGUUAAUAAGUUAGUCCCAAAAAAGAUAUAAAAGGCAUACAAAACAUCCAAAGUUUGACAAGAUAAUAGCAUGAAACCAUAAAAAAUUAUAGAUACGUGGAGACGUAUCAAAACUCAACUCUGAGAUUACCCAAAGCAUCACCGGAAUCCCGAUUCACAAGACAUUCGUCAAAGGUAAAACUAAUCCAGCAAGGCCAUCCGACGUGUCGACGAUCCCGAUAGGAGCCGCGUACCUCAUUCUCAGGACACGACAGAUAAGCUAAGCGUACGGUGGCCUGAUAGACAUCUCCCGAGUUGCCCCUGGUUGGCCCCGCACAGUGCUCUAUUUUGGACCAGCACCAUCACCACUGGCCCCCCUGUUUUAUGUAGAAUUACUCCUUGGGUUCAUGAUGCCCUAUGCUUUCAGUAUUAACAAAAAAUAUUAUGUUGGGAAAAUGUAGUAUCGGUGUUGGGCCUUGCCAGACCAUCUUUAAUCUAAAACGAAUUAUCAAGGGGGUCCCCAUAACAACCUCGAUCGUGUUAGGAGUGCUCAAAAAUGGAACAUAACACUGGUAGCCGAAACUAAGGGNNNNNNNNNNNNNNNNNNNNNNNNNNNNNNNNNNNNNNNNNNNNNNNNNNNNNNNNNNNNNNNNNNNNNNNNNNNNNNNNNNNNNNNNNNNNNNNNNNNNNNNNNNNNNNNNNNNNNNNNNNNNNNNNNNNNNNNNNNNNNNNNNNNNNNNNNNNNNNNNNNNNNNNNNNNNNNNNNNNNNNNNNNNNNNNNNNNNNNNNNNNNNNNNNNNNNNNNNNNNNNNNNNNNNNNNNNNNNNNNNNNNNNNNNNNNNNNNNNNNNNNNNNNNNNNNNNNNNNNNNNNNNNNNNNNNNNNNNNNNNNNNNNNNNNNNNNNNNNNNNNNNNNNNNNNNNNNNNNNNNNNNNNNNNNNNNNNNNNNNNUGCACCUGCAACUAGCAACGCUAACACAUGGUUAAGCAAGCAGUAACAUAGCCAAUCAAUGGUUUGCUAGGUUGUGAACAGGUUUGAAGGUUUCAUGGCAUUGUUGGGAGGCUGAUAUUUAACAGGUGGUAGGCAA